CAAGCUCUGCCACGGCAUCUCCACCUCGUGCGCCACUUAGCUGACUGACGCACCUCCCAUUCCCGCGCGGCCCUUCUCCGCCCCAGAUCUCCUCUCUUCCUCACGCCGCCCGCCCAAGCCACCAUCAGUCCGCAUUCGCUGCUGUUGCUGUCUGCCAUCGUCACCACCAUACACAACCUCCUUGGCCGCUGCCGCUCUCUGCAAAUCUAGAUGAAAGCUCUCAAACGAAGUCAGACUUCGUCAUCUUCCAAUUCCAGAAUGAAAGAGUCAAGAAGAAAGGGACGCCAUUCUGGAUACGGUAAGCCACCAUCAUCCUUCAAAUUUCAGUUUUAUACAAGCUUUCGAAGCCUAUUUUAUUUUUCACGUUGUGGCUUGUAGCCAUUUCUCUGUUUGAGUUAUUCACUAAUUGGAAGUAUGUAUGCUUUGAAUGUCGAUAGGACUGGAGUUUCUUGUGUUUUGACAUAAUUUUGGGGCUGAAUAUAGCUUUAAUUGAGUAGAAAAUUAGUAAAAACUCUAAUGCCCUCAACCUGUUCGACGAAAUGCUUGGCUGAAAAUUUCUCAUUGAAAGAACAUUUGGUUGCAUUUUUUUUCGUGUGAAAGAGCCAGCUAGUUCAGCAGGUUCAUUUCUUUGCGCCUGAAAAUUUUUGAUGUGUUGAUAUCUUGCACCUUUUUCUGUUUUUCCGUUCCCUUAUGCUUCCCAUCGUAUGAAUUCGAAUUAAUGAUAGGAAAGGGAGUUUUGGUUUCUCGUUGUCUAUUACCAAAUUCUGGUAUGGCUUUGAUUGCAAAGAAAGUUGCGAUGGCAACUGAUGUUGAAUCAAUUCGGUGGAGAAGAUGAUCACUUGUCCAAAAUUGCAAUUUCAGUCCCUUUAUUCUCUUUGGCUUUGUGGUUUAAUCCAGAGUUGAGAACUUCCUAAUUUGAUUCCCAGAUUUCUAUAAUUUUUUUCGAUUGGGUCCUUAUUUGCAUUGCAUUGGAACCCCUCAAAUCCCCUCUUGUUCUGAUAUGACCCGGAAGAUUGGGAGGAGUGAACUUGUUUCUCCCUUUUAGAUUUUAAUCAUCUUUUAAUCUGCUUAAGUAGUCUUUCAGCUAGAUUAAUUCUUGUUUUUAGAUCAUAAUUGUGGCUUGAUUAUUUUAGUUGAUUUGCUAAUCUGGUUGGGUUUAGUUUUGAUUUAGGUUGUGGGCAAUAAUAUUUGUUUGGAUUCGUAAAAGUGGAUUUAAUUUGUUUUGUUUGGGUUUCUGGUUUGGGCUUAGGAGGUAAAGCCCACUCUUUUGGUUGGGUUUGUUUUAUGGGUUAAUUCCACUUUGUCCUCCCAAACUUUAGGCGAUUAUCCACUUAAGUCCCUAAACUUCAAAAUGGGAUACUUAAAUUCCAAAACUUAUAAAUACCUCCCACUUAAGUUCCUGAACUUAUAAAAUGGAACACUUAAAUCCCUAAAUCCUUAUAAAAUGGGACACUUCGACCACCAACAGCAUUCAGGAUUUGUUAACAAUUUUCCUUAAGUGGGAGGUAUUUAUAAGUUUAGGGAUUUAAGUGUCCCAUUUUGAAGUUUAGAGACUUAAGUGGGUAAUCGUCCAAAGUUUGGGGGACAAAGUGGAAUUAACCCUUGUUUUAUUGACUAGGAGAUUCGCGCGGUGUGAAAUUAAUAGGUAGUAUGCCCAGUGUAAAGCCCAUUAUAAUAGUUUUUUUAAAAACAAAAUAGAUAAUCCAUAAUUAGGAGUAAUGACUAAAAUAAGUUAUAAAACUAUAUUGGCCAAAUAUGUUGAAUCAAGGCCAACUAUAUUAAUCAAGAAUACAGUUAAAAAAAAACUUCUAUAAAUUAUUACAAGUUGUAUGCAUGAUUGGAUACUAAGUGUUUACUAACUAUGGCUCAAGCUUGCAUUUCUCAAUCUCUUUACAAUGCCGAAUAUCGUUUAAGAGUUUAUUUGUCCUCCUCUUCCCAGAGCUUAUUCGAAUAAUCUCCUACUGCCAUGUUUUUAUCCUGCACAAGAGGUAAUGCAAUUUUAUGUUUAAGCCAUAUGAAUUUUAUGUAUCAUUAAAGAUAUAAUCUAGACAGAGUCAUAAAUGAACUACUCUGAUGGAACUAAAAGGAAUAUAAUAUUACAGUAUAAAUUGAGUUAGAAUUGGCCCAGCAAGAAGCAAAUAAAAACUACUUUCUCCGCUAUAAAAUAUGCAAUUUGCUGGUAGCUAUGCUUGAUAUGCACAUGCAAUGGUGAUGACGUUCUUUAUUGCCAUGGCGUUGUAUGUGUCAAAAUCAACUGUAAAUUAAGCUCUUGUAUGCUGAAACCAAAACUUUACACAUUAGACAAAAUUAAGAAUGACACCAUGUAAAAAUAGGAACGAAAUAUGUGAUAAGUUUUGAAGCCAAAAAUAUUGAAAUUUGAGAAAUAAAAAUGAAAGAACUAACAUUUCCAUGGGAAACAAAUAUGAAAAAGAAAUUAUUGAUUAAGUAAAGAGGCCAAUCGAUCUCACAAUUAUUGAUCACUAUACCAGGGAAAGAUAAAUGAUAGCAAAUAGUAAAAUAGUUCAUAUCCACACUGUUUGUGGUUGCAAAACCAUACCUUGCUUCUUGAUAAGAAUUCAUGAGAAAAGUCUUGUAGUAGCCAGCCAACUCAAGCAGUUCAUCAACUUUCUCACUUUUCUUCCCAAAAUUUCAAAAGCAAAUUCAGUAAGCACUAUAUGAUUGAUAGCAACAAGUGAUUAUUCAAAAAACAACGAGUGAAGGAAAUGCAAAGGGAUUUAGAAAUUUGAGGGAUGAAAGCAAAUGAUCCUAAGAGGGUUCAGCACAUGCAGUCCUCAACCAAGAGACGUUGAAUUUAGGCGAAAACUUGCUAUUCAUCAAGAAUGACAGUAAUACCUAUACAUUAUUUGGAAACAAGCGCAAUCAAGUCAUCCAUGUGGUUUCCAUCAUUUGAUAGAAAGGCAAUGAGCGGACAGAAUGACUUGGAAUUCAAGAAAAAAUCAAGCUAACAAGAAUACUUAAAACCAAGAAAAAAUGUAAGCCACCGACCAACUUGAUAUGAACUAUUUAAACUAUCAAUGAAAUAGCAAGUUGAAGUUCCCAUGGAUUACAUCAUCUUCAUUAAGAAAAGGCAUAAGAUCAUUACAUGCAAUCUUGGACCAAUCAGUAAAGUCAAGAUCAACUGAAAGCUUUUAAUGCAGAAAUUAUUAAUACAAUUCCAUAAGGCUUCCACAAAUAUGCCUUUUUGAAAUAGAAACAGGGUUGCAAUGUAACAAUUCUUAGAUCUCGAUUAAAUUCGGAAUUUGUAUUAUAGGUCCAAUUAAAAACAAAAGCAAAAAUUUUUUUGGUCGAAUAAAUUGAGGAAUUUGUAUCAGUUAAGUUUCUUUAGAAAAAGUAACAAGUAACCGAGGAUAGCAUAAGGUAAAUAAGUACCUAUUUAACUCAAAUUCUGAACUACAUCAAUUCAAAAGAAAACCAUGACUUGCAUUCCGAAUCCAAAGCUAGUCCGAGGGUCUUGUAAAGGGUUUGACUUGGCAUCUGGACUGUUAUAUCCUUCAAUUUUAGUUUGUAAAGAACCACAUUGAUCAUCUUCCAGUAGCUCAAAGACAAUAGUGCCAGGCUAAUUGUGAUAUUUCCAUCACCACAUACCUCGACUAAUUUUUUCACCAUAAGGUGUCAGUUUAGAUUCUUUAUCCACUUCUUCACCUUGAAAUCCAUAAACAGCCUCCAAUGACUUACCCAAAAUCCAUCAAUAGUUGUGCAAAGAAUAAACUGCUAAAUAAAUUUGAAAAAAAAAAAAGAAAGCAAAGAGAGAACAAAAACACUGAAACAAUAACUCCUGCACAUACCUUGAAGGCUGAAAUAAGAAAAGUAGCCUCCUUAUUUCGUUCUUCCUUCAUCUAACAAAAAUUUAGUGUAAACAAGCGUCCGUCAAAUGAAGAAUAUAAUUAAAACAACCUCAUGGUAAUAACAUGAGAAUGAUUCAGAGAAAAUUAUUGAACUUAUUCUCCAUAUUCUUCAACAUUAUUAACAGUUGUAAAUGAAAUAUACAACCCACCAUUUUUUCCUUGCUUUUUUUUACAUUAAAAUAAAAGUCUAUAGUUACAUGAAGCAAGAUGAUAUGUAGAUUAAUAUCACAAGUUUUCCUAUCCUUUCUGAGUAAGACCCUUUUGAUUUCACAGCCCUUUCAAGAAUUCAAUAUUUUCAUUUAAUGGUUCACAAACCUUACAUGGUUUGAAAUUUAACUACUUCAACCAUUAACAGCCUAGAAUUUAACCCUAAGCAUUGAAUAAAUUAUAUAGAUAGCAUGCUUAGCAAAGCAAACAUGACAUUCUAGUCGUUAAUCAAACAAUUUUGAUCCAAAUCCAAGAAAAAAACCCCAAGAUGGAAUUCCACUCACCUAGACUAUAUGUCCAAAAAGCGCAUUAGCUGGCUGCAAAAAGAAAAAAAAUGACAAAAUCAUUACCAACUAACUAAGAGAGUUUAACAGAAACAGUCAAUCCACACCCUCUUACUUUGAAUUUUUUACUUAUAAAGAGUUAUUGGCAAUAUCAACUGGAAAACAAAAAUUUCUAUGAACAUGAAAAAAAGAAAGAAAUUAAACCAUUUCAUCUAAGGAAAUAAUCACAAGUUUCAAUGCAAAAAAGUGAAAGCAUAAAAUAUUGGAUCUUAAGUAAGGAUAAUUACUGAAUGUAGUUGCUUAAAAAGACUGACAACCUCUUAAUCAUGACUUACACUGGAAUUUUAGGAAAUACUUCAAUAAGAGGUAGAUGUCCUCUCCAUAGUCCAUUUCUUGAACAUCUAUCAAAGAGGAGUAAAGAUAGGAGAAGAUUACAGUUGACUUCGGGUAAAACGAAAGAAAAAAAAAUAGAAAAACAGAGAUCCUAAAAGUAUUUACUUGAGCAAAGAAUUCCAAUCAUUCAUACUUGGUAUCAAAUCCCUAUUCCUCAACCCGUAGCAAACAUAUAAAACUUAUUAGAGAAUAAAAUAAAAUUUAAUCAAGAGAAAAAAGUAUACAUAGAACAAGAGUGGAGAAGCCAGCAGUUUUCAGAGAGAAAGAAAGGAAGAUAAGAACAGAAGGACUUUUCAAAUAGAAACUUUGAGUUGGAGAGGAUUGAGAUAUGGAAAAUUAUUUGAUGGGAAUUGAUUAGUCUUGUAGCAUUGAGCCAAACUCCUCUAUUGCAGAUACAGGAAUUUGAGGGAAGGCCUCUGGUUUUGUAACUCCCAGUACUUUAACUCGCCAGCAAAGAGGAAAACAAUAACUUUUUGCACAGAAAGGAGAUGGGAGAAUUUUUUUUUACACAAAAGAUAGGAGAGAGAUGGCUCUGAGGUCUUUCUGUCAAUUUUUCUCAUAAAAAAUCUGAGGUAAGAUGACUCCAAAACACCUCUCCAAAAAUAGUUGGAUGUGUCAAAGAAGUGAUUGUAUUCUCAAAUUCUAGGAAGAAUUGUAUGCCAUUUAUCUCAAAGUAGAGGCAUCUUGUCCUCAUAUUUGAACAUAAAUGUGUUAUAUUUAGUACAAAUUAUCCAUCCAGUUAAAACAAAUUAGGAGUUCUACCAAAUUUUCUUCAAAAGUAACAUGCCCUUCCUUUAAGUUCUUUCCUGCAUAAAAAACUUCAACAUAAAUUGAAGGUCUGCAUCACAUUCACCUUUUUGAACCUAUCAAUUGGAAUACCGUCUUCAUGUUUGUCACAAAAUUUUCUGUUUAGGCUUAUCUCAAUUAAGUUCAUUUUUACAAGUAAAAAAACUAUCAUAUCAGGUUCAGUUUUCCAGACUUAAUCUUACUGAAAUGUUACAAAUCUAAGAGAAAAUAAUGUUUUGUAAAUAUAGACUUAAGUCAACCAAAACUGAUUUUCCUAAUAAGAAUUUCCAAGCUAUUAAACAUCGUAGUCCAUGAUUCAAGAGGCAAAACUACAAUUAUGUAGCAAUUUAAUUCUUUUUUUGAUCAAGGAAUAGAAAAUUUAAGGUGUUUUAUUAAAACAGUAACUUAUUAUUUCAAGCAGGUGCUUAGAAUAUAAUAUUUGAGAAUCCUCGUCUUGGACAAACCUUUAACCACCUACAAAUAGGAAAACCAUUUAGAUUGCCAUUGUAACAAAAAAAUAUAUUGCUCAAGAUACUCAGUUUAAUAUCCACUUAAGGUUCAUAAAACGAAUAUUCAAGAGGUUUUACCAAGAGACAAUUUAUGUACUAAAACAAAAAAUUUCAACACAAAGCAAUCAAAAGAAUAGCAUCACACGAUCUUUUGUAACUCAAAGUUUUGGCCAAUGACCAAUGUGACCUGGAAGUUCCUGAUUCUCAGAGAAGAAAUUUAUUCAUUCUUCAAAUGUUGAAAACCCAAUGAAGAAAAAGGAAUCGGAAGAACUGGAGCAAAUAGAAAGACAUUUUGAAGAUGAAGAAAUCUAUUUUAAACAAGUGAAUCUUUUUGUUACCAUAUGGAUUUCUUUUCUGAGCAAGAGAUCAACAAAACACCUGCACGAAAGACACCAAAAAAAUGACUAAAAAGAAAACUCAAACGAGGUUUGAAAAGACCAAAGGCCAAAGAAAAGUAUACCAUCAUUUGAGCUCUGAAAAGAGCAAUUUAAAGUAAAAAUUAAAUUAGAAUGAUAGACAAAGCUUACGUUUUUCCCCUCAGCAGUUGUCUUUCACGGGUGGCCAAUUUUCCUCCCUGUUGCAGAAGAAAUCCAAGAAAGGCAAAAACGGAAAGAAAAAUGGAACAAUAAAACACCAAGUAGGUACAAAAAAUAAAGUAAAUAAAUAUCUACAAGCCAGCUAAUCAUCAAUUAUUCACCAUCUCCGACCAUAUUAAAAGGUUUUUGUUGAAACUAAAAAUAAAAAUUUAAUGAUAAAACUGAAACGAAACAAAGACGUUAAUCAUGGAAAGAAAGGGAAGAAAAAUACCAUAUCUGUAUUCUACAAAUUCAUAUAGACAGUGGAGAUGAAAUAUUAACCUUUCACUUCCUCGUUGUUUCAGAAAAGGAUAAAAAAAAAAGAAGGGGGAAGAAUUGAUUGUUUUUAGCCAAGGAAAUAUCAGGCAAAAUGGCAGAGAAAUAGAAAAAAUCAGCUAUAAUUACUUGAGGUAUGGAGAGAGGGAGAUGAAGGAGAACAGGAGGGAGAAAUCGACAAAGGGAGGAGAGGAAGAUUACCAGUCGCUUUGCAUUCUUGAGCCCAUCGUCCAUCAACUCUGUCAGAAGAAAAAAAAUUUGGACCCCAAUUGAGAUUACAACCUGUUUCAAGUACAAUCAAAUGCCAGAAAUUCAGGGGAGAACUAUGGGUCUCACGAAGAUGGAAUUUUGUCUGGAGGAUAACAGCAAUACGGAUCGGUCUUCAAGAGUUCUUGACCUGACUGAUAGUUGUGCGUUUGACUGAGAGAGAGAGAAAAGCGGAAGAAAAAGGAUUGAAGAUCCAUCAGCAUACGAUGCCGUUUGAUUGAUCAAAAGUAAAAAGGGCAAAAACCCAUAAAUCCUCAAACCAUAUGCAAAAAAAAGUUCCAAAGGUAAAAAGUUCUUCAAUAUAAAAGACUUCCAAAGGUAAUAAGUAGAUCAACAAUUAAUCGCAAAAAAGUUGACAAAUAAUUGGGAUUUAUUUGGCAACCAAAAAAAGUGGUAAUAAUUGCAAAAAGCUAGUAAUUAAAUGUUAUUUGCUAGGCAAUAAAAAGUGACAAUUCACUUCCAAAAAAAAUUAUCAAUUGAUUGCAAAAGUUGGUAAUUAGAUGUGGUUCAUUUAGCAACAGAAAAAAAGUGUUAAUAAUUGCAAAAGCUAGCAAUUAAAUGUUAUUUAUUAGGCAAUAGAAAGUGAAAUUUAAUUAAUUAAUUAAUUAACAAUUAAUUGCAAAAAAUUGAUAAUUAAAUAUAAUUUGUUGUACAACCCAAAAUAAAAGAGGACAUUUUUUAUGACAUUUGAAAAAAAAUUUAUAAUUAAAUGCAUUUUUUGUGCAACCACAAAAAAAGAAGCCAAUUUUUUAAUAAUUCCAAACAACUGUUAUUAAACAUGAUUUGUUGGGUGACCAAAAACUUGACAUUAUUAAUUAGUUAUUAACAAUUAAUUGCAAAAAUUUGGUAAUUAGAUGUGAUUUGUUGGACAGCCAGAAAAAAAUUUGAUAAUUAAAGGUGGUUUUUGGGCAACCACAAAAAAGAAGUCAAUUUUUUGCUACUAAUUGCAAAAAAAUUGUUAAUUAAACGUGAUUGUUGUAUGACAAAAAACAGACAUUAAAUUUAUUAACAAUUAAUGCAAAAAUGGUAAUUAGAUGUGAUUUGAUGGACAACAAAAAAAAGGAAUCCAAAAUUUUUGUUAAUGUGAUUUGUUGGAUAAAAAAGAAAGAAGCAAAAUUUUAGCACAAUCCUACAUGCAAUUAGAGGACUACCACUUUUCAUCCAAUCAAAACUCGCCACAUCACCAUCUUCAUAUGCAAUUGGGAGGACUACCACCAAUCGCGAAUCAGAGGAUGACAACUCAUCAAAUUGGAAUCAAUUGGAGGACUACCACCAAUCAACCAAUGGGAGAGCGCCACGUCAGCAAUUAGGUUCAAUUUGGGCAAUUGCAUUCACACAUUUACUAUAUAUGUUAAUAAGUAGAGGCCCAUAUGUAGUCUCUGGGCUUUGCGGCAGGCUGAAGGGAUCUUUGGCCCAAAAAUAGACAAAAGUUGGCCCAGUGGCCUUGUCACUUAAGAGACCAGAAACGAAAUUGCAAAUCAGCCCCUGCAUUUUUCCUUAACUAUACUGUGGCCCUGGAAGCUUUCCAUUUCUUUCAAUUGGGUCCCUAACUUAAUUGCAAAUAGGCCUUUAAACUUUAUUUUCUUUAACUUUGACCCCAAAGCUUUGUUAUUUUUUGCAAUCAAGUCCUUUCUUCUUUUGGCUUCUUAGAUGUUGGGUUGCCUAUAUGAUUUAAUUGAUUUAAUUUCAUGUUUAUUUUUAUCUUUUGUGAUUACUUAUUAAUUAAAGUGGUGCCUUGACCCUUUCUUUGUUUUUGGAGGGUAAAUAAGUAGUUUUUGGAGGGCUCCAAUUCAAGGGAGGUACACCCUAUCCCUUAUUUCUUACUUUAUUUGACUCUAUGUGCCCUACGUGACUUUACGUGUUUAAUUGCAUGCUCUUGAAUGUUGUUAUUUAUUUAUUCAUUUCGCUUAUUGGCUUUAGUUUUUAUAUAUUUGAAAGGCAAUUUCAUGCCAAGAUUGUAAUAGUUAGGUUAGUAUAUCAUUUUACUUAAUUCAUUCCCCUUUAGAUUGUAGUAGGGCUCCCCAAAUGUAAUAGUUAGGGCUUUAUUUGCUUCAUUGAGUAUUGUGUGAUUUACAUGCUUACGUGCUAUGUGUUACCGCCUUCUUAGGGUCUUGCAUCUAGAUAUUAUGCUCACGUGCUAUGUGCUAUAUGUGGUUUAGGUGUUUACUUGCUUUAUCAUGUUUUAUGUGAUUAUGAAUAAAUGAAUGACGUCACCACACUAGUCCAACGCUAGUUGUGGUACCUUUUCUCAAAUUUCUCACUAGUCCAACGCUAGUUGAGACCCUUUUUUUUCCGAUUUCUCGCUAGUCCAAUGCUAGUGAGUACUCAUAAAUAAAGGGUUAGUCCAACGCUAGACCUAAUAGGGCCGCCCCUCGUUAGUACAUAUUCGCAUGCCCUCAAUACAUCCUCAUUCAUUUUUUUCUUUUUAGUUUUACACUUUUGCAUGACCCUUCACUCCCUUUCCCUUGCACAUUUAGGAUUGCAUUUUCAUUUAGAUUAGCUCAUUUGCUGUAUAGGUUAGGGAGUUACCCUUUUGGUAAGGGGGAUGACGAGUUUGGCUACACAUAGCCUUAGCACGCUCAUUCUUUUCUAACCAAAAGGAAAAUUAAAAGUCACGACUUAGGGUCUCCCCGUACCCAUUUUGCAUUCCUCUAGGGCUCAUACAUUUUAUUUUGUACAUGAUCACUUUCCACAUUUUCACUUCACACAACUCUUAUUUUGCACAUUUUCACUUUACCACUUAUACUAUUACUAUCACUUGCACACAUGCACUUCAUACUAUCACUUUACAUACCUCACCUUGCACACCCAUUUGUACAACUUCCACUCACACACUAUUGUCUUUUAUUACUUUUUUUUUUUACUUCACAAACUCAUGUUUUUCACAUUGCAUACAUUCAUUUCACUCAUUCUUACAUCAUUAGCAUUAUUCGUGACCUCUUGGAGGGCUUAUCCUUGACUAUCACGACUCAUGUGAUUAGUUCAAUCGAGCCUCUAAGAGAUAUUUGUCCCAUUCGAUUCAUCACUAGAUUUAGGAUUGCAUCCAUGUUAGUUACAUCCACAUGCGAUACAUCUUUGGAUUAAAAAUAAAGAAAAUUUUUGACUAAAUCGCGCAACUAGCCUUGGCUAGGUUGAAAGGGUGUCUCGGAUUCUUAUCCUUGCCUUCCCUUUCUUCAAAUGUGACUCCCGAAUCUUUUUCUCUGAUUUUUGUAGACUUGGAAUCGUUUAAAAAGGUUUUCUACUUAAUUUUCUUUAAAAAUUCAUUUUUAGGUGACUUGAUACACCUUAACUCUAUACCAAGUGGCGACUUCAUUUUUUCAUUCAAAACUCUUUUUAAACUAUAUUUUGGGUCGAAUCGUUGCAUUCGCAAGUCCCAUUUAGACCCACAUGUUUUUUUCAUUUUUUCUUUUUAAAUCAAAAAAUCAUUUUGCUAAACUAAUUUAUUUUUCUUUCAAAAAAUGGGCGCCGACAAUAAGGAGUGUUUUGGCAUAAAUUUUAUGAUUUUUGGGUGAAGAUUUGAGUGUUUUAAAAAAUAAAAACUGGACUGACUUUUUGCUUUUCGGCCACCUUCGAGUCAUCUUUUGUAAAAAUUAACUUCGGAAAUGGAACCUACGGGAAAAAUGGAGUGGGGAGGUGCAUUUUGAGAAAUUUUGGUAACCGGAGAGGACGCCGGCGGUGGCGGUCUGGUGGCAGCGGCGCCACCGGUGGCCAACUGAAGUGAGCUUCGGAUGGCCAGAGGAGAAGAAGAAACGAAUGGGGAAGAAAGAAAGAAAGGAAAGAAAGAAAAGAAGAAGAAAAAAGGAAAAGAAUUGGGUUAAUUUUUUAGUAGGCUUGAGUUUAUUUUUUUGGUUGGAUUUUGGGAAUGGAUCCUUGUUUAUUUCUUUUGGGUUUCGGUGGGUUAGGAGGUUGGAACCCAUGUUUUUUUGGUCGGUCUUGAGUGAUAACAAGACGGGCUGGCAUGUGUGUUUUGGUUUGGACUUUCGGUUGGGUUUAGGCAGUUUUCGGCCCGAAGAAAUAAAUAAUGGCCCAAUAGCCUAUUUUCUUAAGAAGAUCUGAUUACGAUUUGCACUUUGGCCCUUGAUCUUUGGAGCAGUUUUAUUGUGGCCCAAAACAUUUUAAAUUCCUUUCACCUAGGUCCUUAAAUUAAUUGCACUUUAGUCCCUGAAUUUUAUCUUUCAUUUAAUUUCGACCUCUGAACUUUGGAAAAUAUAAUUUUUUUCCCCAAAAGUUUUUCAAAUUUUACAAUUCAGUCCCUGAUGAAUUUUGACUCUCUUUAUUAUGAUUGCUUCUUUUCUUUAAUAGCUGAUUAUGUUACUUUUGAGUAUGUUUAACUUGUAAUUUUUAGAUAUUCUUAAAUUUAUUUACGUUUGACAUAUUAAGGUGAAUUUUCAUUAUAAUUAUUACUUUUUCAAUUAAAUUGGUGCCAUGAUUCUUUUGUUCAUUUUGAAUAUAAAUAGGGCAAUUUGACUCCGUUUAGUCACCACUUCAAAAGGGAGGUACCCCAUUAUUAUUAUUUCAAUGUCAAUUAUGUGUUCUUAUGUGCUCCUACGUGUUCCUAUGUGUUUAUAUAUUUUCAUAUGUUUUGUUUAUUUGAUUUACAUGUUCAUUCGAAUUUUCUUAUAUUUGUUUAGUUAAUUCUUAUAAUUAUUCGAGAGGCAUUUAAUUACCUCAUAAAUGUAAUAGAUAGGAUAAUUAGAUUUGUUUUUAUUAUAUUUUUCCUUUUUAGAUUGUAGUUAAGUCCCCUGUUGUAAUAGAUAGGGUAGAUAGGAUUUUCUUUAUUUUUCCAUUUUAGAUUGUAGUUAGGCUCCCCGAUGUAAUAGAUAGGUUGUGUGUUUAUGUGGCUUACGUGUUAUAUGUUUUACCCGCUUUCCUUAGGAUUUUUGCCUCUAGAUAUUGUGUUUACGUGUUAUGUGCUACGUGUUCUUAUGUGUUUAUUCGUUUUAAUUUAUGCUUUAUUUGUUUUACUAUGUAUUAUUAAUACAUGACGUCACCACACUAGUCCAACGCUAGUUGUGGCUUCUCCUCUAUUUACUUGCUAGUCCAACGCUAGUAAGAAUUUUUAGAAAUGGGCUAGUCCAAUGCUAGACCCUUUAGGCCGUCCUGCGCUAGAUUCAUCUUUGUGUGAUAAUUCACUACAUUUUCAUGCAUAUUUUCAUUUUUAAGAUCUUUUCUCAUUUGCAUGAUAUUCCCUAUUAUAUUAUCCCCUAUCCUCUAUAUGUGUUAAUCAUAUCACUUAGAAUUGCAUUUCAUUUAAGAAAUUGUAUGAUAAGUAGGUUCAUUUGCUUGUUCAUAUUAGGAGAAUUAUUUUUCAAACAUGAAAAAUGGGUGAUUAUAACUUUUUAGUUUAAAUACCCCAUUAAUCCCUGUAUAAGAAAAUUAUGUCACGAGUUUUUGCCUCCCAUAUCCUUUAUGUUGCAUUCCUUUUUCUUUGAUCACUUAUAUCUAUGUAUAUAAUUUAAUUUCUUUUCUUUACUUUCUUUUUUUCAUCAUUUGCAUACUCGUGACCCUUUCAAGAAAGUAUUUUGGCCUUCGCAAUUAAUGCGAUUGUUUUAAUUAAACCUUUGAAUGGAUAUUUUGUCUCUUUCGAUAUUUUAUUUGCAUCCAUGUAGAAAACAUCCAAAUGUGAUAAAUUUAAGGGUUAGAUUAAGAAAAUUUUGACUAAAUCACGCAACUAGUUUAGAUUAGGUUGAAAUGGUGCCUUAGGUUUGAGAUAAUUGAACCUUUUCCUUCCCUUUCUUCAACCGUAACUCCCAAAUUCAUUUUCUCUAUUUUCAAAGAUCUGGAGUUGUCGAAAAGGAUUUUAUUUUAUUUUACUUUAUUUUUUGAGUGACUUGGUACACAAAAACUCUAUACCAAGUGGCGACUCCUAUUUUUUUCUUGAAAACCCUUUUAGACAAAUUUUUGGACCUAAAUUAUCACAUUCUUUUUAAGUCCCAUUCUAGGUCCUUUUCAUUUAUUAUUAAUAAAUCACAUCUUUUUAUAAACACUUUAUUUUUCAUCGUGAAAAAUAGGGUGCGACAACUUAGCGACUCCUCUGGGGACGCUAGAGAGUCCAAGCACUUGAUUUAGUUGUCUUUUCUCUUUUUAACACUUUUUUUUUUAUAAAAUUUGGAUGUUUUAGGUUGCAUUUUUCUUUUUUAGAAUGUUUUGCAUUUCACACUCGUAUUCGUUCCUCAUAUUUCGUGUAUGUGAUGAAUGGUUUAUUUAUUUACUUAUUCGUAUCGCGCUUUGCAUUUGGGAUAGGGAAUAUUACCUUAGAGCCUUCACGUGCAUUUAAUGUUAAUCCCUUCCCUCAAAAGGAAGCACCUCAUACGUGCAUGCAUUGUUUUUUACCCUAUUUUUAUUUUCUCGUGGGCGCCAUCCCACAUUUCCUUGUAGGAUUAGAAUCGAUUUCUUUAGGUAUGCGGAUGGUGUGCGCUGUGCCCAUAGUGGUACCUAAGGGAUCACUCAAGCCACCGAUCGAAGGCCUUAGGAUUGUUGACCCUCCGCCCUUUUGUCUGAAGGCUUGGGAGCCUGAACUUUUUCGAGUCUAAAUGCAUUAGUAAGUCAAACCUCAUGCAUCCAUGAUAGAAAUUGCCCAGGUUAGAGUCAACCUACCCAAUUAGGAACACUAGGCACGGGGGAGGGAUUACACUCCUCUUUCUUUAAUUGCCUUUUAUUUUUCAUAUAUUCUUGUUUGCUCCAAUGUGUUAUAUGUCAUAUAUCAUUUGAUCUAACCUCUCCUUGUUUUCUCCUCCACUGCAUUCAUAAGUCUUAGAAAAUAAGAGUCCUGGCAUGGUACUUUCUAGGGUUUUACCCUAUUUGAUGUUACACGUUUAAAUUCAGUGUUUCGCAUUUGCAGCAUGAAUACAUUUCAUUUUAGCCUCACCCCGGCAUACAAAAAAGAGAGUUCCUUUAGGACACGUUUCAUUGGUGUACUGCAUAUUUAGUUGCUUUGAUAAACUGGCAUCAUGCAUCUACCUUAGAAGGGAAUGCCAUCUAGGGAAUCCCGUGUUAGGGACAAGCCGCCCAAUGUUUCGGAUAUAUAAUCCAAUGAGACUUGCACGUUUAUAUUUCAUGUACCAUCCAAAGGGGUAGUGCACGAGAUAAGGUAGGAUCCGAUCUUUUCAACAAACGGCAAAACAAUUUUUGCACAUUAGAAUAUGGGCAUCUAACAAUCAUCUUUUGGCCAUUUUAAACAAAAUUGGUAAAAAAAUUCCCUUGCGUAAAGGACAUUAAUUUGAAGAAAUUCACAAAUAAUUUCUCAUUAUUGAGACAAUAAAUGUAGAGGCCAAAUCUUGAUUUUAGGAGGCUCAUAGACUAAUGCAUUGCAAUAAUUUUUUGAAACUACCAAUGGUAAUUAAUUCAAUCGAUUUUUGAAUAAACCAUCAAUUUCAUCCAAUCCAUCUUGUCAAUUCAUUCAAUUUUAGGACAAUCUAAUCAUUUUUGAAUAAAUUAUUAACUCCAUUUCAUUCAUUUGGCCAAUUUACCCAUUUUUAGGGCAAUCGAGUCAUCAUCAAUUUCAUUCAAUUCAGUUGAUCAAUCUACCUAUUUUUAGUGCAAUUCGGUCGAUUUUGAAUAAAUCAUCAAUUUCAUCAUAUCCAUUUGACCUGUUUAUUCCCUUUAGGGUUUAAGUCUAAGGUUUACUGAAUAAAUUAGUCAAAACAUUGCAAUCCUGUCAAGAGUAGGUUCUUUCUCACAUCAUUUUAUGUGUCGAUCAAAACAAGCAAUCCAUUCGGACUUCGUCCUCAUUUUUUUUAGGACAAACGUCUCUUCUCACUCUAAUUUUACCUAAUCAGUUGAUCGGAUUCAUCAGGUAUUGUAUGGUGCCUACCCUAGAGGAUUGCAUUUUCAUACUAGGCCUACCUUUGGCAUAAAAGGGUUCCCCCAUAGGACAUGCAUACCGAUUUUAUAGUCUUACUUACUAAUUCAGGAUAUUUUUCUUUUUGUUUUUCCCCCUCUCCUGCAUUCAACAAAAAUGCUUUAAUAAUGCUUUAAUAAAGUGAAAAUAUUUUUCUAUGUUUGAUAAAAUUUGAAAAUUACAAGUAUUACUUGAUUCUUAGGCAGACCUUGCAAAAAAAACAUGAAAAAUCUAUUUGGAAGCGUUAGGCUAAAGCCUCUAAGAGAUUUCAUAAUUGUUUUCAAAGAAAAAUUCUGUAUAUUUGACGUGUUAAUAUUUUUGUUCCAAAAGAAAAUGAGACAAAAGUGUAUAUAUGUAGAGCUCUUUAGAAGUUUUCUCUUCUCAUUUGUAUUAUAAUUGAACGAGAAAUUUUGUUUUAAACUUUUUCAGCAAUAAAGUUUUGGACACUUAUUGUUUUGUGUAUAUUCAUGUAUAUUUUAUUCUUUAUAUUUGCUCAUUGGAGAUUUCAUGAUGAAUUUUAAGAAAUAAGACCAAAUUGAGAUUUUUUCAACCUUUAGCCUGAAAAUUUACAAGUGUAUGCUUUCUAAAAUCUUUGCGUACACUAGAUUGGUGAUCCGAACUGUACAAUAAGUAAGAGUGCUCAAAAUUAAAAGAGGUCACUCGAAAGGCCCAAUGAGAUACUUUUUUUUCCUUCACUGUACAAUUCAUAUUUUUACCCACCUCUAUUAGCCCCAAGAUAAAAUCAGUCACAUUGAUUGAUAAAUUGUAAAUUGGGCAAUCUUUGCUUGAAAAUGUCCACUGUGUCUAAUUAUAUGCAAUUCACAUCUAAGUGAAAGCAAAAAUGUGCAUUAUUCUUGUUUGUUUUGAAAAUUUGAAUGAUACUUCAAGCGUUCGUUUCUCUACCUAUACAGAUUUUAUCAUUUGCUCUCUCAUUUGAACCUUUGAAAGAAUAAUUUCGUUUCAAAUAAGAGCCUUAAUGAUCACUACCCUACAUUGAAAAAUGCUUAGAUAUCAAGAAAAGAGUAGAUUUUCAAUGACCAUUUUGUUACUUUGGUUAUCAUGAAGUGUAAGAAUGAUACUUUGGCCAUCAUUUCUAUAACCUAAACACCAUUUAUCCCUUGCAUCCUUAUUUGAUCUAAAAUGGGUGUUCUUUUCAAAACACCUAUGAUCGCACCCACAUUGGGAAAGGAGAUUGGAAAAUUUUCCAAAAAGCAAAAUGCUAAAAUUUAAAAAAAAGAGAUAGAGAACCCCAAGUGGGGAAAAUUUGAUUCUACUAUCGAUAUCUGGGAUUCAAUUUUGAAAAAGAAAAAAAAAGAAAAGGGAAGGUUUUUUCCGGCGGAUCACUUAUGUUUCACAGAUAUGGAUGAACAAGGGUCUUCCUCAGUCAGUUAAUUCAGAUACAUGCAAGAAAUUUCGCAUUAAUGAAAGUUUCCUUUCAGACUUAUUGUAGGGAACGAAAUAAAAAGUUAGGCCUUCUUCUUUUCCAAUCAAACAUUCUAUCGCUAGUUAUCCCUUUUGACCCUUCAGAAAAAAUACUUCGUUUGACGACCCCUGAGGAUCGCAAACCCUACAAUGGGGCAAGUUUGAGUUGAAAGGAAAAAAAAGUCUCAAGAGGUGAAAAGUGCUAAAACAACAAAGGCAAAAGGAAAAAAAGAAGAAAAGAGAACCUCGGUUAAAUAUAAACUGGGUAAAUUUUGAAAUUUUUAAAGGAAUGGCAGAAGGCCGAAGAAGAAAAAUCAAUCGAAGAAAAAAAGAACAAAAUGAAAGAGAAAAGAGCCUCAAUUGACAAUAAACUGGGGCAAGUUCUGAUUUAACCCUAAAAGAGGGUUGAUACAAUAAUGCGAUCUCAGAUAAUUUAAACCACUUUUGAAAAUCCGCUUUCAAGCCUUAACUUUUCUAAGCACCCCACCAGACCCCAUUAUAAAAGCCGAAAGUCCUGACUUCUGUUCUUUGCAAUAUCUCUGUCAAGAAACUUUCUAAUUAAUUGGCAAGUGAUGCGCGUAUACUGAUGCCAGGAAAUUGUUUAGAUGUAUUUCUGAAUUGAUUAGCUGUGAAGUUGACAGUACUCAUCAUCUGAAAAUCCGCCAGUGCACCUUUUAAAAGAAAAGAAAAAAGCAAAAAUAAAUGCAAAGAAAAUGCAAAAAGAUUCGAUGCUGAAAGUCCCUAUUGAGUGAUUAAAAAAGUCAAACAAAGGUCAAGAUCUUUGAGUCCAAAUUGGGGUAAUUUUUUGAAAAAUGCGAUCUUCAGUGCAAUGUUCUUAAAAUCUUAUCUCUUUAACUAUCGUUUUCAAGCCACAUUACAAACUCAUAAAAUCCAUCGUUGACUUAUCUUUCAUGACAACUCGAAGUAAGAAUUAUGCUUCUGAGGAAUCCCUCAAUCAUUCGGGAUCAUAAGGUUAUAGCCUGUUGUCACAUGUUUAGCUAUCGUUUCUACCCAUAUGUUACAAGUUUAUAAAGCUUAUAUGUUGACUAAGUUUUCUUAAGGAAGAAGGGUGACAAACUCUUUGCUUUCACUAAGAUGUGAUGUUGAAUGGAUUACAUACAAUUUUGGGCACAAGAACAAGACAAAUCUUGACUUCUCAUUUUUCUUAGCCACCUCAAAAUCAGAAAUAAGAUCACUUGAUUGGUCCUGAAAGACGAGCUAACAAGAAGUGGUGACACAUUACUCUCAGCAUCGAUGCUAAGGUGAGGAAGAAAUCUUCUAUAAUUUGGAAUUAUUUCGAGAGAUUCAUCAUGAAAUUUUUCGUUAGGAAACAUAGUUUAUUACUUUUUGUUCAAACAAAUGGAGAGUCAUCCAAACAAAUUUUUGCAAUUAAAUGGGCCCACAUUGGGGCAAAUUUUUAUUGUGAGAUUUCAUAAAAUAAGCCCACACUGGGGCAAAAUUUUUAAUACACCUGGGAAUUUCGUCCGAGAGUCAAAUAAUAUACUUUCGAAUCAAUCACGCUGCUCUUUUCAUGAGUAGUAAGUGCAUCAAUUUAAGUGCAUAGUGUACUUGGAUAAGCCCCCUACAAGUAUUAAUGGUUGAAAUCGAUGAUAUAGCAUUUGGUGAUGUGGAAGGCCGAUACCGAAAAGAGAAGAAAGAGGAAACAGGAAAAGGGCCCGACACUGGGGCAAAUUUUUUUUGCCAAGAUUCUCUCAAUCAGGGAAAAUCAGGAAAAAUCCGAAAAAGAACAAACAAUUGAAAAAAAAAAAGAUCCCAAAAAAUCAAUCAAAAAUUAGAAAAAUCAGAAAAAGCAAAAAUUGAAAGAUUAUCAUGGCAGGCUCGGGUUUAAUCCCACUGACCAAUUCUCACGACAGGCUCGGGUUUAAUUCCACUAACCAAUGCAUCACACUGGGCAAAUUUUUGGAUAAUUUUCCAGAUAAGUCUUAUACAGUUUCUUCAUACAUACCAGCAUUUCAUUUUUGCAACGCCACUAGCAGUUGGAUCAGUCCCACUAGUGAGCACUUCAUUUUUUGUUCGGGUCAGUCCCAUGAUUUAAAGCUUGUUCGGGUCAGUCCCAUGAUUUAAAUUUUGUUCGGAUCAGUCCCAUGAUUUAAAGCUUGUUUGGGUCAGCCCCAUGAUUAAAAGUUUGUUCGGGUCAGCCCCAUGAUUAAAUGUUUGUUCGGGUCAGUCCUAUGAUUUAAAUUUUGUUCGGGUCAGUCCCAUAAUUUAAAAUGUUAUUCGGGUCAGUCCCAUGAUUUAAAAGUUUGUUCGGGUCAGUCCCAUAAUUUAAAUUUUGUUCAGAUCAGUCCUAUGAUUUAAAAUUUUGUUCCGAUCAGUCCCAUGAUUUAAAUUUUGUUCAGGUCAGUCCUAUGAUUUAAAUUUUGUUCGGGUCAGUCCCAUGUUUAAUUUCUAGUUCCGGUCAAUCCCAAGUUUAAAUUCUGAUUCGGGUCAGUCCCAUGUUUAAUUUCUAGUUCGGGUCAGUCCCAAGUUUAAAUUCUGGUUCGGAUCAGUCCCAUCUUUAAUUUCUAGUUCGGGUCAGUCCCAUGAUUUAAUUUCCUGUUCGGGUCAAUCCCAUAUUUAAAUUCUAGUUCGGGUCGGUCCCAUGUUUAAUUUUUGGUUCGGGUCAGUUCCACGUUUAAUUUCUCGUUCGGUUCAGUCCAAUGUUUAAUUUCCUUUUCGGGUCAGUCCCAUGUUUAAUUUCUCGUUCGGGUCAGUCCCAUGUUUAAUUUCCUGUUCGGUCAGUCCCAUGUUUAAUUUCUUGUUCGAAUCAGUCCCAUAAUAAAUUCUCGUUCGGGUUAGUCCCAUAUUUAAAAUUUCUCGUUUGGAUCAGUCCCAUGUUUAAAUUCUUGUUCGAGCCAGUCUCAUUUUAAAUUUCUUAUUUGGGUCAGUCCCAUGUUAAAUUUCUGAUUCGGGUCAGUCCCGUUUUAAAUUUUUUGUUUGAGUCAGUCCAUUUUAAAAUUUUGGGGUCAGUCCUCAUUUCAAAAGCGUCAGUCGUUCGAAUAGCUUGCAUUGUUUGAACUACGUUUGAUCUGAUUUCCAUGGCGGGAUACGUAGGCAACUCUACAUGAGGUCGGUCACGUUUUUGUAAUUUCAUUGCAUCAUUUUGUCCAAUAAUUUCAACCAAGUGUUGGCUUGUUUGUUUUAACUCAUGUGCAGCUAGAAGAGACAGGUAAGUAAUUUGGUGUCUACGUCUAUGUCUUCAAUUUCUUUGAAACUCUAGACAAAGAGGGGCAAGCUGUAGACACCAAAUUUUUGUCAAUUUUCAGUGUUUUCUUGAAUUUUUUUUCUAUUUAAUGAAUUAUUUAUUUUCUUGCAUUUUAAUGUGCAUUUUUCUCAUUUUUUGCAGGUUUGUUUAAAAAAAAAAGAGAAGAAAGAAAAAAACAAAACACAAAAAAAAAAACAGAACAACAAAAACUAAAAAAAAGAGGAAAAUUAAGAAAAUAAAAAAAAUCAUUCUAAUCAUUUUUUUUAUACCAAAAUACAUUUAACCCAUUUCACAUUCAAUGGCCAUGGACUUGUCUUUUCAUUAGUUGAGAAAUCAUCAUUUUGGAAAAUUCAACACACAAGCUCCAUUUUGGCUACAAGUCCCUCUCGGCUUUCUCUUGAAAAAAAAGGAGAAAAAAAAACACACAAAAAUAAAGGGGAGGCUCUUGGCUCUCUCUCUGGUCUCGACCAAAAAGAAGGAGAGAAGCCACAAAAGAAAAAUUUUCCCUCCCUCUCUCGGCGGACUCAAAACGGACAGAAAAAAAAAAGAAGAAAGGGGGACACUCUCUCGGCCUUUUCUUUUGCUCUGAACAAAACCAAGACUUCAAAUUUUUUUUCCCUCUCAAUACAUCUCUCGGACCUCCUCUCUCCCAAUAUUUCCACAACACCCUUGCAGACAACAAAAAGGGAGGCAGCGACUGGUUGGGCUAUUGGAGUUUGGCAAUCUCAUCAAAAACUUUGGCCAAGGGACCAAGGUCUUCAUUGAGGUAUUUCUUGCUUUCCUUUUUUCCAGCCUUUUUUUUUAUUUAACUAGAUUAAAUGUAUGUGUGAUUGUUUGUGUGUUGUUUUAUUUUGCUGGUUUUGUUGUUAUUGUAUCGGUGAAAUUUUGGGAAGAUCAUAAACCAGAUUUAGGAAAAGGAAAUGUUUCUUGUGAAUGCAUGUUAAUUGUUUGAAAAAAUGCCAAAAUGAAAAAAAUGAAUUUUAGGGAUUGUUUUGCCUUAAUGUAGUCUUUUGUUUGUUGUUUUCUUGUUAGCUAAGAUUAUAGUUGUAAAUGUGGAGAUUAUAAGGAGUGUUUUGGCAUAAAUUUUAUGAUUUUUGGGUGAAGAUUUGAGUGUUUUAAAAAAUAAAAAAUUGGACUGACUUUUUGCUUUUCGACCACCUUCGGGUCAUUUUUGUAAAAAUUAACUCCGAAAAUGGAACUUACGUGAAAAAUGGAGUGGGGAAGUGCAUUUUGAGAAAUUUUGGUAAUGGAGAGGUCGCCGGCGGUGGCGGUCCGGUGGCAGCGGCGCCACCAUGGCCGCCACUGAAGUGAGCUUUGGAUGGCCAGAGGAGAAGAAGAAAGGAAUGGGGAAGAAAGAAAAGAAAGGAAAGAAAAGAAAGGAAAGAAAAGAAAAGGAAAAGAAUUGGGUUAAUUUUUUAGUAGGCUUGAGUUUAUUUUUUUGGUUGGGUUUUGGGAAUGGAACCUUGUUUAUUUCUUUUGGGUUUCGGUUGGGCUAAGAGGUUGGAACCCAUGUAUUUUUUGGUCGGUCUUGAGUGAUAACAAGACGGGCUGGCCUGUGUUUUUGGUUUGGACUUUCGGUUGGGCUAAGGCAGUUUUCGGCCCGAAGAAAUAAAUAAUGGCCCAGUGGCCUGUUUUCUUAAGAAAAUCUGAUUACGAUUUGCACUUUGGCCCUUGAUCUUUGGAGCAGUUUUAUUGUGGCCCAAAAUAUUUUAAAUUCCUUUCACCUAGGUCCUUAAAUUAAUUGCUCUUUGGUCCCUAAAUUUUAUCUUUCAUUUAAUUUCGGCCUCUGAACUUUGGAAAAUAUAAUUUUUGUCCCCAAAGGUUUUUUCAAAUUUUGCAAUUCAGUCCCUGAUGAAUUUUGACUCUCUUUAUUAUGAUUGCUUCUUUUCUUUAAUAGUUAAUUAUGUUACUUUUGAGUAUUUUAACGUGUAAUUUUUAGAUAUUCUUAAAUUUAUUUACGUUUGACAUAUUAAGGUGAAUUUUCAUUAUUAUUAUUACUUUUUCAAUUAAAUUGGUGCCAUGAUUCUUUUGUUCAUUUUGAGUAUAAAUAGGGCAAUUUGACUCCGUUUAGUCACCACUUCAAAAGGGAGGUACCCCAUUAUUAUUAUUUUAAUGUCAAUUACGUGCUCUUAUGUACUCCUACGUGUUCCUAUGUGUUUAUAUAUUUUCAUACGUUUUGUUUAUUUUAUUUACAUGUUCAUUCGAAUUUUCUUAUAUUUGUUUAGUUAAUUCUUAUAAUUAUUCGAGAGGCAUUUAAUUACCUCAUAAAUGUAAUAGAUAGGAUAAUUAGAUUUGUUUUUAUUAUAUUUUUCCUUUUUAGAUUGUAGUUAAGUCCCCUGUUGUAAUAGAUAGGGUAGAUAGGAUUUUCUUUAUUUUCCCAUUUUAGAUUGUAGUUAGGCUCCCCGAUGUAAUAGAUUGGUUGUGUGUUUAUGUGGCUUACGUGUUAUAUGUUUUACCCCUUUCCUUAGAAUUUUUGCCUCUAGAUAUUAUGCUUACUUGUUAUGUGCUACGUGCUCUUAUGUGUUUAUUUGUUUUAAUUUAUGUUUUAUUUGUUUUACUAUGUACUAUUAAUGGAUGACGUCACCACACUAGUCCAACGCUAGUUGUGGCUUCUCCCUCUAUUUACUUGCUAGUCCAAUGCUAGUAAGAAUUUUUAGAAAUGGGAUAGUCCAAUGCUAGACCCUUUAGGCCGUCCUGCGCUAGAUUCAUCUUUGUGUGAUAAUUCACUACAUUUUCAUGCAUAUUUUCAUUUUUAUGAUCUUUUUUCAUUUGCAUGAUAUUCCCUAUUAUAUUAUCCCCUAUCCUCUAUAUGUGUUAAUCAUAUCAUUUAGAAUUGCAUUUCAUUAAGAAAUUGUAUGAUAAGUAGGUUCAUUUGCUUGUUCAUAUUAGGAGAAUUAUUUUUCAAACAUGAAAAAUGGGUGAUUAUAACUUUUUAGUUUAAAUACCCCAUUAAUCCCUGUAUAAGAAAAUUAUGUCACGAGUUUUUGCCUCUCAUACCCUUUAUGUUGCAUUCCCUUUUUCUUUGAUCACUUAUAUCUAUGUAUAUAAUUUAAUUUCUUUUCUUUACUUUCCUUUUUUUCAUCAUUUGCAUAUUCGUGACCCUUUCAAGAAAGUAUUUUGGCCUUCGCAACUAAUGCGAUUGUUUUAAUUAAACCCUUGAAUGGAUAUUUUGUCUCUUUCGAUAUUUUAUUUGCAUCCAUGUAAAAAACAUCCAAAUGUGAUAAAUUUAAGGUUAGAUUAAGCAAAUUUUGACUAAACCACGCAACUAGCUUAGACUAGGUUGAAAUGGUGCCUUAGGUUUGAGAUAAUUGAACCUUUACCUUCCCUUUCUUCAGUCGUGACUCCCGAUUUCAUUUUCUCUGUUUUCAAAAACCUGGAGUUGUCGAAAAGGGUUUUAUUUAUUUUACUUUAUUUUGAGUGACUUGGUACACAAAAACUCUAUACCAAUGGCGACUCCUAUUUUUUCUUGAAAACCCUUUUAGACUAAUUUUUGGAUCCAAAUUGUCGCAUUCUUUUUAAGUCCCAUUCUAGGUCCUUUUUCAUUUAUUAUUAAUAAAUCACAUCUUUUUAUAAACACUUUAUUUUUCAUCGCGAAAAAUAGGGCGCGACACUAACUUUAUCAUUUGAAUUUUGCCAUGGUUGAGUAUUUUCUAUUUUUAGGCAUUUUUUAAUUUCAUUAAUAUGUGAAGUUAGAUGUAUUUAUUUGAGCUUAUUGAUGUUAUUGGUGAUUGUUAGUGAUAAAUAAAUCUUGAGGUUGUGUUUAUUGUAUUCAUUUGGUGAAUUUUAGCUAAUUCUAUGCUGAAUUUGGCUUGGUAAUAAAGUUGCAUAUUAAGUAGCCAAUGUAGCAUUUUAAUUAGCUUUGUGAGAGUUUAUGAUAUUCAUGUGAGUAAUUUAGAUUACCUAAUGAAUGAAACGGUGCUUGGUUGAAUUAUUGUUUGAAUUCUUAGUUAAUUCUAAAAUAAGAGAUGAAUUGAAAAUGGCCUUAAUUGAUGAAAUUCAUAAAUGUACUUAUAAUCUUUGUGGUUCAAUGGUUUUUAGUAUUUCAGGAGUUCUCAAGAAGUUCAUUUAUAUUUUGGUUUGGUAUGUUUGCCUCCAUUUUGAGAUUACUUUUGUACUUGAGGGGACUUGAUCAUUGAUGACAAAAUGUAUAAAUAGAACUUACUUUGUUCAUGAUGAUGGGCUUAUUUUGUGAAAUUAGUUUCCCUUUGUUUUGGAUACUGAUGCAUAUACUUGAUUAGCGAAGAUUAGCCCAUUUCAUGUUUUUAUCCCUUGAACAUUGUAUGGUUCCAUAUGCUUGAUCCUUUUCCCUUUUUCCUUGAUUUGCAUGUUUUCUUCUUGUUGGUUGCAAGCUUUUAUUCUUAAGAAGUUAUUUUAUUCUGAUUUUGUCUUUUUCAGGGUGCAUUAAUUGAACUCUCCAUUCUUUCUCAAAUAAGGUUGGAAAUUCAUCACAUGACCAUGGAUUUGGAUCGCGCAAGUCAUAAGGGUGUAUUUUCUCUUACUCUUUAUUUAUUUUCCUUUUCUCACAUUGAGGACAAUGUGAAGUUUAAGUGUGGGGAAGGAAAUAAUUGACUUGUUAUUUUAUGUCAUGUGAUGAUAAUUUGUGGCUUUAAAUGUCUUAGAAAUGUUGGAAUUGUGCUUGAAAAUAUUGCAAUGUUGAACUUUUCUUGAAAAAUUGGUUUGUUAGCAGGGAGUUUUGUCCAUUUAUAAGGGAAAACUCUGUCAAAAUUUUUCUAAAAUCUGUUUCAAUAUUUCACUAUGACCCAAAAAUUUUUGCAAUUUUUGUCUUUGUUUUAAAAAGGGCCAAUUUGUUCCAACUUUAAGUGCUCUAAUUCUUCCACUUGUUGAAACUUUAUAUGUAUUUUGGAAGAUUUAGUUCUCAUUUGAUUUGGAAAUGGUUAUUAUGCAAUUAAGAUUGUUGCAUUUUAGAAAGUAUAUCCUGUAAAGUAGAAAGAAUUAUGCCUAUAAUUUUGCAUGUUUAAUGAGAUUUCUCCUCUUUACUUAAUUUUGCAAAUAAUUAUUGAUAUAGUCAAUAAAAACUAUACUCUUCCUUUGAUUAUUCUUAUACAUUUGCUAUGAGGGAAUGUCUAUUUAUUGUCUUUUACUAAAAUAAAAAAGAGAAAAAAGAAAGAAAAAUAAAAGUUUUUGUUCUACUCCAAUGAUUCUUGUACCGAGUUAUCGAAGGUUAGCAUCUACAAAUGUUGACACUCACGUAAAAGGGUACUUGAAUUAAAAGUAUGCAUAGCAACCUGAAUAAGUGAAAUGUUGAGUAACCGGAAUUCUUCACCUAAAAGUGUCGAUAUUCGUGUCAAAAGAUAUUUUCACUAUUUGAGUAAAAUUAGUAUGAAUAAAUCCUUCUUAGUUGUAAAAUUUCUGAAAAAGAUGAUCUUGGGAGGAAGAAAGCUAUAUAUUGACUAUGUGAUUUACUUAAUUGUGAAAUUAGAUUAGGGUGAGAGAUUAAAUAUAAGUUGUUGAAUUUAAGGCAUAAUUAUCUUUUGUUUACUUGAUAUUAUGAGUAUUUAGUGUGAAUUGAACAAUUGCAUAAUGAUUAUUUGCCAAGUUAUGAGGAAUUGAAUUCGAAAAAGUGCAUAUAGUGUUUCACCUCUUGAAUCAUUGUUGUUGAUUAUGUGUUAAUUGAUUGAGGACAAGCAAUGGUUCAAGUGUGGAGGAGUUUGAUAAGUGUAUAUUUUACAUGUUUUUAAGUGUGUUUUAUUAGUUAGUUUUAGCGUGUUUUAUGUGACAGCCCCACCUCCCCCUAAGACGAACCAAAGGGUUCAGCGGACCGCCUGCCCAACUCUCGCGGGACUCAGUCGUUCACUCAAACGAAUCAAAAAUAAAACCUCAAGAAGAGUAAAACAAGGAUCCAGUUCAUUACAGUCCUUAAUCAAAACCCGAAUCCAAUCACAGAAAUAAAUAGUACGAAAAGUCAAAACUUAAAGCGGAACUUAUAUACAUUGCUAUCUCAAGAGGAAGUACAACCGUCAAAUAUACCGAGGUUCUCAAUUCACCAUACAACCAACCGUGCCAAGCACUAGAACGAGAACCAUUACAACAGAAAACCAAGAGCUAGACCAAGCUAGUCUAUACAGGCUCUUGUCCUUGCUCGCCCACCCCUGUUAAGAAAAACAAAACUAAAGGGAUGAGCUGGAAAGCUCAGUGAGGUUCCGAUCACAUAGGUAAACAAGAAGUUCAAUGCAUUCAUUACACGUAGCCAAUAAUUCAAGAUACAAAGAUAAGAUAAAGCGAUAAACACAUUCAUUAAAAGGAUACGGGCUCACAAGGAGCCAUUCGUUCAUUCGUUCGUUCAGUCAUUCUCUAUACCUUCAAUCAUUUGAAAAUGCAUUUUGUAUAAGUAAAACCCCUCGUUCAUUCAUUCGUUCAUUCAUUCAUUCACCCAUCCUGGACAUUAUCCAGACUCCACCAACCUCCACCAACGUACAAGGUAAUACUCGAGUAUACCAAAACAUUCACUCAGGUCCCUAAUCGCCCGACCGAGUCCGCUUCUGGCUCGAGACGACCGGUAACAAGGGCAGGACCAAUUCAGCCAAAAGGCUUACAUUCAUGCACAAAUAACAUUUCAAUCGUUCAAUCAUUGAAAACUUCUCAAUCAUUUAGGCCGAGUGCGAUAAAGUACACACUCGCCUAGAAAACGCAUUUUAGCAAUCAUUGAAAACAUUUAACAUGUUAUCAAUCAUUCAUACAAGCCAUAUAACCAUGAAACAUAACAAACAAGAAACACUCACCUAUACACGCAAAAUAACGUCAACUUCUCAAUCACCAAUGAAACCUAAAAUUAAACAAAGAACACAUUACAAUCCAUCUAGCAUGCUUUAGAUGCAAUCAAGAAUUACCCGACUACUCGCGAGUAAACGUAUAAAAAUGACUGUUAAAGUGUAAAGAGGGUAUUUGGAUCCAUGGACGGGAAUAACUAGGGUUCAUAAACCAACCGUGAAACCAAACUCAAAAGGUUAUGAAAUUUCCGACAGAAAACACUUUAACCAUCGACAAAUCGAAAUCCAAUAAGGUAAGCUAAAAAGUAUUAUUUCCGGAAUCGUUUAUGUGGGUCAAAAUCAAUAGACUAUAUGCCUUGAUGAAAAUCAUGAAAAGGUGGCAAAACUACCUCACUUUCACCCUUAAAACUUCACUUAAAAGUUAUUCACUUGUGGCCGAGAGAACCCGAGGUCAACCUCUAUAUUUUGAUAAACAGUAAGUAAACGUUUGGAGUUUCAAACCAAAGAGGUAUUAGGUUUUAGAAUGGUAAAAUGAUCACUUUAUUUGCCAAGCGGAAAUAUACAAGUUCAAAUAGAAAUUUAGUCCUUGAGUGAAAAUUUGGGCAGCACGCCCUUUGUAUUUACCUAUUUUCAGUCAUUUAUGGCUUCAUUGUUUUCCCCAAUCAAUCCCAACAUUACACACAACAUAAACAACCACUCAAUAUGCUCAAGACAAAACAAGGAUAAAAUUUUAAGCUAACAACAAGUGUGGAAACGAAGUUUACAAAAGACAGUUUUGACGGGUUUUUGCGGAAUGGCCACAUCCGAGGCUACGCUUAUCGGAUUGAGAUGCAACUUAUAUCAUUUCGAAGCUAAGACAGGGGGAUACAAGGUUGAAGAAGACCACUCAGUCCAGUUUGCAAUGUAUCUAGGUCAAAUUUACCAAAACAACUCCAGAUUUUCCAAUUCGAAGUUUACUAUGGCAGUCCUGACUCAUUCAGUCAUAUCUCAGAAUAUACAACUCCAAUUCAAGUGAUUCUAAAACCAUUUGAAAGCUAAUAUACAAGGCUAUAAGUCUUAAGAAGACAUAAACAGCCAAAUCAGUAGUGUUCCUGGUCAAAACAACUAAUUACAGAAGCUAUUUAGUAUGUUCGGAUAGAAACAGGGCAGUAGGGGUAUUUUGGUCUUUUCACAGGGUACGUUGCUCCGAUUUAGCUGAAAUUUUGUAGGCAUCCAUAAAAUAUUAUUAUAUACAACUUUCAUGUUUUGUAAUAAGUCCAAUUCGGCCUCUAACAUUGUCAAACAGAAACGGACAGAACUGGAACCUAGAAUUUCAGAAAUCUGGAUUCCAAGCAUAUAAGUACUAAUCCUCGCAAAUUGAACUUGAAACACCGCUACUACCUCCUAUACAUGCUUAUAUACAUCAUAUGUCAUCCAUACAACAAAUAUGAGAAAGAAAUUAUUCAAACCCUGACUUAAAUACAUCAACCCCAAUCAUCCAAAUCCACUUGAUAUAAGCAUAACAAGCAAAAUUACAUGCUACUACACAACUCAAACAUGGUGAAGGGAAAAGAAAAGUUAGUCAGCCAUUAUACCUCAAGACAAGAGCUUUCAAGAGUUAUCCUUCACUUCUCUUGGCAAAAUUUAGCUACUUAAGCUUCCCAAGCUUCCAAACUAAUGAUUAAUCGGUUUAGUUUUUCUUGUUUUCACUCAUUCAAGCUCAAACCAAGAUUGAUUGAAGUUUCCUUUUCUCUUGUUUUUCCUCCCUCAAUUCACGGCUGAUAUGCAGAAAUAAUGGAGGAAAUAGGUUGGUUUUUUGGUGAUAAAUAUGGUGUAAAUUAAUUAGUCAACCAUCCAAUGAAAUACCGCCACUUGUCGCCACCAAUUCCAUUCCUUUUUUCCCUUUUCUCUCUUGGUAUUUAAAGUCAACAAUUGUGGCUGAUGUAUGAGAUAUUUUGAGAGUUAAUUAGCUGUAAUAAAAUAAGAAGAUUAAGGUAAUAAAGUAGGGAUCAAGUGGUGUGUUCAAUCGGUAGUGAUCGAUACCUGUCGGUUCGGGCCGUUUUUUUCUUAAAUCGCGUAUACUAGGGUUUUAACUUAUAAUUCACUAACUUAUUAUUAUCAUCUCUAAUUUCACACUUAAUAUCAUCUAAAAUUCACUUUUAAUCACCAAAUUGGAUCCACACUUCGUACCAGAUAGUCGCACUACGGAUAGGCGUAAAACCCUAAUUCGUGCUAACUUAAAAACGGACAAUGAAAACCCUUACUUCUAUGUUCAUUUACACUUAUUGUGGGUGAUUGGGUAGUAGGCUAUUAUAAACUAAUAGUUUCCAAAUAAAAGGAUAUUUUUAAGAAAAGUGAGGGUUUUACAAUUCCACACAUUGAAUUUAGGGUUUCGGUUGAAAUAUGAGAAAUUUGAGAAAAUGGUCAAUCACAAAUGAAACUGGGGUUUCGAUUAAACUUUUAGGGUUUCUAGUCUUUUAAAAUAAAAAAAAGGUUUUAAAUCAACCCAAAGAAAUAAUUUUAGUUUCUUCUUUAGAAUAAAAUAAUGUUUUUAAAAUAAAAAUAAACUAAAGAAACUGUAAUAUCCUCUUUGAGACUAAUCAAAAGAUGAUCCUAAAAGUUGGGGUAUCACAAUCUCCCCUCCUUCAAAGAAUGUCGUCCUCGACAUUUUUUUCAAAAGGUGAUUUUGUAGGUAAUACAGUAAUUUGACUAAAACAACAAGAUAUAACACACCAAAUACACAAGGAGACAUAUACACAAUAUAAUGCACCAUAUACACCAAGAGACAUUUCAAGUUAGGUAAAGUCAAGUGCAGUAAGUACUAUAGGUGUAGGCAUUAUCAUGCCACAAGUAAAUGACGUGUAAGGACAAUGCAAGGGCAAAACGAAAGAAAACACGACUUGUCGUCCCACAUUCAGCUAAGAUGACCCCGUCCGGUCUCUCACGUCACUCACUAUCCAAACUAGAUGUCCAUUGACCACUUGUGCUCAUUCUAGUCAGACAAAGCCUGUUCAUUUCCCUAAAUGCAAGUCUCAAAUACUGAGCAUCGCCUCAACGCUAGAGUACUAGGGCACGAGAAUCCGAAAUAAGAUAAUUCACAUCUCAAGCGGGCCAGUCCCAAGAGUAAACUAUCUACAAUCGAAAUUCCUACCCGACGUACCUAUCUAUGAUCCUCAAAUACCAUGAAAAAGAUUAAAGGUCCAUAACAUUCGCAAUUCAUAGCUUAUGCUCGACCGAACACUUAGUCCUUCAUAUUUAUUCACCAUUUAGUCCAGGCUCACUCCUCGCAGAGACCACGCGAAGCAGCUAUAUGUUUUAUCCCUCAAUUGCCUAACUUUCAAAUCAAAUCAAAUCCCACAGUCCGGCAUCCUAAACUUUAGCCUAGGAUACACUACAGAGAUCUGAAUCCUAGGCUCUGAUACCACCUGUGACAGCCCCACCUCCCCCUAAGGCGAACCAAAGGGUUCAGCGGACCGCCUGCCCAGCUCUCGCCGGGACUCAGUCGUUCACUCAAACGAAUCAAAAAUAAAACCUCAAGAAGAGUAAAACAAGGAUCCAGUUCAUUACAGUCCUUAAUCAAGACCCGAAUCCAAUCACAGGAAUAAAUAGUACGAGAAGUCAAAACUUAAAGCGGAACUUAUAUACAUUGCUAUCUCAAGAGGAAGUACAACCAUCAAAUAUACCGAGAUUCUCAAUUCACCAUACAACCAGCCCGUGCCAACCACUAGGGCAAGAACCAUUACAACAGAAAACCAAGAGCUAGACCAAGCUAGUCUAUACAGGCUCUUGUCCUUGCUCGCCUACCCCUGUUAAGAAAAACAAAACUAAAGGGAUGAGCUGGAAAGCCCAGUGAGGUUCCGAUCACAUAGGCAAACAAGAAGUUCAAUGCAUUCAUUACACGUAGCCAAUAAUUCAAGAUACAAAGAUAAGAUAAAGCAAUAAACACAUUCAUUAAAAGGAUACGGGCUCACAAGAAGCCAUUCGUUCAUUCAUUCCUUAUACCUUCAAUCAUUUGAAAAUGCAUUUUGUAUAAGUAAAACCCUUCGUUCAUUCAUUCGUUUAUUCAUUCAUUCACCCCAUCCUGGACAUUGUCCAGGCUCCACCAACCUCCACCAACCUACAAGGUAAUACUCGAGUAUACCAAAACAUUCACCCAGGUCCCUAAUCGCCGACCGAGUCCGCAUCUGACUCGAGACGACUGGUAACAAGGGGCAGUGGCCAAUUCAGCCAAAAGGCUUACAUUCAUGCACAAAUAACAUUUCAAUCGUUCAAUCAUUGAAAACUUCUUAAUCAUUUAGGCCGAGUGCGAUAAAGUACACACUCGCCUAAAAAACGCGUUUUAGCAAUCAUUGAAAACAUUUAACAUGUUAUCAAUCAUUCAUACAAGCCAUAUAACCAUGAAACAUAACAAACAAGAAACACUCACCUAUACACGCAAAAUAACGUCCACUUCUCAAUCACCAAUGAAACCUAAAAUUAAACAAAGAACACAUUACAAUCCAUCUAGCAUGCUUUAGAUGCAAUCAAGAAUUACCCGACUACUCGCGAGUAAACGUAUAAAAAUGACUUUUAAAGUGUAAAGAGGGUAUUUGGAUCCGUGGACGGGAAUAACUAGGGUUCAUAAACCAACCGUGAAACCAAACUCAAAAGGUUAUGAAAUUUCCGACAGAAAACACUUUAACCAUCGACAAAUCAAAAUCCAAUAAGGUAAGCUAAGAAGUAUUGUUUCCGGAAUCGUUUAUGUGGCUCAAAAUCAAUAGACUAUAUGCCUUGAUGAAAAUCAUGAAAAGGUUGCAAAACUACCUCACUUUCACCCUUAAAACUUCACUUAAAAGUUAUUCACUUGUGGCCGAGAGAACCUGAGGUCAACCUCUAUAUUUUGGUAAACAGUAAGUAAACGUUUGGAGUUUCAAACUAAAGAGGUAUUAGGUUUUAGAAUGGUAAAAUGAUCACUUUAUUUGCCAUGCGGAAAUAUACAGGUUCAAAUAGAAAUUUAGUCCUUGAGCGAAAAUUUGGGCAGCACGCCCUUUGUAUUUACCUAUUUUUCAGUCAUUUAUGGCUUCAUUGUUUUCCCCAAUCAAUCCCAACAUUACACACAACAUAAACAACCACUCAAUAUGCUCAAGACAAUACAAGGAUAAAAUUUUAAGCUAACAACAAGUGUGGAAACGAAGUUUACAAAAGACAGUUUUGACGGGUUUUUGCGGAAUGGCCACAUCCGAGGCUACGCUUAUCGGAUUGAGGUGCAACUUAUAUCAUUUCAAAGAUAAGACAGGGGGAUACAAGGUUGAAGAAGGCCACUCAGUCCAGUUUGCAAUGUAUCUAGGUCAAAUUUACCAAAACAACUCCAGAUUUUCCAAUUCGAAGUUUAUUAUGGCAGUCCUGACUCAUUCAGUCAUAUCUCAGAAUAUACAACUCCAAUUCAAGUGAUUCUAAAGCCAUUUGAAAGCUAAUAUACAAGGCUAUAAGUCUUAAGAAGACAUCAACAGCCAAAUCAGUAGUGUUCCUGGUCAAAACAACUAAUUACAGAAGCUGUUUAGUAUGUUCGGAUAGAAACAGGGCAGUAGGAAUAUUUUGGUCUUUUCAUGGUUACGUUGAUCCGAUUGUGCUGAAAUUUUGUAGGCAACUAUAAAAUAUUAUUAUCUACAACUUUCAUAUUUUGUGUUAAGUCCAAUUCGGCCUCUAACAUUGUCAAACAGAAACGGACAGAACUGGAACCUAGAAUUUCAGAAAUCUGGAUUCCAAGCAUAUAAGUACUAAUCCUCGCAAAUUGAACUUGAAACACCGCUACUACCUCCUAUACAUGCUUAUAUACAUCAUAUGUCAUCCAUACAACAAAUAUGAGAAAGAAAUUAUUCAAACCCUGACUUAAAUACAUCAACCCCAAUCAUCCAAAUCCACUUGAUAUAAGCAUAACAAGCAAAAUUACAUGCUACUACACAACUCAAACAUGGUGAAGGGAAAAGAAAAGUUAGUCAGCCAUUAUACCUCAAGACAAGAGCUUUCAAGAGUUAUCCUUCACUUCUCUUGGCAAAAUUUAGCUCCUUAAGCUUCCCAAGCUUCCAAACUAAUGAUUAAUCGAUUUAGUUUUUCUUGUUUUCACUCAUUCAAGCUCAAACCAAGAUUGAUUGAAGUUUCCUUUUCUCUUGUUUUUCCUCCCUCAACUCAUGGCUGAUAUGCAGAAAUAAUGGAGGAAAUAGGUUGGUUUUUGGUGAUAAAUAUGGUGUAAAUUAGUUAGUCAACCAUCCAAUGAAAUACCGCCACUUGUCGCCACCAAUUCCAUUCCUUUUUUCCCUUUUCUCUCUUGGUAUUUAAAGUCAACAAUUGUGGCUGAUGUAUGAGAUAUUUUGAGGGUUAAUUAGCUGUAAUAAAAUAAGAAGAUUAAGGUAAUAAAGUAGGGAUCAAGUGGUGUGUUCAAUCGGUAGUGAUCGAUACCCGUCGGUUCGGGCCGUUUUUUUCUUAAAUCGCGUAUACUAGGGUUUUAACUUAUAAUUCACUAACUUAUUAUUAUCAUCUCUAAUUUCACAUUUAAUAUCAUCUAAAAUUCACUUUUAAUCACCAAAUUGGAUCCACACUUCAUACCGGAUAGUUGCACUACGGAUAGGCGUAAAACCCUAAUUCGUGCUAACUUAAAAACGGACAACGAAAACCCUUACUUCUAUAUUCAUUUACACUUAUUGUGGGGUGAUUGGGUAGUAGGGCUGUUAUAAACUAAUAGUUUCCAAAUAAAAGGGCAUUUUUAAGAAAAGUGAGGGUUUUACAAUUCCACACAUUGAAUUUAGGGUUUCGGUUGAAAUAUGAGAAAUUUGAGAAAAUGGUCAAUCACAAAUGAAACUAGGGUUUCGAUUAAACUUUUAGGGUUUCUAGUCUUUUAAAAUAAAACAAAGGUUUUAAAUCAACCCAAAGAAAUAACUUUAGUUUCUUCUUUAGAACAAAAUAAUGUUUUUAAAAUAAAAAUAAACUAAAGAAACUGUAAUAUCCUCUUUGAGACUAAUCAAAAGAUGAUCCUAAAAGUUGGGGUAUCACAUUUUAACUAUUUUUAUAGCUAAUUAGCUAGAAUUCUAGUGAAAAUAUGCAUUUUGUGGUAUAAGUAGUAAAAAUUGCAUUUCUAUGGAUUUUUAUGGUGAAAACUUCAUGUUUUUGUAGGUUUAAUUAUUCAAUCAUUAAUUGGAGUGAUUUGAGAAGAUAAUUGGAUGAUUGAUGAUGGUUUGAAGUGAUAAAAAAAGAAUAUGAAGUGCAAAAAAGGAAAUGCAAUCAAGAAUAAAAGGAAUCAAGUUUCACAAUUUUGACAUCUUGUGGUAUAUUGACAAUAUCUUGAGCUACAAGCAUCGGAUUGAGGUGAUCUAUGAAUCAUGUUGAAGCUAAGAGAUAUGUCUACAUUUGGUGUGAAAACAUCAAAAUCCAGUUCAAUCAUUUUCCUUGUUUGAAAGUCGAAAUACAGAAAUGCAUUUUCAUGGCUAAAAGCUGAAACAGAGUUCUGACCAAUUAAGGGUAUUGGCCCACAGGGCUUCAAAUUAGAUGAUUCUUCAUGCAUUGGAAAACUAAUUCAAAGGGUUACAACUUUUGUGUUUUGCAUAAGAUUUCGUUCAACCUCCAUUAUCAAGAAAAGAUCAGUGAAAGUUGGGAAAAAUAAAGCACGUAAAUCCAAAUUCAGAUAUGUACUAAACCCGACCUUGGAUAAACUUCCGUAAUCAGAGGCUACAUCCGAGAAGAGGAUCCGAGCUUGGAUCCCCAUGUUACAGGUCUCGGAUCCUAAUGUGCAGUGAAGAUAAAAAUAAAGAAAAAUGAGACCCGAGGGGUAUUUCGAGCGAUCCAACCUCGGAUCCUCAAUUUCGGCUCUGCAACUUGUACUCUGUUCACACAAGCUUUUUGACCAAUUUAUCUGUAAGAAAUCUAGCUGGAAUUGAGCAAGCAGGUAUAAAGAAUUCAAGAAGCAUCUUUUGAUGAUUCCAAAGAGCAAUUUACAUCAACUUUAACAGCUCACCUUGAACUUGAAUUCUUCUAUAAAUAGAGGCAUUGGAGGACAUUUUCACAACUUUGGAAGACUAAAGAAACUCAUCAAAAAUGUAGUAUUCACUAGAGUUUCCUUAGUCCAUUAGUUAGGUUAAUAUAUUAUAGAAUAGUUUAGGAAGUUAUGUGUGUUAUCCACUCUUGUGUAUUGGCUAGAUUAGGAUGAAGAUGGAAAUGAAGAAGGAGGAGAUAAAGCUCAUGUGACAAGGGUUAUCUCUUCUCCAACUCUUUAUCUUUUGUAUUGGAUUCUUAAGUAUGGUUAAUAUGCAAGUUUUGGAUUUGUGUUUCAAUAUGUUUUUCUCAAAUUUAUGCCUAGAAUUAUAGAUGAAUUUGCUAUAUCUUGUUAGUGAUAUUUACUUGGUUAUUCGAUGAUAUUAUUUUGAGUAAGUUAUUUAUCACUUUUACUUAUCUAAUCAUGAUUAACUGUCCAUUAAUUAUGAUAAUCUUAAGGUGUUAUAUUUGCAAUGAAAAUUAUAAUUUAACACUAGUUCAAAGAAGUGAUGAAUCUAGGGAGUACACUUACGAAAGUAGAGAUACACCUUUGUGAUUUUGGUGACUUGUUUCAUGUAAUUUCAUAAAAGGAAUGAGCUUGUAAUUAGUUUCAUAACCACGAAAGUAGGUAUGAAUUAACUAUAGGUAUAGUUGGUACACCGAUGAAAGCGGGUAUCACGUGCAUUAGGAAAUUACGCCAUAACUAAUCAAGAUAAUGGCAUUCGAGUAACCGUUAAUGUCAUUUGCAAGAGUAGUUAGGAAUUCCAUACAUUUAGGGGCUUUUUAUUGUUAUUUUUAUUACUUUUAUUUGUUUUUUAUAGUGUAGAUUUAAUUUCUUGCACUUAUGACAGUUUAAAUAAUAAAAGAGUUUGAAAAUCGUCGGUAAUUGACAAUCUUUCCUAUGAGAUGGAUACCUAAUAUCCCUAUACUCAAUAAACGAUUCGUAUACAUGCGAAAAAUUGCGUGUGGGGUAUUUAGGAAUUAUAAAUGUAAAACUUGACUGUAGAAUGAGUUAAUUGAUAUAUGUAGACCCCGCACUCGUCAGCUAAUAUUGAAAUGCAAUAAAUCUAAUUAUGAGGAAGAAAGGUAUUUUGGGCAAAUAGAAAAUAAAAGGUAUUUUGGGCAAAUAGAAAAUAAAAACCAAAUCCUGUUUAGUCUCUAAUGCUUAACAUUUUAUUUUGUCAUCAACUAUUAUUUUCCCUUAAAUCAAUAGCUAUGACAUAAUGAAUUUUAAUCAUCAUAAUAAAUUUAAAACUAAAAAUGCAUAAUAUAAAACUUCAAUGAUCAAUUAAUAAGGGUAUAAUUGAAUUAAUAAAAAUUAAGAUCACAAUAAUGCUUACACUUACACUCCAAAGUACCAAAAUUCAUGUUAUGUUUUAUAUAGUAAUAUUAAUAAUGAACCAUUAUUUUCUCCUAAAUCAAUAGAUGUUAUAUAAUGAAUUUUAAUCAUCAUAAUAAAUUUAAAAGAGCACAAUAUGAAACUUCAAUCAUCAAUUAAUAAGGGCAUAAUUGACAUAACAAAAACUAAGAUCACAAUAAUGCUUACAUUUACACUCUAAAGUAUUAAGACUCGUAAUACCUUUUAUAUAGUAAUGCUUCCUCAAUAUGAAGUUAUAUGCACCAUUUUUUGAAAAAAUGAAGAUAUAUAUAUAUAUAUAUAUAUAGCCUUUGAAGUUGAACUCUUUGUAUUAUUUUGUGAGGUAUUUCUAUUGUAGACACCAAAUUUUGAAUUGAUUUAUAUGCUUCGUUUUAGUGAUAAGUCUUGUCUAUUGAUUUUUGUUUAUCUCAUGAUUUUUGUUUUAAAUGGUUUGCAUUUUGUUUUGCCCCUUUAGAUGUUAUUUUAUUUUAUUUUUAGUUUUAUUUACUUUUUAGUUUUUUAGUUUUUGUUUUUUAAGUUUUAGCGUAGAAAAUCAUGAAAAAUGAAAAAAGGAAAAAUCAUGAAAAAAGAGGAAAAAGGAAAAGAAAAAUAGCAUUUUUGUUUUUAUUUAUCUAUUUUAGUCAUUUCUACUUAAUUUAAAUUUUGUUUUUGUUUGGUUCAUUUAGAAAAAAAAAAGGAAAAAAAAAAAAGAAAAAAUGAUGAAAAUGGAAAAUGAAAAAAAAUUGCAUUUUGUUGUUUCUAGUUUGUUUAUUUUAUCCAAUGUUAAUUAAGUGGGUUUUGUUAUUAUUAUUGUUAUUAUUAUUAUCAUUUUGGUUUUGUUAAAUAUCUUUUGAAAAAAAAAAAAAAAAAAAGCUGCGUGCAUGCAAGCUGCAUUUUUGCAGCUUGCAAAGGAACUUUGAGGCAGCUCCUUAGCUGCAAAUACAGAGGAAGUUGUUAAGGGUUUAGGAGGGGGGCUCCCAUAUAAAUAGAAAAAGAGGAUUCAGCCGCAAGAGGGGUGACGGGAAAAAGAGAGAAGAAAGAAACGGCAAAGGAGAGUGACGGCUAAGGGAAAAAGAAAAAAAAAAGGAAAAAAGGAGCGGCAGACAGAACGAGUGAGAGGCUAAAAGGAAGGAGGUAGCACCUGGGUUUCUGGGGGGAGAGUUAGGAGAAUCCAAGAAGAAGAGACUGAGAGGGUGGAGGUCUACGGGGUUUGAGAGCGAAGGAUUUGGCAGCGGCUAAGCCUGGAGGGACCGAGGAACUGGACAGAAAGAAGGAGAGCAUCAGGGGCUUGGCUACGUGAAACUGAAGAUUAAGUGAAGCUGGGCAAGAAUUUGUCUUCUGAUCAUCGCACACUUCAGUCCGCCUUUUAGAAGAUUAAAGGUAGUACCUUUCAUUUUAUUUCCCUGUCCGUAGAUUACAAGAGUCUUGUUAGAAAUGUUGAAAUGUUGUUGCGAUGCCGGCUGCUAUUGUUUGAAUCAAAAUCUGGUUUUGUAUGAUGGAUAGUGAAGAAAGUUGCGGCUGGAAAAUUGCAGAAUGCAUGAGUUUCUUUGCAUUUUUUGAGUGAGGUUCUUCUAUGUUUUGUUUUGUUUAAGUGAUAAGGUUCUAUACUUGGUUGUUUAGCCUAGAGUCUUGAUGUUUGGUGGGUGAAGUUCUCCUAAAAAAUUAAGCUUGUGGAUUGAACUUUAUGUUUGGAAUUUGAAUUUGCAGCAGAUUUAUGAUCAUACGACCCCUCUCUGCCCAGAUUUUCCUUUCCUUUGCAUGACAUGAGUUUGUAACAUUGAAUGAGGGCCUGAAAUUUAGUCUUGUUGCCAGCCAUUUGUCAUGAAAUGCGGCGUGAAUCUCAGGAAAAUUAGAAUUGUAGGAACUUGUGUCUAUGUCUUCAUUGCACAACUAUGAGCUGCAUUUGUUUUGGAGCAGUAAAAACAAAAAAAAAAAAACUCUCGCAUUCCCUUUUCCCUUGCUGAUCGGACAAUCUAAAUGUGUAACUUCAAUUCGGCAACAAGAGCAUGCUUUUCAUUUAGCCGAUAGUGUGAGGCUUUGAUAUUUGCUAUAGUGGAAUGGACAGAAAUGUCGUGGCUGAAAAUUGCAGCAAAGUUUAUGUUUUUCUUCAGAUUUGCAUGAUGCCUUUUCAAGUUUCUUUGUUUGUUUGGCUUGGGAUAAUUGUGUUUAUCUGAUUAAGGUUUAAAUGUUUUGGUUGAAAGCUUUUGGAUCAAAAGUUGUGUUUGAGAUGGAAGGUGGGUGUGCAAAUAUGACUUGCGGCUAUGUUUUCUUAGUUGCAGAAAGUUUUUCAAUAGUAAUUCUUGUUGCAGAAAUUUCUCUCGUAUGCAUGCAUGAAGUAAAUGUUAUAAAAAUUACUUUUGGCCCCCCAAGUCUCCCCUUAAGCCACUAAGGCCCAAAAACUUUGGAAAUUUAAUCAAUUGGAUCCCUUGUAUUUUUGCAGCAAUGCAUUAUGGCCCAAUUACAUUCCAUGUUCUUGCAAUUAGGUUCUAAGGUGUUUUCAUUUGAAUCAUUAAUUGAUCUUUAUUAUUUUUGGGACCUUUGAAACUCUUUUUGACGUUGAUUGUGAUUGAUUAGUGGUCAUUUUGGGUCCUAGAAAUGCAAGUUUGAACCAUUCAUGGACCUUCAUUCACUCUUGGAUUCUUGAGAUAUGAUGUUUGCUUGGACUUUAUUAUUUACUUGGGGACCUUUGAGUUCUUAAAUGCCUCAAUUAGGUUCAAAUGAUUGAGUAGUGCUUGCUUUUGGGUCUUUAGUAGAUGUUAUGCUUGGGGAUUGGAUGAUCAUGCCUUUUGCUUUGGUCUUUAAGUAGUUUUGACUUCAUUGAGUUGCAAUUGAGGGAAAGUUUGAUGUUUUGGUGGAUUCAAAUUGUUUAGUUUAUAUCUUCUCACUAAAUUGGUGCACUAACCUUUUGUUUUUGGUGAUUUUAGCCUAAGUUAGUCUUUUCUUGGGUGACUCUAGCCAAGUUGAGUUUGUUUACUUCCUUAGUAUCACCAACGGGGAGGUAUAAUCUCUUUUACCCCUUUUGUUUCUCUCCUAUGUGGACUAAUGUGCUAAUUGAAAUUUGCAUGUCUACUUGCUUUCCUAGCCUUUCCUUAUUUCCUUUCAUUUAUUUCAUUUACUUUUGAUUUUUAUUAAUGGGGUAUGUGUAUACCUCUUGGCUUGUAAUAGAUAGGGCGUAGCAAGUAAUUUGGUCCAUUUUCCCUUUCCCCUUUGUUUUAGUUAGCAAAUGUAAUGGUUGCAUGCCUAUGUGUUAUAUGUUAAAUGCUUUAUUAGGAUCUUGCAUCUAGUCGAGCAUGAUAAGUGCUACAUGAUUUAGGUGAUUUGCAUGUCUACUUGCUUUUUGUAGUAUAGAUGAAUGGAAUGGAUGAAUGUACGUCACCACACUAGUCCAACGCUAGUUGUGGCUUCUUUUAUCGUUUCCACUAGUCCAACGCUAGUCGGAAUUCAUAGAAUGGGCUAGUCCAAUGCUAGACCCAAUAGGUUCUUUUUUCCCUUUUUCAUUAAGUGCAUGAUCACCACAUAUCACGCAUUUUUCUUUAGUUUUAUCAUUUGGGCAUGUUCCUCGAAUCCCUUUCCCCCUCACUUUAGGUUUUGCAUCUAAUGCUAGCUAUAGGGUUCAUUUUGCUUGAGUGUCCCCUCCGAUAAGGGAAACGAGCGAGUGUGGCUACUCGAUAGCCUUAGCACGCUAGUUUUGCCUUCUAAAUCAAAGGGAAAAUCGAAGUCGAAAAAGUUAGGAGUCAUUCCCAUACCCGACUGAUGCAUUCCUUUAGAUUCAUUCAUUCUCAUUUUUCACUUACUCACUUUUUCAAUUCACAUUUCCUCAUUACUUUUCCUUUCCUUAUUGUUCAAUUUUGGUUUCUACUUCACAAAAAUUGCACUUAAUUACGAUCUAUAUACACUUAUCACUAUAUUUCAUACACUUGCACACAAACACUUGGAUUUCCAUACAAUUGCACACAUGCACCUUUUUAUACACUUGCACACUUGAAUUUGAACUCUCAUUUGCAUUAAUCGACCUCUAUAAGGUUUUCUUUCAUUGGCCGCCACAAUUCAUGUGGUUGGGACCAAAAACCUUACAAGAGACAUCUUAGAAUCUAGGGUUUUGCAUUUCAUGUAGCACAUCCAAAUGUAAUAAAUUCUUUGGUUAAAACAAGAAAAUCUUUGAUUAAAUCACGCCACUAGCCUUGGCUAGGUCAAAGGGGUGCCUUGGAUUCUAUCCUUGCCUUCCCCUUUGUCAAACGUGACUCCCGAACCUUUUUCUUUGGCUUACGUGGACUAGGAGUCGUUUUUUUAAAAGGGUUUUACUACUUUGUCUUUAAAAAUUUAUUUUUUAGGUGACUUGGUACACCUUAAUCAUUACCAAGUGGCGACUCCAAUUUCUUAUUCAAAACCCUUUUUAAAAAAACUAUUUUUUGGGUCAAAUCGUCGCUUUUUCAAAGUCCCAUAUUAGACCCAUAUCUUUUUCAAUUCACAAAAAAUCAUUUUCCAAUCAAAAUUGAAUCAAAAAACAUCUUCCUCAAACAAUUUAUUUAUUUAUCAAAAAAUGGGGCGCGACAGUUGGCGACUCCACUGGGGAACAUUCGAGAGUCCGAGCAAAUUUGAUUUAAUCAACCUUUUUCUUCUUUUAAUCUUUUCAUAUAUCACAUUUGGGUGUUUAGGAUUGCAUUUUUCCUUUUAUUAGGAUUUUUGCAUUUCACACGUACCAACUCCCUCACUUACUCAUUUGGCGUACGAUUGUUUUGAUUGAUGAAUGGUUUAUGUACGUGAUUCCGCGCUUUGCAUUGCAUUUGGGUGGGGGACAUCACCUUAGAGCCUCGCGUUGGUUCUUGAUCCCUCCCCUCCAAACGAGCACUAGCAUACGUGCAUACGCUUUAAUUUUUCACCCUCCAUUUAUUUUUCUUUUAGUGGCUUGUCACGCCACUCCACCCUGUUAGGAUUUUAGGCGACCUACUUGGACGUGUGAUCGUGACACGACGUGUGCGUAGCACGAUCCGAGGGGUCACUUAAUCUUCCGCUUUAAGCUUUGGUUAAUAGCCUAUAGCUUUUAGUCGAAGAUUGAGAAUUUUGAUAGAUUCACUCAGACAUGUGGCCGUGACACGACGUGUGCGUAGCAAUGUCUGGGGAAUCGCUCGAGCCAUCGACAAGGAACCUUGGGAGUGAUGACCUUUGGUUUCCAAGUCUGAAGGCUCGGGGACCUGAGCUUAUCGAGUCUAGAUGCAUUAGCGAACCCCAGCCUCAUGCAUCCAUAUUAGAAUUGCCUAGGGUAGAGUCGACCUCACCCUAAAUUAGGAACACCAUUCACGAAGGGGAGAUCCCACCCCUUUCCUUAUAUAUUUUUGUUGCUUUUUAAUUGUCCAACGUGUUAUGUGGUUAUCUGUUAUGAACUAACGUUUCCUUGUUUCUUAUCUUUUACAUUCACAAACGUUAGGAAGUAAGAGGUCUGGCAUGACCUCCUUUUAGGACCUACCCUUGUAAAUAGGCUAUCGCACGUUUGAAAAUUGUGAUGCAUUUUGUUCAUAAAUUCAUAAUGCCAUACCAUUUUAGGCCUACCUUGGCAGAUAAAGGGUUCCUUAGGUCACGUUUCGUUUCGAAUUGCAUAUUUUCUUGCUUUAAUAAAUGGCAUCAUGCAUCAACCCUAGAAAGGGAAUGCCAUUUAGGGGAUCCCGUGUUAGGAAUAAACCACCUUGUGUCUCGGAUACUUAAUUCAAGGAGACUUGCACGUUUACAUUUUGUAUCAUCCAAAGGGGUAGUGCACAAGGUAAGGUAGAAUCCGAUCAUUUUCAUAGAGUGAUCUUUGGAAUAUGAGCAUCUAAUAAUCACUUUUUGGCCAUUUUAUCAAAAAUUGGUAAAAAUUCCUUGCGUGAAGGACAUUAAUUUGAAGAAAUUCACAAAUGUUUCCUCCUAUUGAGACGAUAAAUCAAAUGAGGCCAAAAUUUGAUUUUAGAAGGCUCAUAGGCUAAUGCAUCGUAAUAAGGUUUUUUGAAACUACCAGUGGAUGGCUUGAUUUUUAAUAAGCUCCUAAUUCCAUCCAAUCCACUGGACCAUUUCAUUCAUCAAUUUCAUCCAGUCUAUUUUUAUCAAUUUGCCUUCAAUUCAUUUGACCAAUUUCCCCUUUUUAGGGUCACCUGGUCGAUUUUGAAUAAAUCGUCAAUUCAUUUGACCAAUUUACCCUUUUAAGGGUCAUUUGACCAAUUUACCCUUUUUAGGGUCAUUUGACCAAUUUACCCUUUUUAGGGUCACCUGGUCGAUUUUGAAUAAAUCGUCAAUUCAUUUGACCAAUUUACUCUUUUUAGGGUCAUUUGACCAAUUUACCCUUUUUAGGGUCACCUGGUCGAUUUUGAAUAAAUCGUCAAUUCAUUUGACCAAUUUACCAUUUUUAGGGUCAUUCGGCCGAUUUUUGAAUAAAUCACUAAUUCAAUUUCAUUCAUUUGGCCAAUUUACCCAUUUUUAGGGCAAUCGAGCCGAUUUUGAAUAAAUCAAGUUUCGUUCAAUCUAUUUGAUCAAUUUACCCUUUUUAGGGUGAUCUGAUUAAUUUUGGAUAAAUUAAAUUUCAUUCAAAUCAUUUGACCUAUUUCCCUUUUUAGGGUAACCCGGUUGAUUUUUAAUAAAUUGUCAAUCCCGUUUGACCAAUUAGGGUUUCAAUGUCAAUUUCAAAUGGGGAAACCUAGUCGAUUUUGAGAAAACCAUCCAGACAUUUGAUCAGUUGGGGUUUGGACCCGUACUUCACUGAGAAAAUUUUGUCAAACAAAUUCCAAUCUCUUCGAUAGGAAGUUCGUCAAAGUCAAACCCGUGCGUUUUUGCAAACUCUUGUAUCGAUCAAAAGUGAUCAAUCCAUUUGGACGUUGACAUCAUUUGACAAAUGUCUCUCGUCCCUCCAAUUGAUCAAAUUUUUCAAAAUUAUUUUUCACUUAAAUGAGUUGAUCAGAUCCAUCAGGUAUGGUAUAGUGCCUGCUCUGGAGGAUUGCAUUUUCAUGCUAGGCCUACCCUUGGCACAAAAAGGGUUCCCCCAUAGGACAUGCAUCCAAAUUUUUGGAUAUUUACUAACUCUCUUGUAUUUUUGUUUUCCUUUUCUUUGUUUUUUAUUGGAAUAACUAAGCGAGGGUUGAAUCUAAAGGCAAUUUUUCAAAAAUUCUCAGGUAAUAUUUAAACAUAGCUUCUCGUCGAAGCCCCAUCAUAACACGAUCCCGUAGUCAAGCUCAGAGGAGUCGUGUAAACAUGAGUCCGCAAUCGGAACCAUCAGACAGGUUUGUUACUACCGCCCAGCCUGAGACCACAAGUUUGGGGGUUCAGUUGACUGAGAUGCUCACUAAGUUCGGUGAGAUGACCACUGAGAUGGCGGCCCAGAGGAAAUUAAUCGAUAAGCUUAUCAGCAGUGGAGUUCAACCUGAGCCCGUGCCCGGCAGGCAGCCUGGGCCAGAGCCAUUUGUCAUACCUUCAAUUCAAGCCACUGUUGCUCCAUCUUUCCCUAUUCCAACCGAAGGGACUUUCACAUAUCCCACCAUACAUUUGCCAUACACUUACCCUCCUGAUCCUUCAUUUUUCCCUACUUACAUGCAAGGUCCACAACCCCAACUUACUUCAAACAUACCACCAGAGCUACAUACUUUCUAUCACACUGCUGCUGAGCCAUUCCUACCCGACCAUAUCGUUCAAACCAAGCCAGAAAUGGGGGAAUCUUCCGCUCCCGUUGAUAUAAAGCUGCUCAAACGCCUUGACCGUUUUGAUGAGUUUAUGAGGAGGAGUCAGGGUUUGAACAAACAAGGAGUGCUGGAUUAUGAUGAGUUUUGUCUUUUUCCAAAUGUGCAAUUGCCUGAGGGGUUCAAAACUCCGAAGUUUAACAAGUAUGAUGGGACAGGCAAUCCCAAGACACACCUCCGAUUGUUCGCCAACAAAUUGGGUAGGCCAACAGAUGAUGAAAAUCUGCCUUUGAGGCUAUUCCCAGAAAGUCUGGAGGGGGAUGCACUCGACUGGUAUUCCAAGCUGAAACCCGAAGAGGCAAAGACCUGGUUGGACCUGUCCAAUGCCUUUACAAGGCAAUAUGAGUACAAUUGUGAGCUAGCGCCAACGCGGACCACACUGGAAGGAACAAAAAGAAAACCCUCCGAAGAUCACAAGACUUAUGCCAAGAGGUGGAGGAAAAUAGCUGCAAAAGUCGAGCCACCAAUGACGGAGGACGAAAUCAUACGCACUUUCAUUAAGGCACAUGACCCGCCGUAUUUUGAAGAAAUUUUUCGCAUGACUGAAUGCUCAUUUGCCGCAAUUGUUAAUAAGCUUGAGGAAUAUGAUGAGUUUAUAAGGGCAGGAAAGAUUAUUAACGUGUCGGCUCUGAAAUCGCAAUUGGAAGCGAUGCAGAAUCAAGGCAGCGGUAACAAGAAAUCUCCAUUCAAAAGGAGAGAAGAGGAGGCUUCAUUUGUCUCGAAUCGAGGCCCUGCUCCCCAACCGAGAUACCGACAGAACUCCACCUAUUCACCCCGUUGCCCGUACCAAUCACACUUUCAACCUGUGCACCAUACCACUGGUAACCACCCUCGACCUCGACCAAAUUAUCCAAACACACCUACGACACCAUUUCAUAUUUCUCCACAUAGCUUUCAAACUAGACCGCGCUCUCCUUAUCAUCCAAGACCCACCUUACCCGUCAACCAUAACUACAACUAUCAACAGACCGCUGGCACCCAAGACCCAGCCCGAUAUAGAACUUUUACCAAUUUAGGUCGGCCCUUGGAUCAACUAUAUGAGCAGCUCAAGGCCGCAGGAAAAAUUGGUACAAUACCUCCUAAAGUCUAUGCUAAAGGAGUUCCCCCUGGUUAUAAUCCUCAAUCUUUUUGCGCCUAUCAUUCUGGAGCUCCGGGACAUUCUACUGCUAAUUGUUGGGUACUCAAACACAAAAUUCAGGACAUGAUUGAGGCCGGAGACAUAAUUUUGAGAGGGAGAGAAGAACAAGGACCAAGUAUAAGUACAAACCCCUUUCCCAGACACAAGGACACCUUUGAGGCAUCCACCUCCAAUGACGAAAUUUGAAAAUCCUGAAGGAGCUCUGCACAAUUUGGAUGGCUGAUUAUCCUCCCUCACGAAGGGAAUUUCGAUGAAUCUAGGGGUUGUCAUUUACUAAAAUUCACAAAAACUUUUUCUUGCAUAUGUGAAUAACUUAACGAAAACAUCUUUUGCAAUUGAGUUUUGUCUUGUUUCUGCUUUGAUUUGGAGUUUCAUGAAAUGCACAAUUUGUUUUAUUUGUUUUAUUGUCCUGAAUUUUUGUUAAUUCUUUGAGAUGGCCAAAGAUGAAAUUAUUUGAUCCUUUGAAUAUCACUGUUCUGGAAUCUGAUGUAGCCCUUCAUUGAGAACCCCUCCAUUAAAAUCCCUUCAUUGAGAAAUCUUUUCUUUGAGAGACCCCUUCAGGGAGAAAGCCUUCAUAAAAAAGAAAAGAAAGAAAAAAAAAGCCUUCAUUGAGAAAUUCCUUCAUUGAGAAAAUCCCUUUCCUGCCAGGUUGUAAGCUGAUUGGUUAAAGCAGUGUCAUUAACGAUUGAUUCUGAUUAAUGAAAAGCAGUUGAAUGCUAUGUGCCAUGACCAACAUUGUCAAAACGCAUGACCUAUGUUCAUAACAAAAGGAUCCGCCACCGAUCUUCUGAAAAAGGAAACAAAGUGCUAAAGCGAUGAAAGACGAAGUCGAAGGCAAAUUUGCUUCCAAUUGACAAAGCUUAUUGGGUGUUCAAAGGAGAGAUGGAAGGACGGACAUUCCCUUAACCUAUCAACUUGGACAUGUGUAAGAUGUUCUUUAUUUGAUUAUGCAAAAUCUCUUUUAGGAAAUCAUGCAAGGGGCGAGGCAAAAGUCAGGCCAUCUUCCUUUUCAAUCAAAACAUUUCAUCCCUAGUCAUCCCCUUUGAGCUAUCAGAACAAUAAUUUUCGUUUGGCAGCCCCUGAGAAUUGCAAACCCCACACUGGGGCGAAUUCAUUUUUGAAAAAUGAUCAAAAAGGAAAAAAAACCCCACACUGGGGCAAAUGUAUCUUUGAAAGAGAUAUGGGAAAAAGAAAGAACCCCACACUGGGGCAAAUUUAGUUUUUGAAGAAAAAUACAAGAAAGAAGAAAAUGCAAUGGAAAAUACAAAGAAAGAAAAAUCCAAUCAAGCUGGGGCAAAUUUUCCUCGGUUUCGUUCAAAAAAUUAGAGAUAAUCUCAAAAUGAUGCAAUCUCAGUUUAUUUCACACCUUUCGUCAGACUUGCUUUCAAGCCUCAACUUUUCUUGAAAAACACCCCACCUAACCUCAUUACAAAAGCCCAAAAGUCCUGGCUUUCGUCACUUGCUGCAUUUCUAUUAGGGAUUUUGCUAAUCAACUGGCACGUGAUGUCCAUAAUGCCUUCGUUAAGUCUAUAAGGGAAGCGCAUUUUUACUGAUGCCAGCAAUCUUCAACUUACAUUCCUGGAGUCGACUAUGGUUGAGCUCUUCCAUUAUUUCAUUAGGUGAAAAACCCACAAGGGCACCUCAAGAGAAAAAGGAAAAAAAAGAGAAAAAGAAGAAAAAGAAAGAAAAACCAACAAAAAGGGUGGGGGGCAGCCUUGGUGAAAACCCGAAGGGGCGCCAAGGUAGGUUUCUGCAAUGAGCAAGCACAAAGAGGAACAACUGGUGGUUUGAUCCAUUUAGAUUUCUUCUCAUUUUUGUCAUACCUCUGACAACAUUUAAUUCCGGAGCUAAGAUAUCCAGAGAAUCGAAUAUGACAUCCGUUGGCUAAAGUGUGUCAUUUUGUAAAAACAUUCUUUUGCAAAUACAUUCUUAGGAAACUCAUUUUUUUCAAAUUACUUGCAUUUAUGGCAUUUUUGUAGAAUUUAAGCACAAAUGGUUAUGUGUGCAUUCUGGUGCAUAUUCUUUCUUACAUGACAUGUGAAUUUUCUUGCAUACCUCAUUCUUUAUCAUUGAAUUUUGGUGAAUGACAAUCCCCGUGGUUUAUUGCAAAAAGUAUGCUUGGAUUCAGUCAUCUUUUGGAAAUAGUUGAAAUUCAGCCAAGCCAGCUACACAAACUUCAUAAUAGGGCAAAGCACAUACCUGGUCAGUUUGAAAAUCGGAAGAGUCUUAGGGUGAGAAAUCCAACUCAAUCGGCUGCCGCAGCAAAAGUUGAUAAAAGCGUCGAAAGACUCAUGUUUACACGAUUCUCAAAGGAAAACGGAUCAAAUGGUGGUGGCAAUUUCUUUGUUUUUCUCUUUUGCAGGAAAAUUGCAUGCACAAAUGAAAGUAGUCACACCUCGCACUGGAAUCGGUGUCGGAAAAGUCCUCCGGUGAACAAAGGCAGAUCAAAAAUAUUGCAAGCAAAUCUGAUCAAAAGGUGCAACAACAUCAACUAUGGACCCAAAAUUGCAGAAAAUUCACCAUACUGGGGCAAAUUUUUGGGAUUUCGUGAAGCCAGAAUCUUACGAAUCAAGGUCUCAAGGAGGAGCAACCAUAAUACAAAUCAAUUGAUCGGUUGCACAAAUUGGGGGAGACUGGGGCAAAUUAUUUUGACAAGAUUCUCUCAAUCAGGAUUUCUGGAAAAGUCAAAUUCAAUUUCUUGUUUUUUGAAAAAUCACAUUGAAUUCUUGUUGGCAAUAUCUCAGCGCCCGCCGCGCUUUUUCUAUCUUCCCCUUUUGACAAUCACACUUAAUUUCUUGACCAAUUGGACGGCAGGACCGGGUUUUAUCCCGCUGACCGCUUACCUGGCAGGACCGGGUUUUAUCCCGCUGACCGCUUGUUCGGCAGGACCGGGUUUUAUCCCGCUGACCGCGCUUACUUCGCGCAGGACCGGGCGGUUUUAUCCCGCUGACCGCUUACUUCGGCAGGACCGGGUUUUAUCCCGCUGACCGCUUACCUCGGCAGGACCGGGUUUUAUCCCGCUGACCGCUUACGGCUUACUUCGGCAGGACCGGGUUUUAUCCCGCUGACCGCUUAUUUCGGCAGGACCGGGUUUUAUCCCGCUGACCGCUUUUAUCUACGUUGGGACCGGGUUUUAUCCCGCCAACCUCGGCAGGACCGGGUUCUAUCCCGCUGACCGUCCACACCCUAUCAGGCUUAGAUGUUAUCCCACCGACCAAUUCAUCAUACUGGGGCAAAUUUUUAGAUAAUUUUUCAAACAAGUCUUAUACAGUUCUUCAUUUUACAUUUUCUGUUCAGGUCUAUCCCGUGGGUCUAUCUCAAUUUUACAUUUCUGUCUGGGUCUAUCCCGUGGGUCUAUCCCAAUUUGACAGAAACCCAAUUUUACAUUUCUGUCCGGGUCUAUCCGUGGGUCUUCCCAAUUUUACAUUUCUGUCCGGGUCUAUCCCGUGGGUCUAUCCCAAAUUUAAAUUUCUGUUCAGGUCUAUCCCGUGGGUCUAUCCCAAUCUUACAUUUCUGUCCGGGUCUAUCCCGUUUAAAUUUCUGUUCGGGUCAGUCCCGUUUAAUUUCCUGUCCGGGGUCAGUCCCCAUUGUUCGAGUCGUUCACAGCCAAAUAACACAGGUAAGUAUUUGGUGUCUACUUCUUUGUCUCAAGUUUUUCCAAAACUCAGACAAAGAGGGGCAAACUGUAGACACCAAAUUUUGAAUUGAUUUAUAUGCUUCGUUUUAGUGAUAAGUCUUGUCUAUUGAUUUUUGUUUAUCUCAUGAUUUUUGUUUUAAAUGGUUUGCAUUUUUGUUUUGCCCCUUUAGAUGUUAUUUUAUUUUAUUUUUAGUUUUAUUUACUUUUUAGUUUUUUAGUUUUUGUUUUUUAAGUUUUAGCGUAGAAAAUCAUGAAAAAUGAAAAAGGAAAAAUCAUGAAAAAGAGGAAAAAGGAAAAGAAAAAUAGCAUUUUUGUUUUUUUUAUCUAUUUUAGUCAUUUCUACUUAAUUUAAAUUUUGUUUUUGUUUGGUUCAUUUAGAAAAAAAAAAGGAAAAAGAAAAAAAGAAAAAAUGAUGAAAAUGGAAAAUGAAAAAAAAUUGCAUUUUGUUGUUUCUAGUUUGUUUAUUUUAUCCAAUGUUAAUUAAGUGGGUUUUGUUAUUAUUAUUGUUAUUAUUAUUAUCAUUUUGGUUUUGUUAAAUAUCUUUUGAAAAAAAAAAAAAAAAAAAGCUGCGUGCAUGCAAGCUGCAUUUUUGCAGCUUGCAAAGGAACUUUGAGGCAGCUCCUUAGCUGCAAAUACAGAGGAAGUUGUUAAGGGUUUAGGAGGGGGGCUCCCAUAUAAAUAGAAAAAGAGGAUUCAGCCGCAAGAGGGGGUGACGGGAAAAAGAGAGAAGAAAGAAACGGCAAAGGAGAGUGACGGCUAAGGGAAAAAGAAAAAAAAAAGGAAAAAAGGAGCGGCAGACAGAACGAGUGAGAGGCUAAAAGGAAGGAGGUAGCACCUGGGUUUCUGGGGGGAGAGUUAGGAGAAUCCAAGAAGAAGAGACUGAGAGGGUGGAGGUCUACGGGGUUUGAGAGCGAAGGAUUUGGCAGCGGCUAAGCCUGGAGGGACCGAGGAACUGGACAGAAAGAAGGAGAGCAUCAGGGGGCUUGGCUACGUGAAACUGAAGAUUAAGUGAAGCUGGGCAAGAAUUUGUCUUCUGAUCAUCGCACACUUCAGUCCGCCUUUUAGAAGAUUAAAGGUAGUACCUUUCAUUUUAUUUCCCUGUCCGUAGAUUACAAGAGUCUUGUUAGAAAUGUUGAAAUGUUGUUGCGAUGCCGGCUGCUAUUGUUUGAAUCAAAAUCUGGUUUUGUAUGAUGGAUAGUGAAGAAAGUUGCGGCUGGAAAAUUGCAGAAUGCAUGAGUUUCUUUGCAUUUUUUGAGUGAGGUUCUUCUAUGUUUUGUUUUGUUUAAGUGAUAAGGUUCUAUACUUGGUUGUUUAGCCUAGAGUCUUGAUGUUUGGUGGGUGAAGUUCUCCUAAAAAAUUAAGCUUGUGGAUUGAACUUUAUGUUUGGAAUUUGAAUUUGCAGCAGAUUUAUGAUCAUACGACCCCUCUCUGCCCAGAUUUUCCUUUCCUUUGCAUGACAUGAGUUUGUAACAUUGAAUGAGGGCCUGAAAUUUAGUCUUGUUGCCAGCCAUUUGUCAUGAAAUGCGGCGUGAAUCUCAGGAAAAUUAGAAUUGUAGGAACUUGUGUCUAUGUCUUCAUUGCACAACUAUGAGCUGCAUUUGUUUUGGAGCAGUAAAAACAAAAAAAAAAAAACUCUCGCAUUCCCUUUUCCCUUGCUGAUCGGACAAUCUAAAUGUGUAACUUCAAUUCGGCAACAAGAGCAUGCUUUUCAUUUAGCCGAUAGUGUGAGGCUUUGAUAUUUGCUAUAGUGGAAUGGACAGAAAUGUCGUGGCUGAAAAUUGCAGCAAAGUUUAUGUUUUUCUUCAGAUUUGCAUGAUGCCUUUUCAAGUUUCUUUGUUUGUUUGGCUUGGGAUAAUUGUGUUUAUCUGAUUAAGGUUUAAAUGUUUUGGUUGAAAGCUUUUGGAUCAAAAGUUGUGUUUGAGAUGGAAGGUGGGUGUGCAAAUAUGACUUGCGGCUAUGUUUUCUUAGUUGCAGAAAGUUUUUCAAUAGUAAUUCUUGUUGCAGAAAUUUCUCUCGUAUGCAUGCAUGAAGUAAAUGUUAUAAAAAUUACUUUUGGCCCCCCAAGUCUCCCCUUAAGCCACUAAGGCCCAAAAACUUUGGAAAUUUAAUCAAUUGGAUCCCUUGUAUUUUUGCAGCAAUGCAUUAUGGCCCAAUUACAUUCCAUGUUCUUGCAAUUAGGUUCUAAGGUGUUUUCAUUUGAAUCAUUAAUUGAUCUUUAUUAUUUUUGGGACCUUUGAAACUCUUUUUGACGUUGAUUGUGAUUGAUUAGUGGUCAUUUUUGGGUCCUAGAAAUGCAAGUUUGAACCAUUCAUGGACCUUCAUUCACUCUUGGAUUCUUGAGAUAUGAUGUUUGCUUGGACUUUAUUAUUUACUUGGGGACCUUUGAGUUCUUAAAUGCCUCAAUUAGGUUCAAAUGAUUGAGUAGUGCUUGCUUUUGGGUCUUUAGUAGAUGUUAUGCUUGGGGAUUGGAUGAUCAUGCCUUUUGCUUUGGUCUUUAAGUAGUUUUGACUUCAUUGAGUUGCAAUUGAGGGAAAGUUUGAUGUUUUGGUGGAUUCAAAUUGUUUAGUUUAUAUCUUCUCACUAAAUUGGUGCACUAACCUUUUGUUUUUGGUGAUUUUAGCCUAAGUUAGUCUUUUCUUGGGUGACUCUAGCCAAGUUGAGUUUGUUUACUUCCUUAGUAUCACCAACGGGGAGGUAUAAUCUCUUUUACCCCUUUUGUUUCUCUCCUAUGUGGACUAAUGUGCUAAUUGAAAUUUGCAUGUCUACUUGCUUUCCUAGCCUUUCCUUAUUUCCUUUCAUUUAUUUCAUUUACUUUUGAUUUUUAUUAAUGGGGUAUGUGUACACCUCUUGGCUUGUAAUAGAUAGGGCGUAGCAAGUAAUUUGGUCCAUUUUCCCUUUCCCCUUUGUUUUAGUUAGCAAAUGUAAUGGUUGCAUGCCUAUGUGUUAUAUGUUAAAUGCUUUAUUAGGAUCUUGCAUCUAGUCGAGCAUGAUAAGUGCUACAUGAUUUAGGUGAUUUGCAUGUCUACUUGCUUUUUGUAGUAUAGAUGAAUGGAAUGGAUGAAUGUACGUCACCACACUAGUCCAACGCUAGUUGUGGCUUCUUUUAUCGUUUCCACUAGUCCAACGCUAGUCGGAAUUCAUAGAAUGGGCUAGUCCAAUGCUAGACCCAAUAGGUUCUUUUUUCCCUUUUUCAUUAAGUGCAUGAUCACCACAUAUCACGCAUUUUUCUUUAGUUUUAUCAUUUGGGCAUGUUCCUUGAAUCCCUUUCCCCCUCACUUUAGGUUUUGCAUCUAAUGCUAGCUAUAGGGUUCAUUUUGCUUGAGUGUCCCCCUCCGAUAAGGGAAACGAGCGAGUGUGGCUACUCGAUAGCCUUAGCACGCUAGUUUUGCCUUCUAAUCAAAGGGAAAAUCGAAGUCGAAAAAGUUAGGAGUCAUUCCCAUACCCGACCUGAUGCAUUCCUUUAGAUUCAUUCAUUCUCAAUUUUUCACUUACUCACUUUUUCAAUUCACAUUUCCUCAUUACUUUUCCUUUCCUUAUUGUUCAAUUUUGGUUUCUACUUCACAAAAAUUGCACUUAAUUACGAUCUAUAUACACUUAUCACUAUAUUUCAUACACUUGCACACAAACACUUGGAUUUCCAUACAAUUGCACACAUGCACCUUUUUAUACACUUGUACACUUGAAUUUGAACUCUCAUUUGCAUUAAUCGACCUCUAUAAGGUUUUCUUUCAUUGGCCGCCACAAUUCAUGUGGUUGGGACCAAAAACCUUACAAGAGACAUCUUAGAAUCUAGGGUUUUGUAUUUCAUGUAGCACAUCCAAAUGUAAUAAAUUCUUUGGUUAAAACAAGAAAAUCUUUGAUUAAAUCACGCCACUAGCCUUGGCUAGGUCAAAGGGGUGCCUUGGAUUCUAUCCUUGCCUUCCCCUUUGUCAAACGUGACUCCCGAACCUUUUUCUUUGGCUUACGUGGACUAGGAGUCGUUUUUUUAAAAGGGUUUUACUACUUUGUCUUUAAAAAUUUAUUUUUUAGGUGACUUGGUACACCUUAAUCAUUACCAAGUGGCGACUCCAAUUUCUUAUUCAAAACCCUUUUUAAAAAAACUAUUUUUUGGGUCAAAUCGUCGCUUUUUCAAAGUCCCAUAUUAGACCCAUAUCUUUUUCAAUUCACAAAAAAUCAUUUUCCAAUCAAAAUUGAAUCAAAAAACAUCUUCCUCAAACAAUUUAUUUAUUUAUCAAAAAAUGGGGCGCGACAUCUAUUAACAAUGGAGUAUAAAUCAUCCACCACAUAUUAAUUUUUUCUAUCUAACUGUUCAUUUUUUGAGAAUUGAAAUUUUAUUGGUAGAGAUAAUUGAGUUUUUCUUUUUUUUUCUUUUGUUUUUUCAUCUUUUAAUUUUUUGGACAAAAUUUGACAAAAAGCAUAAAUGACGAAGAUUCUGUUAUCCUAAGAGCACUUUCUUUUGAUAUCAAUAGUAAUAUUUUUGAAGAUUUAAAAAUUUAAUUAGGUUGUGACUAAUCAAGAAUUUUUAAUGAAAAUAAAAAAUUGAAAAUAGAAUGCAAAAAGACACAUUGAUUUGGAAUAUUAUAUUUUGUUUAUUCUCUUCAUAAUUCAAAUUUAAUUAAGGUUAUAGUUUUUUCGUAACUGCUACAGUUUUGCUAUUAUUGAAAUGCAAUAAAUCUAAUUAUUAGGAAGAAUGGUAUUUUGGACGAAUAGAAAACAAAGACCAAAUCCUGCUUAGUCUCUCUUAACAUUUUGUCUUGUCAUCAACCAUUAUUUUCCUUUAAAUCAAUAGCUAUGAUGUAAUGAAUUUUAAUCAUCAUAAUAAAUUAAAAACUAAAAAAAGCAAAAUAUGAAACAUCAAUCAUCAAUUAAUAAGGGCAUAAUUAUAUUAAUAAAAACUAAGAUCACAACAAUCAUCAUAAAAAAUUAAAGAGAGUAUAAUAUGAAGCUUCAAUCAUCAAUUAAUAAGGUUAUAAUUGUAACAACAAAAACUAAGAUAACUUACCCUUACCGUCCAAACUCAUGGUACCUUUUAUGUAAUAAAUAUAUAGUAUGAAGAGAUGUAUAUUUUUUAAAAUUGAACUCUUUGUAUUAUUUUGUGUGUUAUUUCUAUAUCAUUUAGGCCAUAAUCUAUGGGUCUGUUUGGAUUCCUUGUUUUUGGAUCUGUUUUUGAAAAAUUGUUUUUCACAUUCCAAAUGCUACAGUAAAUGUGUAUUUCAAAACCAACUCCAAAAAUAUCAUAUCCAAACAAUAUAUCAAAAAUAACUCCAAAUACAUAUUUAAUAUGUUUAUUUCAAUUUGUAUAUUUCAAUUAUGUAUAGGAUAUAUAUAUUAUAUUAAUUUAUACAAAUUAUAAAUAUUUUAUUAUAUAUAAAAUAUAUUUAUAAUAUAUUUAUAUAAAUAUUAUAUAUUAUAUAAAUUAUAUAUAAUAUAAAUCUAAUUAUACAUUUAUAUAAAUAUUAUAUAUUAUAUACUAUAUAUUUAAUAUAUACAUAAUAUAUAUUAUAAAUUUAUAUAAAUGUACAUUUAUACAUAAUAUAUAUAUUUAUGAAUAUUUAUAAUAUACAUUUAUAUUAUGUAUAAUAUAUAAUAUAAUACAUUUAUAUAUUUAUAUUAAUAUACAUAAUAUUAAUUAUACAUUUAUACAAAAUAUUAAUAUAUUUAUACAUUUAUAUUUAUUAUAUUAGUACAUCUAUACAUAAUAUUAAUAUAUAUUUAUAAUAUAUUAAUUUAUACAUUUAUAAUUUAUACAUAUUUAUAAUAAUAUACAUUUAUACAUUUAUAAAUAUAUUUAUAUUAUGUAUUAUAUAUAAUAUAAUACAUUUAUAUAUUUUUAUAUAAAUAUAUAAAUAUAUUUAUUUAUAAAUAUUUAUAAAUGUAUUAUAAAUGCAUAAAUGUAUAUAAAUAUAAAAAUUAUAAAUUAUAAAUUAUAAUAAACAUUUAUAUAAUAGUCAUUUAUAAUUUAUACAUUUGUAAUAAUAUACAUUUAUACAUUUAUAAAUAUAUUUAUAUUAUGUAUUAUAUAUAAUAUAAUACAUUUAUAUUUUUUAUAUAAAUAUAUAAAUAUAUUUAUUUAUAAAUAUUUAUAAAUGUAUUAUAAAUGCAUAAAUGUAUAUAAAUAUAAAAAUUAUUAAUUAUUAAUUAUAAUAUACAUUUAUAUAAUAUUUAUUUAUACUUUAUACAUUUAUAAUAAUAUACAUUUAUACAUUUAUAAAUAUAUUUAUGUUAUGUAUUAUAUAUAAUAUAAUACAUUUAUAUAUUUUUAUAUAAAUAUAUAAAUAUAUUUAUUGAUAAAUGUAAUAUAAAUGCAUAAAUGUAUAUAAAUAUAAAAAUUAUAAUUUAUACAUUUAUAUAUAUUCAUUUAUAAUAAUAUACAUUUAUACAUUUAUAAAUAUAUUUAUAUUAUGUAUUAUAUAUAGUAUAAUACAUUUAUAUAUUUUUAUAUAAAUAUAUAAAUAUAUUUAUUUAUAAAUGUAUUAUAAAUGUAUAAAUGUAUAUUGUUCUAAAAAUAUAAAAAUUACAAAUUAUAAAAUAAUCGAAAAUAUUUUUAAAAAUACAUCUAAAAAUAACCCAUAAAACAUCUGCAGUAAAAGUUUUUCAUAUAGUUUUUGAAAAACAACACCAAAAACAUCUAAUCCAAACGGACUUAUAUUUGAAAAGGACUUAUAUUUGAAAAACGAAAUGCUACAGUAUUGUUUUUGAAAAAUAACCCCAAAAAUAACUAAUCUAAACGGAUCCUAUAUCAUUUAGGAGUCUUCGAUCAAGAAAUAUUGAUGAAUUAAUGGUUGGUCUAAUUGCCUUGUCUCUUGGGCACUUGGGUCGUCAUCCGGUUGUAGAUUCAGGCAAAACAUAUGGAUACGAGUUCAGAAUUACUAAGAAAUGAAGUAACAUAUUUUUUAACAUUAAACACAUAUAAUUUUCUUAGACAUUUUUCCUUUCCCCUUUGAACAACCAUAUAUUGUCAUUAACAUCCCCUUCAUUCUCUAAAGUUCAAAUAAUCAUUUUUACAACUUUAUCAGGAACUCUUUUUUUAUCGAAAUCGAUAAAUAACCCACACACACCCACCUAAUUUAAACAGAUGCAGGAGUUAAUUGAAAACCGACCUAAACUUUAUCAGGGGCUCUAUACUGCAAAUUUGUAGUUUCUAGUUACUCAAGAUCGGUGCCAACAUGUUUUAAUCAAUGUUUUGAAAACCGGACCGGACCGGCCGGUUCGACCGGUUGAACCGCGAAUCGGCCAUGGCACCGGUCCGGUUCAAUGGCAUUGUUGACUUUGCUAGAAAACCGGUCAAAGACCGGUUGAACCGUGAAAACCGCCGAACCGGAUUGAACCGGCGGUUUUCCGGUUUUCAGCUUUCCCCUUUUUUUUUUUUUUAGUUUUGCAAAAUGCAGUAAUCAAGAUUCAAACCCAAGACCUUUGUAAUAAAAGACCAAUGUAUUAACCAUUGCACCAUUACAUCUUAUUAGUUUUUUUUGAUAACUUAUUUAUAUAAAGCAAACACUCAUAUUUCUUUUUUCCAUUUUUCUUACAAAAUCUCAUCCCCUCAUGGCUCUUUCUUUUUCAUUUUCAACUCUCUCUCUCUCUCUCUCUAUCCUCUUUUCUUUUGUCACUCCCUUUUUAAUCAAACCUCUUUAUUUUUAAUUUAUUGAUGUUUUCUUCCAUCUUUUAAUUUUGUUUUUGUCCAUUAAAUUGAAAAAAGUUAAAAAGAAUUUUUUUAACCCAAAUUAUUUAAUGCCACAACCACUCACUUUUAUCUUAUUUUUUGUUUCUUAUCAAGUUUACAUUUCUAUUUUCGAUUUUCUUGAUUUCCUUCGAACUCCAAAUUUUCUUUUUUAAAUUGCAAUCUUUAAAUCUCAAAACGUAAAUUAAAAUUUAAAUUCAUAAUAUCUAAAUUCUCAGAGACAUGAAUUUUGUAUAAUUUCAAAAUAUUGUGAUAUUUUGGGGUUGGAUUUAGAUAUAAUUGAAAUUGAGAUGAAAUUUAUUUGUUUUAACUUAUAAUUUAAAAAAUUUAUUUUUAAAAAUCUAAGUUAUUAAAAAAUAGUAAACUUUUCAUCAUAUAAAAUAUUAAAUUAGUCCAUUACAUGCCUUAUUUUGUACAUAUAUAUAUAUUUAUAUAAAUUAUUUUUUAAAAAAUUCAUUGAACCGAGGUUGAACCGGUCCGACCGGUUGAACCUCGACCCUUUCACUCCACCGGUUCAAUUAACGGUCCGGUUUUUAAAACAUUGGUUUUAAUACCGACAAAUUCAUUAUUUCAGCAUUACAUGCCCCUAAACUCUCAACAAAUCCACUGGCAUAUUUAUUGAUAUUUUCCACUACAGCUACCCCACCAUGAUGGAUUACUUUUACCUGUCAAUGGAGAUGUACAGUCUAGGACCACAAAAGCAACAAGGCCAAACAAUUGGUAAAGAAACAGUCACAUGCCGUGGACCACAAAUAAUAAUUCAUAUUUAAGUCAAUGAAGGGCUACUUUUACCUGUUACAAACAUUAGACAUGUACAAUCUAGGACCAAUUUGUCUUAUACAAUAGGACCAUGAAAACAACAUGAAGGCUAAACAAAUAGUCACAUGCCGUGGACCACAAAUAAUAAUUCAUAUUCAACUCAAUUUUUGACCCACAUCAUGCCCAGACCAAUAAUCAUAAAAAUUGCCACAAACCUAAUACAAAUUAACACAACCUUGUCAUACUAAAAGUUAAACAUAUUGAUAUUUAUAGUUACUUCUUUUGUUUUUUCUUUUUUUAACAAAUAAAUUAUGAUAAUGCCACUGAAAUUAUUUGAUUUUUAAUUAGAUAUAUGAACAAUUUUUUUCGAGUUGGAUGACCUAAAUUUGCUCAGUUAGCAAAAAUUAAUUAUCUGCUAACCAUUAGGGUUUGCCCAGUGGCCAAAAGAAACCUAUAUAUUCAUGGUACUUGUUAUAUAAUAAUAAUAAUAAUGAAUUGUUAUUUUCUUGUAAAUCAAUAGAUAUGAUAUAAUGAAUUUUAAUCAUAAUAAAUUAAAAAGAGCAUAAUAUGAAAUUUCAAUCAUCAAUUAACAAGGGUAUAAUUGAAAAAAUAAAAACUAAGAUCACAAUGAUACUUACACUUACACUCCAAAGUAUCAAGACUCAUGAUACAUUUUAUAUGGUAAUGAUGAUUGGCACUAUUACAUAUCAACUCCAAGUUCAAAUUCUGGUAGAGAGAUUCUGUUUUGGGUCUCCCCCAGAUUUGGAUUGGAUAGGAAUAUUAAUUUUGUCUUACGCAAAUGUUGAUUCAUUUCAAUUGGAUACGAUUGCGGUCUUGAUAAACAACAAGCAUUUGAAUUCCAUCAGCUUCACAAUCUCACGCAAAGCAUUAUAAGAUAAAUUUGGCUAAUAAUAAUAGAUGUGCUUAAUAACACCUGACUACUUAUUGGCAUCAAUAUGCUGAACCUGCAUUCAAUCAUAGAAUGAAUAUACUUUCUGAUACGGUAAUGUACUUGUCAAAAUCUAGUUGAAUUGAGUAUAAUAAAUUCAUCACUCAAUCGAUUAGUUUCGAUCUUAAUGCAUCCAAGAAUUGGAACUACCAAUGGAUUCAGACAAAACUAUGUCUGGAUUAAAUAGAUUGAAAUAGGUUCUCGAAAACGAAAUCUACUUUUUCAUCUUAUAUGGGAUUUUUAGCUGGCAAAAUAGUGCGUGAAGUUAGCAUCAAAUAAAGUUAAGUUAACCAUGUUCUUAACCACCAUUUUGGUUCAACGAUCUGAAUCAAGGAGUUGAUUAGUCAACAUAUUGUAAAUGGGAGGGUUUAAACCUGGACCAUCCAACCCAGUGAACAGGCAAAUUUAAUUGGCAUUAAUCAUACUUAACUAUCAUUUAAGGAGCAGAUUGGCUUCUACCACAUGCAAUAUAUGGUAUAUCUUUAGCUCCAUCUGUAAUGCUUGCAUCCCACUCAAUGCGUCUUUGUCUUUUGAUAAAUUAUAUCAAUUUCAUUUUGAUUAAUAACCUCACACAAACCAUUAGCAAAAGAAGAAAAAAGGAUAAUCAUCAUGCUUUAGGUAUCUCAUUAGUACUCAAUCGUUGUAAUUAUUGGUCUAAUUCUUGGUCGUACUUCAAUUACUUUAGGAAAGGGCAAAUUGCAACAACAACGCGAAAUAACUUAGCGAAGAUAUAUCAUUUUCAGCUUUUCAUUUUUUGACGGGCAAAUUGCAAAUAUAUCCCUGAAGUACUUCACAUUUCAUUUUAGUUCCCAGAGAUCAAAAUAAUACAUCUUUGUGUUAAAGUUUUUAUAAGUUUACCGAAGUAGUCCUACAGUAUUCCUCAAGCUUUUCUUCUGAUUUUCAAGCACAAACAUUUACUUGUCAUACCUGCACUCAAGAGUAAUAUAUGCAAAAUCAAACUAAAAAUCAUAUCUAUCCAACAAAAAGUAAAGUAGUUUGUCUUCUCAAUUGUUUUUUGUCCAUUUUAGAAGAGAUUAUAAACUUACAAAGGGCAAGGAAUUAAACAGUAAAAGGGAAGACAUAAAAAUCGAAUUAAAGGCCUCAUUUUCUUUGGUCAAUGUCGCUACCAAUUGAGUUGGAUUUUUAAAAUGUUUGUCUUCUAAAGUUUGAUUCCUAUCGAUAUCUCAAUCUUUGUAUGUUGAUCAUUUAUGACUUUGUAACUUAAUAUCAAAAAGGGCAAAAUAUACUUUAUUUCCCUGUGGUACAACUACUUUUUUACAUAAGCCUCCCUAUAGUUUUUGAAAGUUAUAUAUAAUUCCUCAUAGUUUGGAUUAAAGUAUCAAAGUAACGGAAAUAAUCAUUUACAAUGAAACUUAUGAAAAUAUAAAAAUUACCCUUAUUUAAAAAUUAAAAUAGUUGAAGUGAUCAAAAUAUAUAAACAUAAUAUUAUAACACUCUAACCUUGUAUGGUUUUAUACUUUUCCUAUCGCGCCCUAUUUUUUGAAAUAAAAAAUUAUGAGUUAUAAAAAAUGAAUUUUCGAUUAAUUUUGAGUGAAAAUGAGUUUUUGAUUUUUAGAAAAUAAAUAAAAAAAGGCCUAAAAUGGGACCUAAGAAGUGCGACGGUUUUGACCCAAAAUAAUAGUCUAAAAAGGGUUUUUAGGAAAAAUAGGAGUCACCAAUUAGUAUUGAGUUAAGGUGUACCAAGUCAUCCAAAAAUAUGUCAUUUAAUAGUAAUAAAAAAAUAAAAAUAAAUAAACAAAACCUCUUUUUCGAUGACUCCAAGUCUUUGGAAACAAAAGAAAGGAUUCGGAAGUCACGGUUGAAGAAAGAAAAGACAAGCAUAAAAUUCAAGGCACCCUUUCGACCUAACUAAAGUUAGUUGCGAGAUUUAGUCCAAAAGUUUUCCUAAUCUAACCUAUAGACUUAUCACAUUGGGAUGUUUCUACAUGGAUGCACACCUAGACCUAAUGGAUAUCAGGAGGGUCGAAAUAUCUCUUCAAAGAUUAAUUGAUGCGAAUAACAUUAAUUGUGAUGCUCAAAAUGAUUUUUAGAAGAGGUCACGAAUAUGUAAAGAAUGAGACUCGAAAAAAAGAAAAAUUAUAAUAUAUAAGUAUGUUUGACCUAAAAAGAGGAAUGCAACAUAACGGGUACGGGGGACUAAGAUUCGUGACUCAAUUUUUCUUUUUAUAAAGGAGAUACUAGCAUGCUAAAUCUAAGAAGCCUACUCGUCCAUUUCCCAUAUUAGAAGGGUGCUCCCUAACCUAAUCAAGCAAAUGCCUAACCUAUUUCUAAUUUUUCUUAAAUGGAAUGCAAGUCUAAAAUGUCAUGUUUCGCAAGAGGGAUAAGGGAUAUACAUAUAGAGGAAAUAUCUUGCAGAGUGGUAAAGAUCCUAAAAGUAGAAAAUAUGCAUGAAAUGUAAUGAUUGUUAUGCAAGCAUGUGAUUCUAGCGCGUGGAUGGAACAAAGAGUCUAGCAUUGGACUCGUGAGAAAUCGAGAAAUAGACCACAAUUAGUGUUGGCUAGUGUGGUGACGCCAUGCAUUUAUUACAACUAAAUAAAUCAUAUAAAAUAUAAUUAAAGCUAAUAAACACAUAGAGCACAUAACACGUAGGCAUGAUAUCUAGAUACAAAGAUCCUAAGAAAUUGAGUAAACAUAUAAGCACACAAGCAUCCAAGCAUCCAAGCAAAUAAAAGUCUAACUAUUACAUCUGGGGCUCUAAUUACAAUCUAAGGGGAAUUUAAAAAAUAAUAACCUAACUAUUAUAUUUAUCUAACUAAAUACAUUUUUAACAAAAAUUAAAACCUAUCUAUUACAUAGGCUAACUAAAUACAUAUCUUGAGCACCUAUCUAUUACAAUUUGGCAUUUUAAUGCCUCUCAAAUAAUUACCAAAAAUUAAAUUAAAUAAAUGAAACCUAAAAUGAAUAAUAAUGAAUAAAAAGAAAAAACACUCAAAACAUGCAAUUGCACAUAAAACACAUUGGAGCACAUAAAAGAAUUGAAAAUAAUAAAAGAAGUUACCUCCCUUAAAGUUGUGGUUAAAUGGGGUGAAAUUUGCCCUACUUAUGCUCCAAAAUCAACAAAAUGGUCAAGGCACCAAUUUAAUUAUAAAAAUGGAAAUAAUCAUAAAAUCUACCAAUUAAAUCAUUUAAAUAAAGUAUAAUUAACAAUUAAAGAAGAAAAGUAACUUGUAUUUAAGAAAUCAAAACUAUAGGGAUUUAAUGAAAAUUUAUAAAGUUUUUGGGGUCCAAUUGUAAUUAUUACAAAUAUAGGGGUCAAAAUUAAAAAAAAAAAGUUUUAGGGAUCCAUUUGAAAUUAAAUUAGAACCUAAUUGAAAAUGUUAAAAGUUUAUGGGGUAUAGUAUCAUUACUCAAAGGUCUAGAGAUUGAUUUGCGAUUUCAUAACUAGAUUUCUUGAGUAAAUAGGCCUCUGGGCCAUAUCUCUUAUUUUUCGGGCAAAAACCUUCAAAGCCCAGCAAAAAGUUCAAGGAAAAUGCACAGGCCAAUCCAUAAUCUUACCCAAACAAAACCAACCAAAAGGGAUGGGCUUUUACCUCUAAGCCCAAGCGAAAACCCAAAAAAUGAACCAGACUUUUCUACCAAAACCCAACCCAAUCAAACCGUAACCCAAAUCCAACUAUUUUACCAAAUUCCAAUAAGAUAAUAAAUCAACUAAAACAAAUUAAGGUUUAAAUAUACCCCAAAUCACAGAAAUAACAUGCUUAGACAUGCACUUAAAAUAUGAAAAGAGUAUUAAAACUCAAUAGGGACAAGAUUGGUUCAAUUACAAGACUUUUGAGCCACAGUGUAAUUACUUAGAAAGUUAGGGGUUAAAAUGAAAUUUUUAAAAGUUUUGCAUGCAAAGCUUCGAAGAAGCUUCUUUCUGCAACCAAAAGCUUCUUUCUGCAACUCCCGAAACUUAUUCAACCCAAGAAGACAGCCGCAACAUUCAUGCCAAAUUCACAGAAUCAUCAACUAAACCCAAUAAGAACCACAUCCCCACAAACAAACCACAGAACAACAUGGGAUUAAUUGCUCAAAAUCUCCCACUUCAGAUUUGCAGAUAGAAAGGAAACAUACCACUUUCACUCAUUGAUUCCGAACAAAACCCGAAGCACAGGGCGAUUUAAAGUGGGGGCACUGGGGACCUUAAAUUCCUAUAAUACAUCUACAAUUUUGACAUAAUUUUAAAGGUUCUCCAGAAUUUUUUUGGAAAAAAUGUGAAAGAAUGGGUCACAAAAUUUAUAUCAUUCACUUUCCUCCUCUAGUUCCCAUUUUCCCACCAACAGGGCAAGUACCAAUUAUAUCAGUCAUAUCCUUUUGGUUCCCACUCCCUAAGUUCCCUUUACUCCUGUGGUCCCCAUUUCCCUUCACAACCGGCUUCUCUUCUUCCACACCCAAGCCAACUACUUUUUCUUUUUAUCACUUCAUCCAAUUAUCAUUUACUUCCUUUGUCCCCACUCCCCAAUUUCUCUUUCCUCAUCUGGCUCUCAGUUGUCCCCAUUCCCCAACAUACAUAUGAGAGCCAUUUUUUUUUCACAACCAAAGCUUGUUACUCUUUUUUUUUUUUUUUCACUUAUCCUAUUAGAGAUUGCACCAGAAUCAAUUGAUCUUCUAGAACUUGGAUCCGCCACAUUUUGUAGCUCUUUCAUCAACUUUAGAAGACCAUCAAAAUCAGGUUCUAAACAAUUACUUCUUAUUAUUAUUAUUUUAAAUUUGUUUGCAAAUAUAUUUCUAGAGCAUGAGACUAUUACUGUUUUAAAGAAAUUUGGAAAUUGAUUAGUUAAUGUAAUAACUAAUAAAUGGGUUAUUUGAUAAAUAUUUUAACUUGUGAAAUGGUGAUUUUAUGCAUGAGACUUUUUUUUGCUUAAAAAAAUUAGAAAAAGAGUAGAAAAAAAUUUUAGUGUUAUUUUUGCCCCCAUUAAGAUUUUUUUUUGGCUUUGCCCCUGCCGAAGCAUAACUUUGUUUAUGAACUACAAAGCUUGCAAAGAUAAUCAAGGACAAACAUUCACACUAACUUCCAAAUCUUGUCAUAUUUUAGUCAAACCAGAGGUAUCAGACCCAGCAAAAACAUAGAACCCGCACUAUAAACCCAUAAUCUAAAAGGAAGUUCUCUUUUGAUGAGUUAAAGAUCUUUUUUUUUCUUUGUGAAUUGCAGCAAGAAAAGGAAAGAUUAAGAGUUACCUCCGGAUGCUAGUGCAGUCAAAAGAAAGCAAGGUGCUCAAGAAAGUUGUGUGGAUUGCUGGAACGAAAACAGGAGCACUUUGCUGCAGAAAUUUCACCCUUGGCGAGCAGGCUGCUUUGAGCCGAAUCACAGAGAUCUGGAAAUGUUUUUUCAAGAUGUUUUCUGAACAAAAGUUAUAGAUUUACCAACAUAGUGAGUGCAGAAACUGAAAUAGAACCUACAGGAUCAAGAACAAGAUCGGAUUUGGGCCUCAAAAUAGGCUUUUUCACCAACCCUGGCUCAUUUUCUAGAAAAAUUUCUGCUCCUUUUUUUUUCCUUUGUCUCCCUCAGUUUUCUCUCCCUUUUUGCUGUUUUUUUUCACUCCUCGCCGCCUCCCCUCUCAAUCCCUUGUUAUCAGCCCUUUUUAUAUGAAAACCAACCUCCUAAAACCCUCAUCUAGAUGGUGGACAAAAAAACUGAUUUCUUUUGCAUUUUUAGGGCCCUUGAUCUUCAUGUUUUCUGGAUUCUUCUUGAUAAAUCUUGGAGAUGUGAUCUGGCUUGUACUGAGGCAUGGAGGAAAGAAAAAGAAUGCAAAAAGAAUCGAGUAAAAUGGGACAAAAUUGCAGCUGCAUAUUUGGUGCUGUGGCAUUGCUUCUGUACGAAGCUUGAAGGAAUAGCACGCGCGUGGGCAGAAAUUUUUUUUUUUUUUUUUUACAAAACUGACUUUUUUCAUUUUUCUUCUUUUGUUUCCUUUUCUUUUUCCGAUUUUUCUAAAAAAAGUGUUUUUUAUCAAGAAUAGAAAUGAAACAAAAUAAAUAAAAUUAACUAAAAUGAACAAUAAUAGGAAUAAAAAUGAAGAAAAAAAUGGUAAAAUUUUAGUGUCUACAGCUUACCCCUCUUUGUCUAGAUUUCGCAGAAAUUCAAGACAAAGACAUAGACACCAAAUUACUUAUCUGUCUAUCUCAACUGUAAUUGAAACAACUACAUAAAUCUAAUAGAUUGAAAAAUCUAAACCUAAAAAAUAAAAAGAUUUGUGGGAUAAAAUCCAACCCCAACAAAAUAAAACGAUUGAAGAGAUAAAACCCAAACCCAACAAAAUAAAAACGGUCAGUGGAAUAAAACCAAACAUGCCGAGAUUGGUGGGAUAAAACCCAAAUCCAACAAAAUAAAAAUGAUCGUUGGAUAAAAUCCAAAUCCAACAAAAUAAAAACGGUCAGUGGGAUAAAACCCAAGCCCGUCGUGGUUGAUGGGAUAAAACCUAAAACCAACAAAAUAAAAAUGGUUGAUGACAUAAAACCUAAACCCGCCGAGAUUGGUGUGAUAAAACCCAAAUCUAGCAAAGUAAAAAUGGUCAGUGGGAUAAAAUCCAAACUCGCCGUGGUUGGUGGGAUAAAACCAAACCCAACAAAAUAAAAACGAUCGGUGAGAUAAAAUCCAAACCCGCUGAGGUUGGUGGGAUAAAAUCCAAACCCACUAUAGUUGGUGUGAUAAAAUUCAAACCCAACAAAAUAAAAAUGAUCGGUGGGAUAAAACCCAAACCCGCCGAAUUCGGUGGAAUAAAAUCCAAUCUCAACAAAAAAAAACAGUCGGUGGGAUAAAACUCAAACCCGCUGAUAUAAGUGGGAUAAAAUUCAAACUCAACAAAAUAAAACGGUUGGUGGGAUAUAAUCCAAUCCUAACAAAAUAAAAAGGGUCGGUGGGAUAAAACCCAGACCCGCCGAGGUUGGUGGGAUAAAAUCCAAACCCAACAAAAUAAAAACGGUCGAUGGGAUAAAAUUCAAGACCAACAAACUAUAAACGUCGGUGGAAUAAAACUCAAGUUCACCGAGAUUGGUGGGAUAAAACCCAAGCCCGUCGAGAUUGGUGGGAUAAAAUCCAAAUCUAACAAAAUAAAAGGGUUAGUGGGAUAAAAUCCGAGACUAAUACCUUACGUGGGAUAAAAUUCAAACCCAACAAAAUAAAGGGUUAGUGAGAUAAAACCCGAACCUAAUACCGUUAGUGGGAUAAAAUCCAAGUCUAACAAAAUAAAGGGUUAAUAGGAUAAAGUCCGAGUCUAACACCGUUGGUAGGAUAAAAUUCGAGUCCAACAAAAUAAAGGGUUAAUAGGAUAAAGUCCGAGUCUAACACCGUUAGUGGAUAAAACCCGAGCCUAAUAAAAUAAAGGUUUAGUGGGAUAUAACCUGAUCCUAACACCAUUGAUGGGAUAAAACUCGAACCCAACAAAAUAAAAGGUUAGUAAGAUAAAACCCAAGUCUAACACCGUUAGUAGGAUAAAACCCGAUCUUAACAAAAUAAAGGGUUAGUGCUUGAAAGCAAAUCAUAAAUAGAUUUGAGAUCGCAUUUUUCAAAAUUUAUCCAGUGUAAGGCCUCUCUUCUUUUCUUUUGUGAUUGACGUUCAAAUUUGCAAGAUUCUAACUUGCGUUUUUUUAUCGAUUUCAGUCAUAAAUACUACACCAAGGGAAUUUAACAUGCACUUGAAUUUUAUACAAAAUAUUUUUUUGCUUUAUUCUGAAAAGUGUGAUAUCAAAUUCUGAACAAUAGGUUGAAAGUAUAUUACUUGACUCUUGGACGAGAUCUCACAAAUAUGUUACAAAAAAUUUUCCCCCAGUAUGGAUCUAUUUUGCGAAAUCUCACAAAUAUAUUAUAAAAUUUGCCCCAAUAUGGGUCUAUUUUUAACUGCAAAAAUUUUGUUCGAAUGACUAUCCAUUUAUUUGAACAAAACAUGAAAAAUGUGUUUUCCUAAAAUUUGAAAAAUAAUCACAUACUACUAUGCAAUGUGAAGAAAUUUAAAUGUCAUGUUUAAAUCAUGCAGAAGAUUUCAUGAUGAAUUUAUCAAAACAAUACCAAAUUACAAAAGAUUUCUUUCUCACUUUAGCAUCGGUGCUUAGGGUGGAAUGAUCACUUUUCUAUUAGCUCAUCCUUUAGGACAAAACAAGUGGGUACUAUUAUGAUUUUGAGGUGGCUCAGGGAGAUGGUAUGUCAGGAUCUGUCUUGUUUUUGUACCCAAAUUGUGUCAAAACCAUUUGAUCACAUCUUGGUGAUAUCAAAUAGUUCAUCACUCUUAUUUCUUGAGAAAGCUCAGUCAACAUAUAAGAUCUAUAGACUUGUAAUGUACAAGUCGAAACGAUAGCUAAACAAAUGGAAGCAGGUUAUGGCCUUAUGAUCACGAAUGAUUGAUAGAUUCCUUAGAGGCAUGAUCCUUUUUUGAUUGUCAUGAAAGAUAAGUCAACAAUGGAUUUUAUGAGCUUGUAAUGCGACUUGAAGACGAUAGUUAAAGAAAUAAGAUUUUCAAAGACAUUGUACUUAAGAUCGCAUUCCUUCCCAAAAAUUGCCCCAGUUUUGGACUCAAAACUCUGGAUUCUAUUUUGACUUUUAUCAUCAAUCACUAGAGAUUCAGCAUGCAUUGAAUCUCUUUGUAGUUUUUUAUUUUCUCUAAUCUUUUUUUUCUUUACAUUUUCCUUUUUCUUCUUUUUUUUCAAUACCGAAAUACCAAAAAUGAUAGAAUUGAGAAUCCCUUAAUUUUUUAGAUUAUAGAUGCCUCUCUUUUUUUUUUUCAAAAUUGGAGCCCAAAUAUUAAUGGUAGAAUCAAAUUCCCCCAACUUGUAGUUUCUCUUUCUUCUUUUUAAUUUUAGCAUUUUCGCUUUUUUUUUUAAAAAAAAAUUCUCCAAUCUCCUUCCCCAAUGUGGGUGUGGUCAUAAGUGCUUUUGAAACGAACCACCCAUUUUAACUCAAAUGAGGGUGCAAAGGAUAAACACUAUUUAGAUAGUAGAAACGAUGCUCAAAGUAUCAUUUUACUUCUCAUGACAACCAAAGUGAAGAAUAGCCCAUUGAGAGAAUCCAUUCCCUUUUUGACAUGCAAAAUUAUAAUCACAAGACUCUUAUUUGAAACGAAAUUGUACUUUUGAAGGCUCAAAUAGGAGAGUAAAUGAUAAAAUCUGUAUAGAUAGAAAACAAACGCUUAAAGUAUCAUUCCAAAUUCUAAAAAACAAACAAGAGUAAUAUAUAUUUUUACUUUCAUUAGAUGUGAUUGAAUUUGGUUAGGUACAGUGGGCAUUUUCAAAGUAAGAAUAGGCCCACUCUGAAGUUUGUCAACCAAUGUGAUUGACUUUGAAGCUUGAUAGAAGUGGGUAAUUUAUGAAUUGUAAAAUGAAAGAACAAAAGUAUCGUAGUUGGUCUUUUAAAAAAACUGCUUUUUGGUUUCGAAUGCUCUUAUCGCAUAGUAUGGAUCACAAAUCUAGUGUAUGCAAAGAUUUUGCAAAGUUAAAACAUGCCUUGUGAAUUUUCAGGCAAGAGGUAGAAAAAAUCUCAAUUUAGUUUUAUUUCUUAAAAUCAUCAUGAAAUCUCCCAAUGAGCAAAUAAAGAAUGAGAUGAACAUGAAUAUAUACGAAACAAUAAUUGUCUAAAUGAAAAACUUCAUUAUUGCAAAUGUUGAAACAAACUUUUUAUUCAACUAUAAUACAAGUCCAAAGAAUACACUUUCAUAUAUACACACAGUUCUCUCCUUUUCUUUUGGGACACAAAUGUGUUAAAAGAAAUUUUUUUUGACAAACAAUUAUGAAGUCUCUCAAAUGCUUUAGAUUAGUACUUCCAAAUGGAUUCUCAAUAUUUUUACAUUGCAGGAUCUGCCAAAAAUCAAGUAAUAUUUGUUAUUUUUCAAAAUUUAUCAAACCAAAACUAUUAUCAGAUAUAAAAAAUAUUUUUAUGUUAUUAAAAUAUCCUUUAUAAAUGCAGGGAUGGGCAAAAAGAAAAGAAAAUACCCAGAAUUAGUAAGCAAAAUGUAAAAUCGGUAUGCAUGUCCUAUGGAGAGCCCUUUUAUACUAAGGGUAGGCCUAGCAUAAAAAAUGCAAUCCUUUGGGUAGGCACAUACAAUACCUAAUGGAUACAAUACCUAAUGGAUCUGGUCAAAUUAUUGAUAUUCGAGUGAAAAGCAAUUUGAAAAAUUUUGGCUAAUUGGAGUAACAAGAGACAUUUGUCCUAACAAAAUGAGGAGAAAGUUCGAAUAGAUUGAUUGCUUUGAUUGACACAUAAAGUGAUGUUAAAAAUCAAUUUAGUGUGAAAGAGCUACUUUUCAAAAGAUUGCAAUGUCUCGACUAGUUUUUAUAGUGAUCCUAGAUUGAAACCUUAAAAGAGAAUAAAUGGAUCAAAUGGGUCGGAUACAAUUGAUGGUUUAUUCAAAAAAUUGACUGGAUUACCCUAAAAAUGAAUAACUUGAUCAAAUGGAUUGAACAGAACUGACGAUUUAUUCAAAAUUGACUGGAUUGUCCUAAAAAUGAAUAAUUGGUAAAAUGGAUUGGAUAGAAUUGACAGUUUAUUCGAAAAUCAACUGAUUGUCCGUCCAUUGGUAGUCUCAAAAUUUUACAAAUUUCGUUACAAUGCAUUAGUCUAUGAGCCUUCUAAAAUCAGGAUUUGACCUCGAUAUAUUUAUUAUUUUAACAAUGAGGAAUCAUUUGCGAAUUUCUUUAACUUAAUGUCCUUUAUGCUAGGAAAUUUUACCAACUAUGAUAAAAUGGCCAAAAGAUGAUUGUUAGAUGCUCAUAUUCUAAUGUGCAAAAACUGUUCCAUUAUUUUCAAUGCCAAUGUCAUCAUGGAAGGGACGGAUCCUACCUUACCUUAUGCAUCCCUUUGGAUGAUACGAAAAAAUAUAAACGUGCAAGUUUUAUUAAAUUAUAUAUCCGAGAUGAAGAUGGUUUAUUUCUAAUGUGGGAUCCCCUAUGCGACAUUCCCUCUAUGAUUGAUGCAUGAUGACAGAUUAUUAAAGGGGGUAAUGCAAUAAUUGAAACAUGACCUAAAAGUGUCCCAUUUAAAUGCCGGGGUAAGCCCAAAAUGAAUGUAAUAUUGAGAUGCAAUAACUUGUAAUUUAAACAUGCAAUAAACUAUCUAAUUAGGUGGGUUUUAAAAGAGUACCAUGACAGGACUCUUAUUAUUUAAAGUUUGUGAAUGCACAAGAAGAGAAAACAAAGAGAAAUUAGUACAACAAAUAACACAUAACACAUUAGGGCAAUAAAUGAUACAAAAUAGAAAUAAAGAAAAAGGGGUAGAAUCUCCCCUCGUGUCUAGUGUCCCUAGUUGGGUAAGGUCGACUCUAUCCUAGGUAAUUUCUAAUAUGGAUGCAUGAGGUUGGGUUCACUAAUGCAUCUAGACUCGAUAAGAUUUCAGCCUCCCAAACCUUCAAACCAAAAGGUGAAGGGUCAUCAAUCCCAAGACCUUUAGUCGGUGGUUCGAGUGAUCCCUUAGACAUUGCUACACGCACGUCGUGCCACAGCCACAUGUCCAAGUGGAUAAAUCCUAAUCCUAACUAGAGAGGACGGUGUGACAACCACUAAAAAGAAAUAAGAUGAGAGGUUAUAAAGAAAUAGCGUAUGCACGUAUGAAGUGCGCCUUUAAGGGGAGGGAUUAAAUACCAUCAAAUAUGGGUGAAGCUCUAGGGUGGCUAUUCCCCCUCAAGAUGCAAAGCGCGAUAUAAAUACAUAAAUAUAAGUAAAUGAAAGUAAAUAAACAAAUUAUUCAUCACAUACAUAGAUAUCGAAAGACCAUUGCGUGCGUGAAAUGCAAGAAACCCUAAAAAGAAAAAAUAACCUAAAACAUCCUAAUGUAAUAUGUAAAAAGGUUAGAAAAAGAAAAGGAUCGACAAAAUCAAAUACUCGGACUCUCUAAAAAAAUUUCGAGUGGAGUCGUCAGCUGUCGCGCCCCAUUUUUUGAAAUAAAAAAUUAUGAGUUAUAAAAAAUUUUUCAUUAAUUUUGAUUGAAAAUGAGUUUUUGAUUUUUAGAGAAUAAAUAAAGAAAAAGGGCUUAAAAUGGGACCUAAGAAGUGCGACGGUUUUGCCCCAAAAUAAUAGUCUAAAAAGGGUUUUUAGAAAAAAUAGGAGUCGCCACUUGGUAUUAAAUUAAAGUGUAUUAAGUCACCCAAAAAUAUAUGUUUUAAUGUAAUAAAAAAAAAUAAACAAAACUCCUUUUUAACGACUCUAGGUCUUUGGAAACAAAAGAAAGGGUUCAGGAGUCAUGGUUGAAGAAAAGGAAGGUAAGAAUAAAAUACAAGGCACCCUUUCGACCUAGUUAAGACAGUUGCAAUAUUUAGUCGAAAACUUUUCUAAUCUAACCUAAGACUUAUCACAUUGGGAUGUUUCUACAUGGAUGCACACCUAGACCUAAUGGAUAUUGGGAGGGUUCAAAUAUCUCUUUAAAGAUUAAUUGUGCGAAUAACAUUAAUUGUGAUGCCCAAAAUAAUUCUUAAAAGAGGUCACGAAUAUGCAAAAAUGAGACUCAAAGAGAAAGAAAAAUUAUAAUAUAUAAGUAUGUGUGACCUCAAAUGAGGAAUGCAACAUAAGGUAUGGGGACUAAGAUUCGUGAUUCAAUUUUCCUUUUUAUAGAAGAGAUACGAGCGUGCUAAGGCUAAGAAACCAUACUCGUCCAUUUCCCAUAUUAGAAGGAUGCUCCCUAACCUAAUCAAGCAAAUGCACUACCUAUUUCUAAUUUUUCUUAAAUGGAAUGCAAGUCUAAAAUGUCAUGUUUCACAAUAGGGAUAAGGGAUAUAAAUAUAAAGGAAAUAUCAUGCAAAGUGGUAAAGAUCCUAAAAGUAGAAAAUAUGCAUGAAAUGUAGUGAUUGUCACGCAAUCAUGUGAUUCUAGCGUGUGGACGCCUAAAGGGUCUAACAUUGGACUAGUGAAAAAUCGCAGAAAUAGGCCAUAACUAGCGUUGGACUAGUGUGGUGACACCAUGUAUUUAUUACAACUAAAUAAAUCAUAUAAAACAUAAUUAAAGCAAGUAAAUACAUAAAACACAUAGAGCACAUAACACGUAGGCAUGAUAUCUAGAUGUAAAGAUUCUAAGAAAGCGAGUAAACACAUAAGCACACAAGUAUGCAAGCAUCCAAGCAAAUAAAAGAAAAUAAAAGUCUAACUAUUACAUUUGGGGCUCCAAUUACAAUCUACGGGGGGAAUUUAAAAAUAAUAACCUAACUAUUACAUUUAUUUAACUAAAUACAUUUUUAGAAAAAAUUAAAACCUAUCUAUUAUAUAGGCUAGCUAAAUAUAUAUCAUGAGCAUCUAUCUAUUACAAUUUGACAUUUUAAUGCCUCUCAAAUAAUUACCAAUAAAUAAUAAAAUAAAUGAAACUUAAAAUGAAUAAUAAUGAAAAAAAGAAAAAACACUCAAAACAUGCAAUUGCACAUAAAACACGUUGGAGCACAUAAAAGAAUUUAAAAUAAUAAAAGAAGUUACAUCCCUUUGAAGUUUGGUGAAAUGGGUGAAAUUUGCCCUACUUAUGCUCUAAAAUCAAUAAAAUGGUCAAUGCACUAAUUUAAUUAUAAAGAAAUGAAAAUAAUCAUGAAAUCUACCAAUCAAAUCAUUUAAAUGAAGUAUUAAUUAACAAUUAAAGAAGAAAACUAUCAGGAAUCUAAUUACAAAAAAUUAAGAAAGUUUUUGUGGUUAAAUUAUAAUUAUUACAAAAUAUAUGGGUCACAAUUAAAUAAAAAUAAAGUUUAGGGACCUAUUGAAAUUAAAGUAGAGAUCUAAUUGAAAGAAUUUAAAAGUUUUUAGGGUCAUAUUAUAAUUACACAAAAGUCUAGGGACUAAUUUGCGAUUCGUAACUAGAUUUCUUGAGCAAACAGGCCUCUGGGCCAUUUCUCUUAUUUUUUGAGCCAAAACUUUCCUAGCCCAGCGUAAAGUUCAAGGAAAAUACAAAGGCCAAUCCAUAAUCUUACCCAAAACAAAACCAACAAAAAGGGAUGGGCUUUUACCUCCUAAACCCAAGAUAAAACCCAAAAAUGAACCAGACUUUUCUACCAAAACCCAACCCAAUCAAAUCAUAACCCAAAUCACUAACUAUUUUACCAAAAUCCAAUAAAAUAAAUAAAUCAACUAAAACAAAUUAAGGUUUAAUUAUAUCCCAAAUCACAGAAAUAACAUGUUUAGACAUGCACUUAAAAUAUGAAAAAGAGGAUUACAACUCAAUAGGGACAAGAUUGGUUCAAAUACAGAGACUUUUGGGUCAUAGUGUAAUUAAUUAUAAAGUUAGGGGUCAAAAUAAAAUUUUUAAAAGUUUUGCAUGCAAAGCUUCGAAGAAGUUUCUUCUGCCACGAAGGAAAAGUCUGAAGUAACGAUAGUUAUGGUAAAGAAUCUAUUUUUACCUGAUAUAACAGGUAAAAAUACUUUUAACGACCAUUUGAUUACCUAUUGUACUGGUCAUCUAAAUGAAAUAGUACCUAAAAUUUUGGUUAGUAAGUUUUGCAUAAAAAAUAGUAAGUUAACUCGAUAUAUUAGUAACUUUUAUGUCUCAAAAAGUAAACUUGAAUAAAUAUGGAACUAACUUUUUUUUUUGAAGGAAAAUACUACUCUAUAUCUGAAACUUAGUUUUUGGAGAGUAAUUUUAGUUCAAGUAAUACUAAGUUUUUAUAGAUUAAUAGUAAAUAUUGUUGAUAGAAUAGUAAAAUUUGGUUAAUCAUCAAAACUUAAUAGUUUGUGGCAUAAAUUUACUAUUUUACUUAAAGAAACUUACAAUUGUACGUAUCAUUUAUAAAUGUUAUUUGUUUGAAGCAUUUUAAAUAUACCAUGAAAACUUUUUUUUUUUGCAUAUGACCUUAUGAAAUAUGUAAGAAUAAUUUGUCAUAUUUUAAAAUUUUAAUUAUGGGAAAAUAAACAACUAAGUUCCCAAAAUAUUUCACUUUUAUUGUUUAAAAAAUCUCAACUUGUUGGUUAAAUUUAAAAUAAUUCUAUUGUCAAAAUAGUUUUUCUCAAAUUAACUUUCAUGAUUAGAUGUGAGAUACAAAUAUGGUAAAAUAUCCCUCAUACAUAUGUAAUGGAUAUUUCAGAAUUUUAGUAAAAAAAAAAAUUGUUGUUAAAAUAACAUAUAUCAUAGUGUACUAAUUAUUUUAGGACCAUUUUAUAGGUGAACUAAAUUUAAUUUAAAUUAUACAAUAGAUUAUACAUGCAUGUGAUUUUCAUUUAUAAUUAUUGGAUCCUAUUCUUAUGAACAAUCUCCCAAGGGAAAAAAUCCAGAUCAUACUGAUUUUCUUAUAUUAAUUGUUAUACUAAUUUUGUCAUUUUUAUUAUUAUAUUAUUUCUCAUUUUUUUUAGGCUUUUACUCUUAUUAUUUCUUGUGUCUCAGAUGUAAAUUUAUUAAAACUUUAUCAUCUUAUUAUAUUCAUGGGUGUUAAAUUAUAAAAUUUUGAUAUAUAAACAAGUAAUAUUCUAUAUAUAACUAGGAAGAUUUGUUGUUAUUGUUAUUCGAACUUUCAAACUUUUCAAAAAUUGAAAAUGAUUAAAAGCUUAUAAUACAACAAAAUUUUAUUACAUAUUUCACAAGAUUAUGUGAAAAGUCAAACUAUUUUUCAUAGUAUUUUAAAAUAUAUAAAUAAUUUUUUUAAAUUAUACCUAUACUCAUGUAUUAUACAGGUAUAUUAUGAGUACUUACUACUAACUAAGGUACUAAGAAUUAAUCAUUAAUAAAACAUUUAUCGUUAUUUCAAAUAAAUUUCCUAAUACUAUUUUGAAAUAUGUUUUAAAAUAAAUAGCACAUGUGUCCCAUAAAUCAGUAAGUUUUGAUUAUUAAUCAAUUUACCAUGUUAUUAGUAAGAGUUACUAUUUAUGUAUAAAAACUUACUAUUACUUGAAUUAAACUUACUUUCUAAAAAGUAAGUUUGGGAUAUAAAGUAGUAAUUUAUUUAUUUAAAAAGUAAGUUUAAUAUUUAUUCCAACUUACCUUUUUGAAGUAUAAAAGUUACUAAUUUAUUACGGUUAACUUAUUAGUUUAGAUAGAAAACUUACUUUCUUAUUUUUAAGUGUUAUCCUAUUUAGGUGGAUAGAUCUAGCAAAUAAUCAAAUAAUCGCUAAAAGCAAAUAAAAAAUAAAUCAAAAAUGGUCAUCCAAGUGUUAUCCUAUUUAUGUCUUAAAAAGUAAAUUGAAAUAAAAAUGAAAGUUACUUUUUAAAAAAAAUUAAAUGACUACUCUAUAUUCGAAACUUACUUUUUGGAGAGUAAGUUUUAGUUCAAGUAAUAGUAAGUUUUGACGGAUUAAUAGUAAAUCCUGUUGAUAAAAUAGUAAAUUUGGUUAGAUCAUCAAGAACUUACUAGUUUGUGGCAUAAAUUUACUAUUUUACUUAAAGAAACUUAUAUGAAACAAGUAUUAGGAAGUUUAUUUAAAAUAAUGCUAAGAUUUUUUUAUUAAUGAUUGAAACUUAAUAUUAUAGUUAGUAAUUGUUGGUAACGUAAAUGUAUAAUAUAUGAUUGUAUGUAUCAUUCAUCAAUGUUAUGUGUUUUAAGCAUUUUAAUAAAUGUAUGUAUCAUUUACAAAGGUUAUGUGUUCUAAUAAAUUUAUUUUCUAGGUCACAAGUAUAAAAGUUAAAUUUGUGGCAUAAUCUUUGAAAACUAUAGUAAAUUUACCACAUAUUAAGUUUCGUGAGAUUCAAAUAUAUUUUGUAUCAUUUACAAUAUGGAUUUAUAUGCACUUUUUUUUUAUCAAACUUACUUUUAAUUGGCAAAUAGUAUGUAAAUUAUUAUAAAAUGUCAUUUUAUAAUAAUCAUAAUUUUUAUAGGUGAAUGUAUAUAAACUGCUAAAAUUGCCAAUUUAUAAAUGAUCAAAUGUUACUACUUUAUGGCAUAUAUUAGUUUGGUCAACUAAAAAAUUAUCGUAAUUAAGUGUACGUUGGUUGUUGAUUUGAAAUUUGCACCCCUGUCACUAUUUCGUUAUUUCUACACAAGUUUUUCUAAUCAAAGUAAAACAAAGUCAAAUAUCUUUUCCUUUUGUAUGCAGUAUUUAUAUUUAGUAAAAAUUAAUAAACCAUGAUUACAUUUCAUAAUUUCUAAUGAAAUUAGUAACAUUUUCUAAAUAAAUUGGAAUAAUUUGUAAAAUAUGUUAUUUUUUUACCAAUAUAAUUAGGGGUGACAAUCGGGUCCAAAUCGGAGUGGCGGGUCGGGUUGAGACUGGCUGACCCGAACUUGACCGCCAACCCGAAAUGGGUCAGGAUAUCUGACCCGAAUUGAAAAUUCAGGUUGUCGGUUGGCGGGACGACCCGAAUGACCCAAAACUUAAUUUUAAUUUAUUAAUUUACCACUAUAAUUUUAAUUCACACAAGACUAAUUACAUAAUCAAGUAAUAAAAAUUUAAAUAAAUAAUCCCAAACCAAAUCUAAAAUAAAUUAAAAACACCGUAAAAGUGUUUUAUUCCAAACCAACUUCAAGUGCAUUCCUAUGGAAUUGGUCAACAGCAUUUCGUAGAUCUUUUUCUGUGUAUCCCAUCUUGUUGUGGCCCCCAGCUUGGUAAGCUUGAAGGUCCACUAUUUGAGGAAUUCGAAUACCAACUCCAUGCAUCAAAAUAGCAUGCUCCAGGUCUGUUGGGUUGACACUCCUAUGUGAUCGAAGAAAUUGUACAAAUUCUUGAUUUGUCAAUUGGUGAUUGUGAUCCAUAUUAAACCGCUUAAUCGUAGACUUCUGAAUAUUCUUGUUCCAUUGCACAAUUAUAGUUGCCAGACAACCAACUCUCGUAAGACGUUUUGCCUCUUUCUUACGGCUAACUAAAUUUAACCAUUUGCUAUUUCCUAGCCAUGAGAUCCCGCCCCAACCACCAAAAAAAAAUAUCUUUAGACAGCAGGGCAGGGAUUCACGAAGACUCUAUAUAUUAAUGAAAUUCAUAAAUACUUCUAAUUUAGGCAAGAGAUUAUGCAUUCUAAUUGAUGCGUACAUGCUAAUGUAAUUGAACCAAACAUGCAGCUCCAGGACGGUGCUUUCUUGCUCAGGAUUCAUUCAUUUGGAGUAUUUUAGCUAGUAAUGACAAGUUUACAAUAAAUGAGUUUGAUUGAACUUGCUACCUAUCCCAUUGGCGUAAACCCCCAAAUUUUUGACUUGAAUACACAAAGUCGUAUUUUUUGGCCAAAAAAAAAAGAGAAUACACAUAAUCGUAUUUACGAAUACUUCAACCACUAUGCUUGUCUUAUUAUGGAGCUUGGAGUCAUCUUAAUUCUCCAUAUCUUAUGAUUGAGAGUGGCGCAAGACUCCUUCCUAGCAGGUAAGCAGUGGUAAUUAAUAUGUAUGGAUGAAACUUGGACCGAUUCCCACAGACUUCCAAGCCAAGUAACCCAAAUCAUUAAUAUGACCUUCAAACCACAUAUAUACAUACACUUUCUCUGUUUAAUUGAAGGACAAUGUUAGAGGGCCCAAUUACCCAAAAUGAGAAUAAGUUUCCCUGUUCCAAAAAUGUCCCUGGGUUAAGCUCUAUUACUUGGACUCUUUUUCUAUCAAAUUGGCACCUGUUAUCAUAUUUUCGUUCUAAUCCCUGAAAUAAAUGUGAAAUAUAAAAAAUGAGUAGAAUCUAGCAACUAAUCCACAUCAGGUCAGAUAAUAGGGGAAAUUAAUAAUAAAAUAAAUGAUAAAAUUACAACCUAUCAAUUCCCCCCACACCUAAACCAUGCUUGUCCUCAAGCAUGAGAAAAGCGAUCAAACACCAAUAUUUGAUAGUGGCUAUUGCUCUAUCCAACAAAUUGCCAAGAUACCAAGAAAAAAUAAUAAUCAAGCAUCAAUGGUCAAGUCCAAGAAACAUCACUCCGGUUAGCUUCUAAACCACAAACUCCUCUAAUUUCAUGUUAACUAAUCUAAGAAAAAGGAGUAACGCAUAACAUUUAUCAGCAAAUGGUCCAACUAUUAACCAAAAUCUCAACAUUAAGUCCAUAAUUCGGCAAGCUGACUUUUAUUACACACUAACACAACCUUCACUUUUUUCACAUUUUUUUUUUUUACUUUUUUCUCUUUUUUUUUUAUUCUUUUUUUUUUCAAUAGUAACAAAAGACUUAGUCGCUAGCCAUUUGAGCCUUUUGACGCGAACUCCAACAUUGGCCAGAUGAAGGAGCCCGAUUACUCAGCUUCCAUCGCCACGUGACCACGAACUCAUAGCAAUUACUACUUUUUGACGCGAGAAUCGACACUUUUGGUGAAGAUCCCCGGUUACUCGGUAGUAAAUACUAGCGGAGUACAGUCAACUCUUAUUCACAGCCAAAUAAUACCAAAAAUUCAAAAUAACACAAAAGAAAAUUUGCAUCAGCUAGCCUCAUUUUCAAAUAUGGAGAACUAAAGUUAAUAAUCGGACCAAUUCACAUGAAAAUGCCAACAGUCAUUCCCUACGCCUAGGAAAGUUAACCAAAAAUUAUAAGGGUAAAACAAUCAUCGAUAUUCACCAAAGAGAUGUUCUUGGAUUCAACCACAUUAACUUGACACCCUUUUAUUAUUAAAACUUGGCAAAAGUAGAAAUAGAGGCAAUAAUCCAACAUCAAACCUUGGCAUGCAUUUACGAGCCAAUCACUAAAAAGAAGAAAAAGAAAAUGAACGAAAGACACUAGCACCCUAACUGCUCCCCCCACACCUAAAUCCUACAUUGUCCUCAAUGGAGGUAAUAAAGUAAUGAAAGCGAAGAGAACAAUGGAACUUCCCUGUUGAACAGCUAAGGGAUAGGAGGGAACAGUGGAGGGAAGCCGAGUUCUGAGACAUCCUUACCACCUGGCGGGUGAUGUUCGUCACUCUCUCAACUACGUGAUGAAUCUGAGCCCGCAAGUGGUGCGACUUAACAUCAGAGGCCAUCGGUGGGGGAGGCGCAGAAGAAGAGGGCUCGGGUCUUACCAUUUUCUCCAAAUGUCAUUUCAAUCAACAAGAGACAAGAAUUGCCCACAGACAAUGUAAACAGCAAAUUCAAAGCAAUAACAAUUUAAUAGCCACCGGUGCCUCCCAAAUAUCAAUAGGGAGCGACACAACUUGCCCACCCAAAAUCUCUCUAAAUAUCUCCAAUUGCACAAGAACAACCCAGUCACACAUGCCCAGCAGUCAAUCAAGUAUCCAACCAAGUAGAACUGACACAUGCAAGGGGAAAUAUUCCAACCAGUAUCAUUAGUGCAAAACAUAGUCCAAAAUCAAUGAAAUUGCUAUAGUAGAGUAGAGCAGUAGUAAAGCAAUAGCCCCAAGUAUUAAUCUAGUCACAAGAAAGAUUCUAAACCUCUAAAGAAGAGCAAUAGACGACUAGAAUUCCAAUGAAUAGAGCAAGUAGAGGAACCGUAGGUGGGAACCCAGUCCACCGAAGUCAAUAAACAAACCCAGGAAACAAAUAAGUCCGCAAAUGAGUCAACAAAUUGCACAAAUGAUCAGACCAAAAUCACAGACACUGUUCCUCCAAAUCAGCAAUAUAAACCAACAUCCAAAAUGUCCUCAAAAACUCGAUUAAAAACUACUAAUGCCAACAAGGAAUGCAGUUGCCGAAUUAAAUCAACCAAAAUUUCAACAAGCACAACACUGGCCGAGAUUCUUCCCAAAAUAUCACAGACAAUUGUUAAAAUUCCAGCCCACCCAAGAACUUCAACAAUUGCACCCAAAAGCUCAACAAUUGCCCCCAGCAGUCAACAAGUCAACAAGUCAAGCAACAGUAGUGCAGUGAUUCGGCAAUAACGACUCAAUAUAUACCCUCAACUGGCAAUCAGGCAUCUACCCACAAAAGCAAGUGAAAUUAUCUCAACGACCUAAUGGUUCAAAACACAGAAUUCACUUCCACCCAACGAAAUAGUUGAAGUCACUAAGAUGAACACGUUAGUUAACCGUCACAGAAAAUUCUAACAAGCAAACCAGCUCCUAACAGGGCAAAUUAAGCAGCACAAGCUCCUGAUUCAAUAGGCAAUAUCAGAAAUAACUCAACCAGAAUCCCAAAAGAAACCUCAACGAACUUAGUAGUUGAAAGCAAUGGUCAGAAUAUUUCUCAGCAAUUCAAUUAGAUGCACCCAACUGGAGGAAGCAAUGUAAAUAGCAUAGAAACUUCCCAAUUUAACAAACAAGUGCAAUAUUUCAGCUUACCCAAAAUUUCAACAAAUGGCUCCAGUUGGCCAGUCAAAAUCUUAAUUCAAAGUCAGCAAUUUCAAUGAAAACGACUUAGAUAUUGGACACCACAAACGCAGCCAACCAGAUAGAGGUACCAAAUUAAGGUCCAGUUACCCCACCAGUACCACAGGUAUAGCAAAAUAGCACAAUAAUACGACAGAAAAUAGCACAAUUGCUAGCACUGGUGCACCGCACAGUUAAGGCAGAAAACCCAAUUGCCACUCCAAUCUACUGACAAACCCCCAAGUGAAUCCAAUACAUACCAAAAAUUGGGGAUUUAGUAGCAAAUACCUCUCCCAGUGGCCGAAUGAAGAAACUGGGGCGGUAGUGGCUAAGAAAAAGAGGCGCUGUGUAGGACGCGAGGGAAAGGCGGCGUCCGUGGGCUGGAGCUACGAGGGAGCGCGACUACGCAUGGGCACGGGCGGCAGCGCGCGACUACAGCAGCGACGGCGUCGGCUUGGGCAAAGCGCGCGACAGUGAAGGAGAGCUGGUGAAGCGUGCGGUCGGAGCUGGGUGGCAUGCGGAGGGAUCGCGACUGGAAGAAGAGCUGCGGGGUGGCCUGCGCGUGGUUGGUGAGCGGCGGCGGCGCACGAGCUGGUCGUCGCUGGCGGAGGCGCGAGAUGGGUGCUGCCUCUGGUCUGCUGGCGGUAGCUCGCGGUGGAGGAGUUGAGCAGCGGCGGCGGCAACGCUCCUCGUGCCCGCGAUGGAUCGAUGGCGAAGAGGAAGCUGGUGAGGGGAGAGCCGCGGCUGGGGUGGGUUGAGGGAGGAGGCGGUGGAGAAGAAAGAAGAAGAAGAAGAAAGAAAGAAAAGAAAGAAUAGGGAAGAAAGAAAAAGAAAAAGAAAAAGAAAAUAGUAUUUGUGUGUUUUUUUUUCUUUUCCAUUUUUUUUCUCUUUUUAGAAAAAUUUUUUUUUUUACAGGAAGACUCUCCCCCCCCUUUUUUUUAAAUUACUAAAAAAAAAUUUUUUUUUUAAAAUUUUUUAUAUAUAUAUAACUUUUUUUUGAUUGACAAAAUUUAUUUUUGAAAUUCAAAAGUAGAGAUUAACAGAAAAUCAAUAAUCGUUCUUGAGCUUUUUGAAUACUUACCUUUCCCGUGAACAUGACGCGGGCACGUCAUGAAGGCACAGAAUCUGGAGCUCUCCAUAUGACAUGACGCGGGCAUGUCAUGAGGGCAGGAACCCCUUCUGACGAUUCUGACCGUGAGCUCUCCAUAUGACAUGACGCGGGCGCGUCAUGACAGAAAGACACCUACAAAUUAUCAAAAACGAAAAUUGAAACCCGAAAUCAGUCAAAUUCAAGGAAAAUAUAUUUAAACUAUCACACGAAAUCAAAACAAACAAUUAAAAGGAAUAAUUGGGUUGCCUCCCAAUGAGCGCCUUUCUUUAAUGCCUUUGGCUAGACAUUAUCAUGUUUUGCUCAUGGAGGAUAAAAUCUUGUAACUCGCUUCAAUGCUUUAUCUUCAAUGUGAUCCUGGUAACCCUCAUAGAUGGAGUAAUUUUUGAACACACGAGCUACGGUCUUCCAUGGACUAGUUGAUGGCGCCAAAUAAUCAAGCAGUGAUCUCAAUUCUUCAUCCACUCCUUCAUCAAGAGCACUCAACGGUUCAAGAUAUUUGACCAUAGCUACUCUUAACUUAUUUCUGCCAUGAGACUCAAAAACUUCCGGUAUAACAAAGUCAAUCUCAUUAACAGAAAUCAUGGAGUAAGAGUUUAGAAAAUGCGAGUUGGGGAAUGGAGGUGGUAUCACCACAUUUGAUGAUUCUUCACUGGAUUCUUUCACUUGAAUGGGUUGCGGUUGGGGUUCCAUUUCUUCCUUUUCGGCUUCUUUUUCAACUGCAUCUGUAGAUUUCUCAUUUUGACACUCUUGCGUCUCCUCAUCACUAGUCAAGCAAAUUGCACUCUCAUUUUCUUCUAGAUCAACAAUGGUUUUCGAGGGCAAUUCUUCCAUUUGAGAAACCCAUCGAUUUAUUCUGGAUGUCAAUAGACAUAGUUGAUCUGCCAGAUAACUCAUUGCAUCCUUCAUCAUCUCAUUCCUCAUUUGUGUCUCCUGUUGGAAUUGGUAUGUAUUAGUAGCUAUUGGUUCAACUAUUUUUUCAAGAGACAUACCUGACAUAGAUGACGAUUCUUGAGACUCAUACUGCUGAAAAUUCAUUGGCCCCGUUGUAUAAUUAUAAUUGGAGUUAUCCCACCAUCUUUGAUCAUACCCGUUUGGAUUAGGGUUAUACCACGUUUGAGACCAGGGUGAAAAAUCUCCGUAAUUAUUGAAUGGGACACUCAGAUUAUCUUGAUAUUCGGGGUACAUACCGGUUGAAUGAUCCCUGGCAUAACAAAUUUUACAUGUUGCAGCAGCCAUUCUUUCUCUAAUAGAGUUUAGUGCCUCUGAAUAUGCAGACUUAGCAAAAAAACUAGUCUCAUCGCCUUCCCCGGAAGCAAAAUCCUUUAUAUCACCAAAAUACGGAGUGUUAGAAGCCAUAAGCUAUAUAAAAAAAAAAGAAAAAUAAAUUAAAAAUAAAAAUAAGGUGAACUCAAAAAGAAACAAAUUAAUCUGACACCAGUCCUCGGCAACGGCGCCAAAAAUUGACAGGUUGUCGAAGCCUGUGCAGUAAUAAAAAUCUACUCAAACUAAAAAUAAUUUCUGUAGAUAGCGGUGAGCAGGGUCGAAUCCACAGGGACUGGGAGUAAUUAUUUCUUUUCAAGUUCACAGUGACAAGGGGGUGUUUUUGUGCAGAGAGUGACAAUCAAAUAAAUGCAAAUAAAAUCCAAGGAACUACUAAAAAUUAAAUAAUAAUUUACUAAACACAAAUGAAUGAUAACUAAAGUUAUAGCCAAGAAAUAACUUCAGCAAUGGUUCACCUAAUUGAUCAUCGAAACAAAGGCAAUUCCAAUUAUUUACCAAUAAAUAGGUUAUAACUACCAAACAAGCGAUGGCAGUCAACCCCUCCUUACUGUGUCGGUGAUUAAGGUACGCCCGUUAAUCACUGCUCUAAUUGAGAAAUAAUCCUAGGUACGCCCAUAAGAUUUAAUUUCCUAAUUGCCUUACAUAUUAGAGGAGCCCUAUUCUAACCAAAUAACGCACUACUAGAGUUAUUUUAGAUUAGCCCACGUAUUCCCCUGACACAAACCCAAUCAUGCCAGUUAUCACUAUUUUGAGACAAUUAAACAAUUACGGAUUUAACGUCCCAAUUGACAAUAGAUUAUCAAAUUAACUAAUUAUCCGGAUCCAAAACAAUCAAUUAAUUAAACAAUCAUAAGCACUGCAACCAAGGAAUAUGCGAAUACUAAUAAAUAGAGAAAAAGAUAAAAUUAAAUCGAUCUCACAAUUUUUUACGUGAAUCAAAGCAUCCGUUGUCCCUUGACUAGGGUGAGGAAAUUAGUUUAUAGUUGAUGAACAAAAUCCACAAGAAAUUGAAGCAAAAGCUGCGGCCAUCAAUUCGGAAGUUGGGUGAAUUCAAUUCGUCUAUUCAAUGAAGAAAGAAAGCUACAAAAGGUAAUUCAUAGUUUUCCUUCGGUCUGGACAUCCGCAGGAAGCAAACCACUAAAAGACGAAAAAGGAAAAGUCAAAAAGAAAACAAGCCUAAGCUACUGAACGGAAAGUUCCCUUUCAAUUUCUAUCUAAAUCCUAUUCUAAUGCUCUCCUUGCGCGGCGGCCCCCUUGUGGAGAGGACGAAGCCUCUGGAGGAAGAAGAAGCAGAGGACCCCUGCGGCGCUCCAGCCCUCCAGUAAAAUAGAAGCCUCUGCCCUGCUCUCUUCUUUUGAAAUUACCAAAAUGGGCAAAAGUCUUCCUUUGCCAAUAAUACCCCUGGGAUAAGCUCUGUUAUUUGAGCUCUUUUCUUGUUAAAUUGUCACUUGUUAUCAUAUUUUCGUUCUACUCCCUGAAAUAAAUGCAAAAUAUCAAAAGUGAGUAGAAUCUAGCAAUUAAUCCACAAUAGGUCAGAUAAUAGGAAAAAUUAAUAAUAAAAUAAAUGAUAAAAUUAUAACCUAUCACAAUGCAAUGGGCAUUGAUGGAGCAGCCAAGACUUCCCAAAAAGGAGAUGAAGCUAGAGGUUACGGAAGCAAGCUUGUUAAAGGAGCAUGAUGGUUUUUCACGAGUUGCACAUGUUCUCAAGUUAGCAGAAGAGCAGGAUAAGAGAAGUCUUUUACAGAUCAUUUUCGAUUAUGUAUGUAAAAGAAUGUUAGCAAAACUAUAAAAAUGUAGAAUGAUGAAUGGAUCGUCCUGUCUAGGUGAGAUUUAUUGAUGAUACGAUAUUUGUAUAUAUACUUGUCCAAUGUUCAGCAUACAAUUUCCAGAGUUUCAAUUCUGUGUGAGCAAAUUAUUUACUAGGAACCAAAGAGAAAGGUCCCUCAAGCACUACUGGUGAUAGAAAUUUACUGAUACGAGGCUCAUAAUGCUCAACAUAGUUCAACAUUUAAACAGAGGAUGACAGAAAACAUGUAAGAAUCUUUAUAUUCCAGAAACAUACUCACUGCUAUGCUGUUAUGAGGAAAUUUCACAGGAAAUGGUAUUGCAGUUAAGGUAAAGAUUUUCCAGAGUGUACUCUGCAAUAAGGGAGAACUCUUAAGCCUACCAAAUAAGGGAGAACUCUAAGAAUUGUUGACUAAAGUACCAGCAGGUUUCUAAAGUUUUAAGAACUGUUACGUCCCAUGUUAAGUUUUUGGACCAAUGUUGAUAACUUUAGUUUCUGUUGAUUUGAUUUAAGUAGUUGAGGUUCUAUUAUUGUUGAGAAACUUGUAAGUUUUAAUUUUGAGUGAAUUUUAUAAGUCACAAUAAAGAUGUAUUGUAUUGGUGGAAGUAAGGACUCUCAUGCUUGACUCCAAACUUAUCGAUUACGGGUUUGGGCGUGACAUUAUACUAGCUAUCUCGGAUACAUGACGUAUAUGUAAAACUUAGAAUUCAAAUUAAAAGUAAGAUUAGUCGUCAUUAUCUAUAGUAUACACAGUUAUCUCUCGUUUGGUACGCAAGAAUCGCCUAGAAUAGAAAGGUCUUUCCAACUUAUUCAUUCCAUUUUCCUGUCAAGUAUAGAUCUUUUGAGUUGGAAUUCCUGGAAAACUCAUCCCAACUUUUUCAUAAAAAUUUCAUUCGUCAUAAAAUUCUAAGAAAAGCUCUUUCCUCCUUUAUCCUAGAACGUCCAAAAUUAUUGUAGUCAAAUUUAUCCUCAUAGAUCUCUUUGUUUUAUUAACAAUUAGUAGGCUUUUUGUUAGUUUAAUUAAUAAUUGACCAUAAUUACAAACUAUUCCAGUUAUUUUUAAAAUAUUUUUUCUUUGCUAAUUUUAAGAUAUUAUUCUUUAAACUUCUAUGCAAAUAUGUAAGGAUUCCUUUUUGGCACUUGACAUAAAUGGUAAAAACUAAUAAAUAGAGAAUAUGAAUGUUUAACUUCACGUAAUUUAAUUUUUUGUAAGCUAGUGAUUACAUUGUUAUUUAAAAUCCAAAAAUGAUAUAAUAUUAUAAUCAAAUGAUUUCAAUAAGUACAUAUGCCAUUCAUAAUGUACAAAAAAAAAAAAAAAAAAAAAAGAGUCAAUGUUCCUCAUAUAAAGUAGGGAAAAUCGUUCAAAAUGUCUCUCACAUUUUGCAAAAUAAAAGAUUUCUGGGUAAUUAAGUCAAUUUUAUACAUAUUUAUUCCAUUUUGACAUCUAAAAAUUGAUUGUACCAGAUACUGGAAAUGGGAUGAACAUUUGAUUCUAACAUGCAUACCAGACAUUAGAAUGAAAUUUUUUUUUUCCCAUAUCGUUCUAACUAGAAAAGCAUUUUGAGUGGAAAGACUUUUCCAUUCUGGGCAUUCCGUAAUCCGUAUACCAAACAAGGGUAAGAAAAGAUUGAUCCAUUAAAAAUCAAUCAUGCGGUAAGGAGAUUAGAUAAUGAUAGAUUUGAAAAAAUUAAUGGCUACGACUGGUAUGUAAUUGUGAAAAUCACAACAUCUACCAAAUCCUUAUAUUCCAGUUCACAAUUUUACAAUGUCAGUUUCUUGAUGGGUAAUAACUAAAUCCUAUCUUUAUACUUUUUAGUGUUAAAGCUACAUGCAGCAAAUUAAAGCUCAACUUUGCAUUUUUUUUUCUUUUUUCUUUUGCUACACUAAUUUUGACAUUCAGUACUUAUUUGAGACACACAUGUAGAGUGUGCGUUAAGCAUUAGCAAGAAUAAGAUUUGUAUAAAUAUAUCAGUCAUUUUUUGAGAUUCGGUAAAUCUAAUUUCUUGAAUCCACAAUUUCUCCGUUUAUCAUUGUAAGAGCUAAACUUUUCUUUGGACUUAAACCAAUUUUUAAUAAGAUUUGAUUGUUGGAAAACAUGUACAAAUCUAUUGGACUAUAAUGAUUCAUAUAAGCGAAAGAUAUGUUAAAACAUGAAUAUUAUCUUUGUUUUGUAUGGAUUUUUCAGAUCUGUUAAUUUCAAAUCUGUGUAUACUUGUAUCAUCUUUGAUUUGAUAUAUUCUCUGCCAUUACUAUGUUUGCAUUCUCACGCCAUAUGCCCUUAUCUUCAGAUAAUAUACAUACAUCAUUUGAUUCAAAACCCCACGCAAUUCAUUAUUUUACCCAAACAUAAAAACAUAAUCAAUUUGCAUUAGAGGUGUGAUUAUUACGCAGUAGUUCGACUUUAUUGGUCUAAUUCAUUGAUGCAUCUUCCAUGAUCUUCACAAUUUCACGCAAAGCAUUAUAAGAUAAAUUUGGCUAAUAAUAAUGGACAUGCUUAGUAACACCUGACUAAUUAUUUGUAUCAAAAUACCGAACUUGCUUUCAAUUAUAGAAUAAAUAUACUUUCCGAUUCAUUAAUGUACGCGUUAGAAUCUAAUCGAAUCAAAUCUAAUAAAUUCAUCGCUCAAUCGAUUAAUUUUGAUCUUAAUGGAUCCAAAAAAUGGAACUCCCAACGGAUUCAGACAAAACUAUGUUUGGAUUAAAUAGGUCGAAAUUGGUUCUCGAAAAUGAAAUGUACUUUUUCCAUCUUAAUUGGGAUUUUUAGCUGGCAUAAUAGUGUGUGAAGUCAACAUCAAGAUAAAGUUAACUAUGUGCUUAACCACCAUUUUGGUUAAACGAUAUGAACCAAGGAGUUGAUUAGUCAACAUGCAAAAAUAAUUGGAUCUAAUCCUACUUAAUUAUCAUUCAACUUUAAGGAGAAGAUUGGUAUCUACUCAAGCAAAUAUAUAUAUUUCUUUAGCUCCAUCGGUAAUGCUUGUGUUUCUUUAGACUUGAGGGAAUCAUUACAGAUGCAAUAUUCAAGCAGAAGGUAGACAUUAGUACUACAUACUGAUCAAGCUGAAGCCAAAGGCCAGUCUCUUUUUGAUGGUUUGUUAAGCAGCAGAUUCCUAUUGUGAUGAGAUUCAUAGGAGCGGUAACAAAGCAGAAAAUAGAAAAGGUUGAUGAAACUCAAGAUGGCAAGCAGCCAGUAGUGGUAGUCAAGGUGACCUUCAUUCAGGUUGUUGGCCAACCAGCUUGCUUUACCACCGCAACCAGUAAUGCUAUUGACAAUAUUCACCAGAAGACUCCCAAACAGGUUAGCCAGAGCCGAUCCAAAUGUAUAAAUUGCUGCUCCAAUACUGGACAUGCUCUUAGGGAACUCCAUGUAAAAGAAUUGCAACUGUCCAAUUGCAUUCAGAGCUUCGGCCAAUCCGAGAAAUACAAUCUGUGGCAGUAGCAGCAUUGCAGACAUGUCCACGACGGCAUCUGGCUCGCCCUGAACCCCUCAUCAACUGCUUUUUUCAGCCUUAUGCUCUCCACAAUAGCUGCUAAUACCAUGGAUAUACAUGACAUUAUCAAUCCCAUCCCCAUCCGUACUAUAGGACUUAGUCCUUGUGGAUUACGAGUAUAUCUUGCCAAGAAGGGUGCUAGUAGACGAUCGUAAAAUGCAAUCCAAAUUGCCAUGGUAAUCACCAUGAACAAAGUAAAGGAUCCAGCUGGAACUUCAAAAUUCAAUAUGUGCCUAUCCAUUGAACUCAGUUGAAGUGUUAGAAAAGAAGUCUGAUCAAUGAUAACUAAGAAUAUUAGGCCUGUGGACCACAUGGGAACAACUCCAAGGAGAACUUUAAGUGAUUCAACUUGUUCCACACUGCAGAGGGUCCAUUGAUCUAAAGCUGUUCCAUCCGAAGUUAAUUCUGUGUCUGGAUCUUGAAUAAUACAAGCCUUAUUUAGACACCUGUAUAUAUAGAUAUAAACUAUCAACUAAAAUAACUAACGUUCCUGCUUGAAAUGGUUUCAAAGUGAUUUUCUUGUAAACUUAUACUGAUCAUGCAGAAAGUGUUUCUCCUAUCUUGCCCUGAGUGGAGCAAAAUGGAGACAGCACCUCCUAAUUUUGAUUACUACUUUUUUAGUGAAGAUUAAGAUUUUUUUUAAGAUUUUCUUUUAAUAUUUUAAUAACUACAAAAUUUUCUCUAGAAAAGUCAUUAGUUGGCAGUGGCAGAAGAUGCAAAAAUCAGCAUAACCAAAAGUUGCCAGAGUUUAAGGAACUUAUGUGAUGGCAAUUGAUACUGUGGCAGCUAUACCUGAACUGCUCAGUGGGUGCUAGAAGCUCUGGCUUCCUGGUCUUAUGGUAGCACUUGUAAUUGUCUUUCGAAGGGCAAUCAAUUUUUCUCUUUCUGAAUGCUGCCACGAGAACUGGGAAAAAUCCGAUUAACAAGCUUUCACUAGGUUUUGAUUUGAUGUAAAGAGAGGAGCCAACUAAGAACAUCAGAGCAGAGAUAACAUUAAGAUGGCAGGGAUUCCAAAUCCAACUGACCACCCCAAACGAUCCUGGAUAUAAACAAUUACAGUCAUGGCAACAACAGUUGAGAUUGUGGCAGAAGCAUAAUACCAGUUGAAAUAACUUUGUAUAACCCUCUCAUUGUUGGGAUUCUUUUUGUUGUCGAAUUGGCCUGCACCAAAAGCAAUAGAACAAGGCCUAAUACAACCAGCUCCUACAGAAAUUAGCAAAAAUGAAGACAAUAAGGAAACAAUUCGAACUCCAUUUGGUGCACUGCAAUUGUGCAACUGGUCACAAGGUAAAGGCUUCAACGGUGGAACCAUAGAAGUCAGCCACAGAAUAACCAUUCCCUGCAGAAACAGACCAUAUUUUGAUUCCGAACAACCCAAAUGGGGGACUAAGAAUUAGAUCCAUAAGUCUUAUUCUAGUUACCCAAUUUUUAUCAUAUAUAAGUGGCAGGAAAAAAGAAAAAUGUCCAACCGCGCAGAGCAAUACUAGAUAUGACAGAAGCUCAGAUCAUCAUGGCGUGUUUGUUCUUUAUUACAUAAACGUCCAAUAGCAACCAUUCCUAUCAUACUUCUAUUGGUAAAUGUUCGCCAUGAAUGGGCAUUUUACAGUCCCAAGUCUUAAGAAGAGCGUUUUCUACAUUUUCAUUCAUCAAAUGGUUUAUCAAGACCUGUUUCAUAAUCUGUUCAAGAUCAAUAAAAAUUUUCCACAGCUCUAAACUUUCUUGUUGCUGGACUUUAUAGUCAAUAAUUAAAGGCACCUGAUGCAUGAUAAGUAGAUUCUGAUGCAUAAUAGUUAGAUUCAAUUGUCCCUGGAAUUGUCCCCCUUUCCGCUAUACUUAGAUAAGCUACAACAAAUUUAACAUUUCUGAUCAUUCAAAUUAAGUACUAUAUUUGUUACUGAUCAUUCAAAUUAAGUAUUAUAUUUGUUAGUCAUAAAUUUUCUAAUCCUCUGGUAAACCAUAAAGAAGAUUAUCUCAAGAAACAGAAACAGAAUGACUUUAAACUGUAAUUGCAUACAAAACUUGCAAAUAUUGGUCCAAAACUUAGUACAGAUGAGCAAUUCCAGAAUUUUAUGUGGGGAAAAGAAACAAAAAGCAAUAUGUUAAAUUACACAAUAAGUAAAAGAGACUCACAAGAAGGCUGGACAUGGAUCCAAGAGCAAUGACCCGGAACCCACCAAAAUAAGAAUCAGCCAAGAAAGCACCAAAAAGGGCCAAACCAUCGGAUAGAGCAGCCCAGAUAAAGAGUAUAGUGGAUGCUGUGGCAGUUUCAAAAUGGUAAACUUUUGUUAAGUAGAGUAUCAUGUUUGGCAUUAGCCCCUGACUUGCCAACCUCUCAAAUGCUACAUUCACUGACCAAGAGGAAGAGAGAUAGAGAGAGUGAGAGAGAGAGAUCAAAACUUUUGUCCAAUAUGACAGAAUGCAGAGCCAUACAACAUUUCCAUGCAUACCUAGGAUGAAAGGCAUGGUCUUGAGACCACCCUUCGUUCUUCUUGGUUCUGGUGAACGAUCAGCAAACUCUCUUCUUCUGGAUUAUUGUCCAUCUUCACUUCUUCCAUCAACAGCUUUACUGGAUUUUAGAUUUAAUUUUAUGUUAGUUGAAAUGAAAGUCUUCAAUCAAACAAGAUACUUCAUCAAGGAGGAGUUUUAGUUUGUCUCUAUGUUUUUAUUGUCUUAGAAUUCAAAUAUAUAUACUCCAACUUUUGCACUCCUAAUCAGAAUAUUUACCAACCGUAUGACUUGGCUUCAUUUUUAACGAUUGUAAUGCUUUUUCCAGGAAAAUGCAUCUAUUAGAGUAGACAAUGGAUUGCUACAAUUACAGCACAUGAUAAUAAUUUCUAUACAUUUUUAAGUGUUCUAUUCGUCAAGCACGCCAUCAUUUGGGCCCUCAUUGCAAAACAAAAACUGCGGGAAAGCCUUAGGUGAGAAGCUAUAUAAUCAUUAUGACUGAAAUCUAGCUACUUCAGUAACGUGAAAACUGGAAAGUUGAUUAUAUUAAUGAAUCAAGAAUUAAUCUUCUAUACACUAUCAAAUCAAGAUGCACAAUAAUUAAUUUUAAUUUGAUUUUGAAAUUAAAAUUUUACACGUGUAUCAUGUAUUUAAUCAUGAUAAUGUAUAUAUGCUGUCAGUAUAUAUAUGCACUAAAAUAUAGACCCAAAAAAAAUUUUAGAAACAGGUACAUGAAACGGGUACAAAAAAAAAAGGAUUUUAGAGAAAGAUUUUAUCACCUGUCAGAGGAAAAGCAAGAUCCAGGAAAGGCUAACCAUGGAUUGUUUUGUGCAAUGUCUAAUGUGACUCACAAGUCACAAGAUGUACGGCAUGGACAACACAUUGUGAAAACUAAUACUCCCUUCCUUUUUUUAUAACUGACGUUUAAGAUUUUGCACAUCAAUUAAGAAAAGCAUUUCAUUACUUAAAUAUGUACACUACUUUCCUUUUGUACCCUCAUUAAUUAUCCAAUUCACCCAUGGAGGGGCAGAUAAUUACUAGGGUUGUUACAAAGAGAGAAGCAAUAAUUACUAGGAGUAGUAAUUAAGAACCCUGUAUUGGAAAAGAGAGAUAAAAGGGUAAAAUUGUGAAAAAAUAAUUAAUACUGUAUGGGGAUAAUAAAACGACAGAUAAAAGUACACUAGAGCAAAUUUCUUAAACGUCAGUUAUAAAAAAAAUGGAGGGAGUAGUACAAUAGAGUGGAAACUCUGAGCACUAAGUAUCAAUUUUAUGCAAUUUUGAGCCAAAGUGGCCAACCGCCCAAAACCAUUAAAAGAUGCAAGAGUUAUUGUCCCUUCUUGUUGGGUUGAUAGGGCAAAUUAAUACACGAAUUAGUGCAUUAAUGCACGUAUUCUAGUUGACAGUCAAAGUGGCGUUUCCAUAUCUUUGUUGAACUCAAGACUGUAAAUUGUAUAUCCGCUAGGAUGAUAACUAGUGCAGACCAGACAACGAGGUCUUGGCUUCAAAUUUGGCUGAAAUGUGCAAAUAAUUUAUAGGUACUUGAAUCCAUUGAAAAGGGGUUUUAUGUACCUGCCUUGAUUUGAAUAGUAAGUUAACUAAAUAAUCACGUAGUAGUACUUUUUUUGGGUAACGUGUUAGACCCACAAGAAAAUCUAAAAAAUGCUAUGCUAUAAAUUUAAGAAUUAAUGUUCUCUACACUGUUAGUGUAUACAUUGUACGUUUUAAAUAAAUAACAACUAUAUGAAAUUUAAAUUUGAAAUUUAACUUUUAUACAUGUGCCAUGGAUCCAUCAAUGAUAAUGUAUACACUGUCAGUGUAUAUAAAAUUUGCUUUAAAUUUAAUCAUAGCGAAUGAUAAAAAGUCAUGCCAAGAUAAAAAAAACUUCCAAAUCAACCCAGACGGUAAGAAAUCUGGAAAACAUGUCUAAUCCAACUAAAAACACGCAUACAGAAUGCAAAUGAUUACGCAAAUCCAGUCCUGAAGCAAUAAAAUUAGACUUAGGCACCAGCUUGCCCAAGCUGGUGUAGUAUGUUGGUGUAGUAUAUUCCUAUUGCCCACAACUGCUUUGAAAACAAGCUUGGAAAGAUGUGUCUACCUUCAAAAAAUGGCGGUUUGGGAGUUAAAAAUCUGGUCAAAUGGAAUCAAGCUUUGUUACAUAAACUAAUUUAGAAUAUUUGUGCUAAGAAAGAUCAUUUAUGGAUUGUUUGGGUGCAAAGGUUUUUACUAAAAGACAAGUGGUUUUGGAUGAUUUCUGUUCCUAUGGAUUGUAGUUGGGCUUGGCUCAAAAUAUUGCAGUUCAGGCCUUUGAUUACGCCAUUUAUUUGAAUAGAAUAGGCAAUAGGGCCACCACAUCUUUGUGGUUUGACAAUUGGCGUCUCAAAAGGGUCCUUUCUGGUAAUGUAUUUUCUGGUAAUUUACAAAAGAUCCUUUCUUUUUGGUAAUUUACUUUGAUCCUUGGGGUGUAAUAAGUUAAAUGUAGUGUCUCGAAUGAUGAGUAAGAGAAGUUAAUUUUAUUUUGCAUCUUUUAAUUAUACCUAAAUUUUCACUUUGAUACCUAAAUUUCAAAGUAUGACAUUUAGUAUUUGAAGCACCUAUUUUAUCCUAUGUAAGUAAGAUCUGCCGCACUUUAGUCCUUAAAAUAUAAUGGGCCAGCCAAAGUCAACAAUGGGUUUGAGCUGGGCAUUGUAUAUUAUUGGAUUAGGAUGACCUUGGACUUCAAUUGAAGUUCGCCCAAAAAUUUAUGUAUAUAAAGUUUAUGUUUCAUUUACUUUCAUUUUUAAUUAUGUAUAUUAUUGAAUAACUAUUUGUGUAUCUAUAUAUAUUAUAAUUUUCAUAAUCCUAAAAUAUUAUAUGCACAUUAUGGGCUUGUUCUCAUUGAUUAUUUUAGGUGGUUAUAUAUUUUUUUCCAACAAACAUUAACAGUUUCAUAUAUAAGAAUUAACACUUGAUAUUGCAAGAGUUAAUUACAAAAAGGGGCCACUACCCUAAUUUCCUUCUGUGCUAAGUCUAUCAACAAUAUUGGAAAAUCUUGUUCCCAUUCUACAUCAUGCACUAACUUUACAUCUUGUGCUAAGUUUAUGGCUGAUUUCAUUUUCUAAUCUAGUUACAAAAAAGAAAUGAUAGUUUUCAAAAUAUGCUUUUAGUUUCCUGAACGUCUUCCAAAAUAGUUGCAAUGUUGUAUUUACAGUCACUGCAGCUAUUAAUCUGGUCUACAGCUGACUUGCAAUCUGUGUGAACUACUAUUUUAGUCCACCCUGCAUUUUGGCCAUCACCAUUGCAUUUCUUAUUGCAAGAGUUUCUUCCUUGCUUGCAUCUCCCUUUUUUUGGUUCACUAUCCCUUUUGCCUUCACAAUCCUUCCCCUCCAGUUUCUUGCAAUUAUCCCUUAGCCUAUUCUAAUCAUUCUUGCAGAGAUUGUAGCAUCUGGAUACAUGUAUAUCACAUUUUUCUUUGAUGGCUCUCUUCUGACUUGUGUCUUACUGUUAACAUGUAGUGCAGUGUUUUCUUGUUCUGCUUCUCUUGUCUAUUUGUACUCUAUCCAAUCACCUUGUGCUUUCUGUAUUGUUCUACUUGGAUCCAGAUUAGAGUCUUCAAACAUUUUUUUGUUCCUAGCUUUCCAAAUUUGCCAAAAGAUGUUAAUGGUAAGGUUUAUUUGAUCCUGACCUUGUUCCUUUAAGAUUGUUUGCAUGGCAGUUUCCGACCAGAGCCACAAGUUAUGCUAUUUGUCUUUCAAUCCAUCCCAUCUCACUAGAGCCAGUUUCUAGACCAGUGCUGCAUUUGUACAAAAGAAGAACAAAUGUUCUAUGGUUUCAACAUCCUCCCCACAAUAGUCAUAUCUUCUCUUCUCUUUUCCUAACCUUUUGAAUGUAAUGUCGUUUACUGGUAUGCAAUUCUGCAGGCAUUUCCACAUAAAAUGUUUCAAUUUGCCCUUUACAUUCUAUUACCAUAACUUUUUCCAAAUACUAUGUUUUAUUAUCUCCCAACUAGUUUCAGCAUUGAUUCUUUCUUUGGCACAGUGCUGAUCACAAUCCUAUUUUGACACUAUAUAUCCAGUCUUUACUGUGUAUGUUCCAGUUUUAGAGAAUUUCUAGAAUACUUUGUCCUUUCUUCGAUGUAUACUAAUAAGAAUGCUCUCAAUCAGUUCAGCAUCUUUUCUGCAAAACCAUUGUUAUAGAGCCUCUUUUUUCCAUUUCUCCCCUUCUAUCAGCUCACUUACCCAUUCCAACUAGCAAUCCUCAAGUUUUUCAAAGGUCACUUUCACCUUUCUCUGAUCUGAUUAUCCAUUUGUCCUUCCAUAUGUUUACUCUACUUCAAUCUCUAACUCUCUUCCAUAAGCCAGCAAACAGUAGUGUCCUGGAACUGUGUAUGCUCUUCCAGCUCCAUGAUGCUGAGUUUGGGGGUUCUUUCUCUAUCCAGUUAGGGUCCUUCAUGUAUUUUGCUUCAUUACCUUGCUUACUAGCAAAUUUGGAGCAAUUAAGAAUCCCCAAAUUUGCUCUGCAAGCAAGGCAAUAUUAAAUGCCUCUAAGUCCUUGAAGCCAAUUCCCCCUCUUCCCUUUACUUCUGUGAGUUUCUUCCAGCUUGCCCAAUGCACACAAGUCUCUUUCUCCCCAUCUCCCUACCAGAACCUUGCAAUCCUUGAUGUGAUCUCUCUGCACAAUCCUUUAAGGAGUCUAAAGCAUGCCAUUAUAUAUGUUAGCAUGGCCAUUAUGACUAACUUGAUAAGUACCUCAUUUCCUCUUUGACUUAUUAGCCUCUGUUUCCACCUUUGUAACUUGUUACUGAUUUUACUCUUUACAAAGGCAAACGCCUGCUCUUUUGAUCUUCCAAUGGCCAUUGGUAGCCCCAAGUAUGUCCCUUUUGAUGCCUCUCUCAUGCUGUCCAAUCCUUCACUCACCUCCUGUUUUGUCUGAUUAGUGGUGUUUCUACUUUAGAAAAUUGCUGACUUGUCAAAGUUUACCACUUGUCUAGAACCUUUGCCAUAUUUUGUCAGGAUAUCUUUCACUUUCAACAUCUCUUCUUUGUUUGUUUGCAACACAGUAAGGAGUCAUCUGCAAAGAGCAAAUGUGAAAUAGGAGGGCUAUCUCUGCAAAUUUUGAUACCUGUUAGCUCAUUUUUUGUCACUACUUUUUUUAGUAGGCUGGACAAUCCUUCAACACAGAUAAUGAAAAGAUAAGGUGAUAAUGGGUCCCUUUGUCUAAUUCCUCUAUUUGGUCUAAUGUGUCCUACUUUUUGGCCAUUCAACUUGAAGGAGUAAGAAAUAGUAGACAAACAGACCAUGAUCUAUUUAACAAAAAUUGGACAAAAAUCCAUUUUCAACAUCAAUCUUCCCAAAAACUUCUAUUCUACUCUAUCAUAAGCUUUGGACAUGUCAAACUUAAUGGUCAAGAAUCCUAUUUUUCCUUUUCUUUUAUUUUUUUCAAAAAAUGGAGAAUUUCAUGGGCUAUCACUACAUUGUCAAGGAUUUAUCUACCAAGGAUAAAAACAGACUGAGAACAACUGAUGCAAUGCUUAAGAACCCUUUUGGGCCUAUUUGCUAUGAAUUUAGAAAUGAUUUUAUAAAGUACAGUACAUAAACUAAUAGGCCUAUAGUUCACAACAGACACUGAUGCUUCAGUUUUUGGGACCAAAAAAUUGAUGGUUUCAUUCACAACUUUGAGCAAGUAACUAGCAUGGAAAAAGCUAUUUAUAGCAGACACAAUGUCCUUUUUUAUGAUAUGCCAAUAAUGUUGGAAAAAAUGUGGAGACAUACCAUCAGUUCUUGGGGCUUUGUUAGGAUACAUUGAAAGAAGAACUUGUCUGAUUUCUUUUUCUUCAACAAGCUUAAUCAACUAUUCAUUCAUUUGACCAAAAAUAGUGCUUGGGACCUUUGCUAAUAUAUCCUCAAAAUUGUUAGGGUUGGUAGUGGUGAAAAGGUCCUUGUAGUACUUACUAAGCUCCUUUUCAAUUUCCUGCUCAGUCUUACACUAGGUUCCAUCUUGUUUCUACAGAGUACUGAUCUUGUUUCUUUACCUUCUUGUCAUCACACUUGUAUGGAAAAAGGCUGUAUUUCUGUCACAUUCUUUGAGCCAUCUACUUCUUGAUUUUUGACUCCAAAACAAUUCUUCCUUCUUAUAUGCUUUGCUCAGUUGAGUUUUUAUCUCUGCAAUCUAGCCUCUCUCACCUGGUUCAUUUCCUGUUUUCACCUCAUUGAGUUGCUUUUUUAGUUCCCUGAUCCUUACUUUUGAAUUCCCUUGCACUCUUUUAUUCCAUUCCAGAGUGGCUAUCCUGCACUCCUUUAUUUUUCCUAGUCACUUUGUACAUUAUGGAACCUGUGUGUACUUUAUCCCAUGCUCCUUUGAUCAUAUUCUUUGAUUCUAGAUUUUUAGUCCAGCAUUGAUCAAAAUAAAACCUCAUUCUUCUUUUAUGUCUAUCUAGAUUAGUAUCCAGAUUAGGAUCAAGUGGUUUGGGGCUUUAUUUUCUACAUGUGUACAAGAGGCCUUAUCAAACUUUGGCAUCUAUUCAACAUUGCUUAAGCACUUGUCCAAUCUCUCCUUCACUUCCCCAUCCCCCCCAACAAUUGCUCCACAUCCAUGGCACCCUUUGGUAUCCUAUAUCUAUAGGAUCAUUACCUAUGAUGAAGCAAUUGAAAUCCCUUAGACUUCCUUCAGCUCUCUCUCUCUCUCUCUCUCUCUCUCUCUCUCUCUCUCCCCCCAAUUUCUCCCCAUUCGGUCUUAUAUCAUUGAAAUCCUCCACCAGCAUCCAAGGCUCUCCCAAUUCCUUUUUCUUGCUUUCAAGAUGUUUCCACUGUUCUUUUCUGAUAUUUCUAUCCACACUCGCAUAUAGGCAUACUAGCUGCCAAUGGCAAUUAGUUUCCCUGUCUUCUGUUUUUGCUGCUAUAUACCAGCUAGUGCUGUUCACUUCGUCUAUCUUCACAUCAUUGCUCCAAAACAAGGCCAAUCCCCCUGCUCUACCUAUAGAGUUUACAAUGUAUCCAUUUUCAAAUUUGAUUUUCUUUUGCACUUUUUUCAUGAAGUUUUCCUAGUUUUUUGUUUCACAAAAGAACACAAUAUUAAGAGAGUGGAGAUUUAAACCCUCAUUCAAUUGGAAAAUUGUCAAGGGGCCUCCUGCACCUCGACAAUUCCACACGGACCACACCACAACCUUUAUAUACACCUUGGAGGUAUAAAGGGGUUAGCCUCCAAUUCCCCAGUUGAUAGUGUGUUGGUUGUUUCCUUUCUCAUUGCUUUCACCUUUGGGUUAUCUGCAGCAUCUUCAUCCAUUGGUUCUAUCUCUUGUUGUAAUGACUCCAUUUUUCUUUUUCCUCCCAAUUCCCCUAGCCAUUCCUUAUUUGUAAUCUUCUUCAGAGGAGUUCUAGUUGUUCUCAACACUCUCUUGAAUUAUCUUCAUUCUUCUUUUCUACUUCCAUCCCCUAAGUUUUCUAUUGUCUGUCUUUCCUUUUUCUCCUCAAAACCUUCCAUUACCUUUGCCAUUAUCAAUGUGUUUUUUGAUUGGCACCCAUUGUGCUCCACUUCCAUAUUCUUAAUGAGGAGGGGCUCAAGGCUGCUCAAACUUCUAGUGCUCAGGUCAUGCAAAUACCCAAUGGUCCAAUUACAAGAGCGCGUGCUAGGAGAAUUCAAGAAUCACUUCAAGCUCUUGUUUGCACGAUUCAAGAACGAGUUGGUGAUGACUUGAGGACCAUUGAAGGAUUACAUAAUGGAGAAACUACUCUAUACACUUUCCUUCAAAUGGAAGAACCAAGUGAAGACUAGUUCACGGAGCACUAGCUUGCUAAUUAGGGUUUUAGUUACCAUUAUUAGUUGUUUGUUAGCAUUAAUAAUUUCGGUCAAUUUUCACUUCACUUUGGCCGAAUUCAGAGUCUUAAUUUUAGUCAAUUAGUUGUUAGAUAUUUUCACCCUUAAUGAAGGGCAAGGUCGUCCAUUGGACAUUCUAGGGUUUGAGUCUUGUAAGGCUAUAUAUAGCCUAGGUUUUCAUUCAUUAAAGGGGGAAUUCAGAUUUUUUACAAAAAUAUUCGUGAGUUUAUUCACUCUCUCUUGCCUCAAGAGAAUUUCCUUUGAAUACUUGAGAAUUAAUCUCAAGUUGUUCAUCGAACUUAUCAAUCAAGUAGUCUCCUUGAUUGUGGCGUUCUUCUAUCUAUACUUUUGGUUCACUAAAUUUGCUAGUCUUGGGUUAAGGAAUCUCCUUAGUUCGUGGCUUGUGAUUCUAGAAGGGUCAAAGUUCCGCCAAUCAUCCCAACUUGGUGUUCGUCUAGAUCCGUCUCACAUCAGUUGGUAUCAAGAGCUAGUCGACGACAUCAAGUAUAUCCCGUUGAGGUUCUUUGUUUUUCUCCUUUUCUUUUCUUCGUAAGUUUUCUAGUAUUUUCUUCAAAUCUGGUCGUGUCAAUCCGUGUGACAAUUACAAAAAAAAAAAAAGAAAACAGCCGCAUCUUAUUUGUUUCCUUGUUGCAUCGUUUAUUGAAUUUUUUCUCUUUUGAUUCUUGUACACUUCGUGCGUUAUUUUGUUGCGUGAAUUUCCUUGGAAUCUGCCUCCAAGCUUAGCCGUGGUUGUCUUUGGAUAAUCUGGUUAGUACAAAAAAAAAAAAUUAUUUGCGACGGCUAGGGUUUUCACUUGCAAUUAGGGUUUCCUUGAGCGCAAGUUUCUUGCCAAAUCUGUCCAAACUUUAGUUUAUUCCACCAAGUUGUUUUCAUUAAUUUUCUAAACUGAUUUUUGUGGUUAAACUUGUUUGGGUUGGAAUCUUGAAGAGGGACUACAAUAAUCUAGGGAUUCUUGAGUUUCUUGAAACUAAUCUUGAAGUCUCAAAAAUUUUGAUACAUGUCUUGAUAGUUAUUGGAGGAUUGAAGGAGAACAUUGGAGUGACAUUAAAUUCUGGAAUUUUACCCAAAAACAGCCGAGUAAUUGUGUGUUCGUAGAGUAAAAAAAAAAAGAAAAAAAGAAAGGAAACACACAAUCGGCUAGGACAAGGCCGAACAAGAAAGAAAAGAAGGAACUUGACCUGAUUUGCUACACUUUGUUCCUUGAAUUUGAUCCGCAAAAACAGAAAUUUAAGGCAAAGGAAGGGUUUAAAAAUUUUGACCAAUUUCUUCUUGGAAAUGUUGAGCACCUUGAGCCUUGAUCACUUGUAUCACCCGUUGAGACUUGUGAGGAUCUUGACCAUCUUGAUUCUUGAAGAUUUGCACCUCUCUUCGUACAAAAAGUUUCUUGUACAUCCUUGCAUCCAUACGGGGCUUCCUUGGCUUAAGAGUAAACCUCUUGGGAAUUUCCUGAGCAGGCCGCUUGGGGAAUUCUUGAGUGACGUCGCUUGUAUCAACUUGUGAAGCCAUUAUUUAGAACCAAGCGUCGAAACUGUCCUUGUGUGGAGCAAAGAGGAGGGGGCCGAAUUGUUUGUUCUUGAGGGAGAGUAAGGGAUGAAAAUUUUGGGGGGAGGAAAUUCUGGCUUUAGAGGUGAGGAAGCUACCAAAUCUGGAAAAUUUUUAGGAAGUUCUAGCCGACUUUGAGAGGGAUUUAAGAAGAGGGAAUUCUGGAAUUUUCAGAGGUUAGUUUCGGUUAGAAUAGGAAACUGCCAAAAAAAACUGUUUGGCACUUGGUUAGCAGCCGACUUUAGGAAGGUUAAAGAGAAAGGAAAUCUGGUAUUUUUUGGUAACAAUUCUGAUUUGGCUAGACGACUUUAAGGAAAUUUUCCAAAUAAGUACAACACCUAACUUGUUUCCAAAAAAAUCAAUUAGGAAAUUAAGUAAAACACUUGGGAAACUCCAUCAUUGUACUUGGGCAUUUUUUUUGUACAUCAAUUUUCCUUGUUCCAUUUCUUACCAAAUCCGCCAUUGAGUUUUCCGUUCUACUCUUGUCCUUUGAUUUGGGAGCUAAUUGGUUAAAGUUUGACUGAAUUUUUUUUGAGAUAAUUUCUGAUUUCUUCAAAGGAAACGAUCGAGAGACUUGAGGAGUGAAUUGGUGAGUGCAUUAGAGGGACAUAAACACUUGAGUGAAAACACGAGAGGAGUGCAACACUUAAGGGAGCGAGUGAGGCAUUUUCUACUAACAAUUUGUCAAGUUUUGCAGGUUUCACCAUGUCUCAGGAAAAUGAACUUACCAUUGCUCAGUUAUCACUUAAAAUGGAUGCUAUGUGGAAGGAAAUGCAGAGGAGAUUUGACCAAAGACUGGAAACGAUCCAUGAGCAGAUUGAUCAACUAAGUUCAUCUAGGGUUUCUUCUAGGAAAUCUAGGGGAAAAUCCACCCUGGAGGAAUCUAGUGACUCCAAUGCCGAUUCGGACCGUGAGGCAUACGGGCAAGGGAGACCGAAGAGAAACACAAGAGCAAUUGGUGAUGCAAUCAAAGGGAUUAAGAUGAAGAUUCCUCCUUUCCAAGGCAAAUCUGAUCCGGAUACAUACCUUGAAUGGGAGAGUCGAGUAGAGCUAGUAUUCGAUUGUAAUGACUACACCGAUGCACAAAAAUUGAGACUUGCCGUAGUAGAAUUCACCGACUAUGCCAUAGUUUGGUGGGAACAAGUGGCUACAAGCAGGAGAAGGUGUGGUGAACCACCUAUAACCACUUGGACUGAGCUCAAGAGACUUAUGAAGAAGCGAUUUGUACCAAGUCACUACCAUAGAGACUUGUACCAAAAACUUCAAACCUUGACGCAAGGUCAACGCUCAGUUGAGGACUACUACAAGGACAUGGAAAUCUCCAUGUUGAGAGCUGAUAUUCAAGAAGAUAGAGAGGCUACAAUGGCAAGGUUUCUCAAUGGUCUGAGGGCUGAAAUAGCCGAUCAACUGGAGCUUCAAUACUAUGUGGAGAUAGAAGAUAUGGUGGAAAAGGCUAUCAAGAUUGAGCAAAGGCUCAAGAGGAGGGGUACAACCAGAAAUUAUAACCCUCAUCCACAAACAUUUACUCGACCAUUCCAGUCUAGAAGGGAAGAGAGAGGUUCGAAUGCUUGAAACCCUCCAAAGCCGAAGCAAGAUCAAGGGUCAAGCUCGCGGCCACCUGUUACCAAAACCGACUCCAAGGUUGUUUCAAAGCCAACAAUUGAAACUUCAAAACCUAGGAAUCGUGACACCAAAUGUUGGAGGUGUCAAGGAGUUGGACAUAUUGCAAGCCAAUGUCCAAACCCAAGGACCAUGCUUGUCCUACCAUAUGGAGACAUUGUCACUGAUGAUGAAGAGAAGGAUUACAAAGACAUGCCUCCCUUGGUUGAAGAGGAAGAUGAAAUAGAGGAAGUUCCAACUCAAGACAAAGUUGGAUUGGUAGCAAGAAGGGCGCUAGCUACUCAAGCUAGUAAAGAUGAGCUUCAACGUGACAACAUCUUUUACACUAGGUGCCAUGUGACCAACAAGGUAUGCAGCUUGGUGAUUGACCCCGGAAGUUGCACUAAUGUUGCUAGUGCAUUGAUGGUGGAGAAACUAAACUUGCCAACUAGUGAGCACCCCCGUUCCUACAAGCUUCUGUGGUUAAACAACAGUGGAGAGGUACGUGUUCAUAAACAAGUUUUGGUUACUUUUCGCAUUGGUAGGUAUGAAGAUGAUGUUAUGUGUGAUGUAUUACCAAUGCAAGCUGCACAUAUACUCUUAGGGCGUCCUUGGCAAUUUGACAAAAGAGUCACUUUUGAUGGUUUCUUGAACAAAUACUCUUUUAUGCAUAAUUGUAAAAAGAUUACACUUGCACCUCUUACACCUCAACAAGUACAUGAGGAUCAAGUUAGUCUACAAAAAGAGUAUGACUUGCAUGCUACCACCAAGAAGGACAACGCCAAAGCUAAGAAAUUAGUGUUGGCCGAUCCUUCUUCAAGCAAGUUGGAUCACUCUCAUUCGGUAUUCGAGCCCACACAGGAGAGAAAACCCAGCAUGCUUGCCAAGGUGAAAGAUGUGAGAAAGGCCGUGCAUUCUAAUCAGGUUUUAUUUAUUUUAUUUGGCAAGGAAUCCUUACUCACUAAUGCUCUUGAUGCUUCUUUGCCUAGUGUUAUUACUAACCUCUUACAGGAGUAUCAAGACGUCUUUCCUGAGGAUAUACCUAAUGGUUUGCCUCCAUUAAGGGGAAUUGAACAUCAAAUUGAUUUCAUUCCUGGCUCUUCCCUUCCAAACAAGGCACCAUAUAGGACCAAUCCUGAGGAAACCAAGGAGCAACAACGACAAGUUGAGGAGUUGCUUAGUAAGGGUUGGAUUCAAGAGAGUCUAAGCCCUUGUGCUGUACCAGUUCUACUUGUUCCGAAGAAAGAUGGAGGAUGGAGAAUGUGCACUGAUUGUAGGGCUAAUGCCAUAACGGUAAAGUACCGCCAUCCCAUACCUCGUUUGGAUGACAUGCUUGAUGAAUUACAUGGUGCUAUCAUUUUUACUAAGAUUGAUUUGAAAAGUGGUUACCAUCAAAUUCGCAUGAAAGAAGGAGAUGAAUGGAAAACUGCAUUUAAAACAAAACAUGGACUUUUUGAGUGGUUGGUCAUGCCUUUUGGGCUAACCAAUGCACCAAGUACUUUUAUGAGACUCAUGAAUCAUGUUUUACGCUCUUUCAUUGGUAAAUUUGUGGUCGUUUACUUUGAUGACAUUUUGAUCUAUAGUAAGACUCUAGAUGAGCAUGUUGUGCAUUUACAAAUGGUCCUCGAUGCACUUCGCAAGGCCAGCCUCUACGCUAACCUUAAGAAGUGUACCUUUUGCACAAAUCAAUUGGUUUUCCUAGGAUAUGUUGUUAGUGAGCAGGAAAUUCAUGUUGAUCAAGAAAAGGUGAAGGCUAUUAGUGAAUGGCCAACCCCUACCAAUGUAAGUGAGGUGAGAAGUUUUCAUGGCUUGGCAAGCUUCUAUAGGCGUUUUGUCAAGGAUUUUAGCACAAUUGCUGCCCCACUUACGUCAAUUGUCAAGAAAGAUGUGCAAUUUCAUUGGGGAGAGGAACAAGCUAAGUCUUUCCAAUUACUUAAACACAAGCUCACACAUGUACCUGUUCUUAGUUUACCUAAUUUUGACAAAGCUUUUGAAGUAGAGUGUGAUGCUUUUGGUAUAGGUAUUGGACCUGUUUUACUCCAAGAGGGUCGCCCAGUUGCCUACUUUAGCGAGAAGUUAAAUGGAGCUGCUCUAAACUACUCAACCUAUGAUAAGGAACUCAUGGCCUUAGUGCGAGCCCUACAAACAUGGCAACAUUACCUUCGCCCUCGUGAGUUUGUCUUGCACACCGAUCAUAAGUCGCUCAAGCAUAUCAAGUCCCAAGACAAGUUGAGUAAGCGACAUGCAAGAUGGAUUACCUUCAUUGACAGUUUUAUCUUUGUGAUCAAAUACAAGACAGGUAAGACGAAUGUAGUGGCUGAUGCACUCUUACGAAGGUAUGCACUUAUCACUACAUUAGAUGCUAAGUUGCUUGGUUUUGAAUUCCUUAAAGAUCUUUAUGCAGCUGACUCAGAUUUUGGUGAGAUUUUUGUCUCCUUGCCACGACACUCUCGUGAGCACUAUUUCAUCUCUCAGGGGUUCUUAUACUACAAGGACAAGCUUUGCAUUCCCAAGAGCUCCAUGCGCACACUCCUAGUAAGAGAAGCUCAUGGAGGAGGACUAAUGGGACACUUUGGCAUUGCCAAGACCUUAAUGAUUCUCCAAGAGCAUUUCUUCUGGCCACGCAUGAGGAGUGACGUAAAACGGCACAUUGAAAGGUGUGUGACUUGUCACCAAGCCAAAUCAAAGGUACACCCUUAUGGUCUCUAUACACCUUUGCCAAUUCCACAUGAACCAUGGGUUGAUCUGUCAAUGGAUUUUGUGCUUGGACUACCUAGGACUAGAAAAGGACAUGAUUCAAUCUAUGUGGUAGUUGACCGCUUCUCCAAAAUGGCCCAUUUUAUUCCUUAUCUUAAAACAGAUGAUGCUAAGCAUGUUGCAGAUUUAUUCUUUCGUGAGAUAGUUAGAUUACAUGGCAUGCCACGCACUAUUGUUUCUGUUAGGGAUGCCAAAUUCCUUAGCUAUUUUUGGAAAACUUUGUGGUGUAAACUAGGUACUAAAUUGCUAUUUUCUACUUCUAGCCACCCACAAACUGAUGGUCAAACCGAAGUGGUUAAUAGGACUUUAUCUACCCUGUUGCGCGCAAUUAUAAAAAAGAACAUUAAAUCUUGGGAAGAUUGCUUACCACAUGUGAAAUUUGCAUAUAAUCGCACUGUUCAUUCUGCUACACAUUAUUCGCCGUUUGAAAUUGUGUAUGGUUUUAACCCUCUCACACCUUUGGAUUUAACUUCUUUACCUGUUCAUGAGAGAGUUAACUUGGAUGGUAAGAACAAAGCUGCAUAUGUACGUGAGUUACACACUAAGGUGCGAGCCAACAUCGAGAAGCAUACACUUCAAUACAUCCAAAGUGCCAACAAGGGGCGCCGCAAGAUGGUCUUUGAGUCUGGCGAUUGGGUAUGGAUACACAUGCGCAAAGAGAGGUUCCCAGUCAAAAGGCGUAGUAAGCUAUUUUCACGGGGAAAUGGUCCAUUCCAAGUCCUGGAGCGUAUAAAUGACAAUGCCUACAAACUUGAACUUCCAGGUGAGUAUGUGGUACAUGCUACUUUUAAUGUAUCUGACUUGAGUCCUUUUUAUGCAGACGAUGAGUUUGAUUUGAGGACAAAUCGCCUUCGAGAGGAGGGGACUAAUGAGGAGGGGUUCAAGGCUGCUCAAACUUCUAGUGCUCAGGUCAUGCAAAUACCCAGUGGUCCAAUUACAAGAGCGUGUGCUAGGAGAAUUCAAGAAUCACUUCAAGCUCUUGUUUGCACGAUUCAAGAACGAGUUGGUGAUGAUUUGAGGACCAUUGAAGGAUUACAUAAUGGAGAAACUACUCUAUACACUUUCCUUCAAAUGGAAGAACCAAGUGAAGACUAGUUCACGGAGCACUAGCUUCCUCAUUACUUAUUCUGUAGAUUCCUCUACUUCAUUUCUAGCUUCCUCUUUCUUCCUUUCAAUGCUAAACAUAUUCUUCCUUUCUUCCUAUUGGCUCUCCUUUGGCUAUGUGGUUGGAUCUUGUAAAUAUGCUGUCAUCUUAUCCUCGUAUACCUUUCUCCUCAUGGAUCCUUGGUCUUUUCCGUCCUUUUUUUUGCAUCCCUGCUAUAUUUCCACUAUCAGCUUUUUCCUUGUCCUUCAUUCUGAGUCCAACUACUAAAGCAUUGCUUCUGUCAGCUUUCUCCAGUUUCUUUCUUUCUAUUGCUUUUGGUGGUUCAUUCCAUCCUUUUAAUAGGGAUAUCAUGAUGUUUCUUGCUCUCAUCCUUGCUCUGUAUUGCUUUUCUCUCUGCAUCACUCCUUCUCUUCCCCCCCUUAUUACAGGAUUUCUCACUGUGUCUUAUUACCCCACAGUUAUAGCAAAAGUCUGGGCAACGUUCAUACCUAAACUCAACCCAUACCGCCUGAUCUUUGAGUUUAAUCUUUGUUCCUUUGAUCAACAGUUGUGUCACAUCAAUUUCUGCCAUUAUUUUCAUCUGACUUUUCUUUUUCCCACCAAUUGCUAGGAUUAUUACAUCUCUUACAGAUUUAAAGAUCUAGCCUAGCUUGAAGCCUACUGCUUUGCUCAUCCAGUGAACUGGAAGAUUAAUUGCACCUAUUUCAAAGCAUGUUAAAGUAUGUUAUAUCUCUUUCACAUCCCUCUAACCAUUCCUUAACAAUUAACACCUGAUUAUCCAUUAUCCAUGGACCACCUCUUAGUAUCCUUCUUCUAUCUUUCUCUUUUUCUAAAUGGAACUGAAACAAGUUGGGGCCCAGCUCUAUUAUCAUCAUCUUCAUAGGGUAGCCCCAAGCAUGGUUGGUGAAAUUCUUAACCGUUGUGAAGUUUGCAAUUUUUUCACCUAUCAAUUUUCCCGCUAAGCUGCCAUUGCAACCCUGUAUGCCUUCUUCUAUGUCUUCACCACUCAGAUCUACACCGUCUAUUUCUUUUUUCGAUAGCUCAAACUUUUGGAAUGUUCUUGCUAGAGAUUCUUUCAUCAUUAAAGAGAGUAUUAGAGUGAGCACAAGCACUACUUCUUGGUCACUGAACUUCCUAGCUGGUUAAACCUGCUAAAGAAAGCAAUCAGAUAAGCAAGUAAGGAAAUUAGAUGUGGAACUAAAGGCCGAUAGUGUACUAUUAAGAACUUCAAAAGCUUGAACAUAAGAUUCAGUGGAGCCGACAGGCCCUAAAAGCAUAAACUUCAGAAAAUUCAAGAGGAAUAAAAGUAAAUGCAGGUAAGGUUUCAACAAGAGUAAAAAUUCCACAUCUUUGUUUAAUGGAUCAUGUUUUGUCUUAGCAUUUACUCCAACAAUUAAUGGUUGUGAUCGAACUACAGCACUAAUCUAACAGGGGUGUGUUUUUUAAUUUUAUGGUGAAAUCUGGGUUGACUCUAAGAUUGUGCAGUGUUAGGAUUUUGAAAAUUUGAACUUUCGAGACUCCUACACUUAGGAGAGGAGCUCUAAAGUUAGAGAUAGAAGCUCUCAAGAAGAGAGAGACUCAGUGUCUUUUUUCCUGAUGAUUUUAUAGGGGUGGCAAUUCCUGACACGAUCCAAAAACACGACACGAACCUAACACGAAAUUAAUGGGUUUGGGUUGAGGUUUUGGGAGUUUGGAUCAGAAUCGAGUCGAACCCGAUGAACCCGAAAAGAAAAUAGGUCAAUUUCGGGUUAACCCGUAGUGACCUGAUAUGACCCGAUGUGACUCGUUUACGAAUUAAAACUAAUUUAAUAAACAUAAAAAUUAUUUUAUCUAACUAAACUAAAUCAUUCUUUUUUUCCAAAGGCAUUAAUUACUUAAUCCUAAAUGAAUUUAUUUAACUUGUGUGAAGUUAAAAUUAUUAUAUUUGGACAAAUAAUAUAUUAUGUUAUUUUUUACUUUUAUGUUGUUUUAAUUUAUUUUAUAUUUGGUUUGGGAUAAAACACUUUUAUGGUGUUUAAUUUAUUUUAGAUUUGGUUUGAAAUUAUUUAUUUAAAUUUUUAUUACUUGAUGAUGUAAUUAAUUUUGUGAAAAAUUGAUUUUAUUAGAAAUUACAGUGAUAAAAUAAUAAAUUAAAAUUAAGUUUCGGGUCAUUUUGGGUCGACCCGCCAACCCGAAAUUUUCGGAUUCGUGUCAGGUACCCUGACCCGUUUCGGGUUAGCGGGUCGGGUUAGCAGGUCAGCAGGUUCUUUGUUAUACUUAGGCCUCAACCCGACCCGCCAACCCGAACCCAAUCCGUUUGCCACCCCUAUGAUUUUAGGUGGUUAUAGAUUUUGAUCUUAGAUAGUUUUUUUUUUGUAAUUUUGUAAUUUAUUUUUGUAUUUAGAUUAUAGAUUUUUUUAAUAGCUAAAAAUAUUAUAUUAAAAAUUUAAGAGCAACUUUUUGUUGAUUUUGAUUAAACAUUAUAACACUCCUAAUAAUCAGAUUUUGCAAAGUUUAAAACAAAUGAGAACAAGACAUGCAUAUAACUAUAUAAAUUAGUCGUGUGCUUAGGUCAAAUGUGAAUUAGGCUCGAAGUCCUAAUAUCUUUGUGAUCCGAGUAUGAACCUCGCAUUGUGUGACCAAAGUACAACAGCAAGAAUAUUUUACAAUAGCUCACUCCAACACGAACAUCCUUUAGCACUCUGCAUACAAUAGUUUCAGCAUUAGAGGUUUUCUAUUGGAACACCCUAUAAUUCCUCUUUUUCCAUAUAUGAUAUACAAUUGUUUCUAGUGCCAGUUUCUUUAAUAUGUUUACAGAGCAUUCCUUCUUCCAAUGGCAACUGAGCCAUUCAACUUCAGUGUUCCACUCAUAAAUCCCUCGAUAUUGCAAGCAACAUUGCUGUAUUCUUGAUCAAAUAUCGCAGCAUACUCAAAGUGAAUAUGCGGCUUGUAUUUGGUCAAGAGUACAGCAAUGCUGCUUGCAAUAUGACAUACUAUUCCAAUGCCAUUUCUGAUAAUGAACUAAUCUGAGCAUGAUACAAUUUAAUUAUGAUAAAGAACCAAGCGGAGCCUUGAGUAGUUCUUUUCUUUCUUCUUUCCCUUUUUAAUUAUUAUUUAUCUUUCUUACAGCCUUUUUUCAUUUAGCUCUAUUACACAAGAUCCUAGUUAAGAAUUCUGAUUAAGAGGUUGUACUUUCGUAUUCUCUAUACCAGUAUUAGAACUAGAUAAGAAUUGGAAUAGUGUUUUAAGGAUAUGUUGAUUCAUUUUAGUACGAUACAAUUUUGCUUCUAAUAAACAACAAGCAUUACUUAUAUUUUUAAUGAGCAUUAUUUUGAACUGGAAAUUUUUUUACAAUUCCUUGAACUCGUUUUUCAAAUGACAUUUUUAUUAUUUUCAAUCACCUUUUUACCUGUUAUACAUCAUGUGGUGAAAAGGUCUAUGAGAUUGUUAUUAACAAUAAUUUUCUAAAUAAUCUUCAAUUUGAAAGCAUAUAGUUUCCAGUCUAAAAAUUCAAUAAUGUUAUUUUCUUUCCAAAAACCAUUGCAGAAUUUAUUCUUUGCUGGGUCAGACACUUCAGGUGGCACGAUAAUUUGGGCUAUGACGGCGCUUAUCAAGAACCCCUACAGCAAUGAAAAAGCACAAACUGAGUGCAUGGAGAGAGGAAAUGAUAGAUGAAGAUGAUCCUCAAAAGCUUCCCUAUCUCACAGCUAUCAUCAAGGAGACUAUGAGAUUGUACACAAUUGUUUCUAAUUUAGUCCCAAGAUACUUAAUGGAAAGUGGCAUCCUUGGCGGAUAUGAAAUUCAGCCCCAGACUAUAGUUUACAUAAAUGGUUGGGCAAUUGGAAAGGGAUACUGAGUAUUGGGAAAAUCUACGAGUUCUUGCCUGAGAGAUUCUUGAAUAGUACUAUAGAUAUGAAAGGGGAGCACUUUUAGUUGCUCCCAUCUGGGGUAGGCAAAAGAUGAUGCCCUAUAUACUCCCUAGGGCUAGCAUCUAUGGAGAUCGCACUUGCUAAUAUUUGAAUUCAUUCAACCAGGAAUUGCCUUCUAGAAUGAAGAAAGAAGACAUUGAUACUCAUUGUUUACGUGGUGCCCUGCGACUUGUGGCAAGAACCAUCUGCCUUCUUAGCAAGGAAAAACAAAUGACAACUUGGGAGAGAGGGGAUAGGCUGGUUGGUUAGGAAGGGAGAGAUUCUACCUGAGAGGUCACGGAUGCAAGCCGUAGCAAUUACACUAAAAAAAAAAAAACAAAUGUCAACAUAGUAGUUGUAAAAAGGGUUACAAACGAAUUGAAUCGAGUCGAAUCGAGUUUUGACCUAAUUGAGUUGAGUCUCGACUUAAUUUUAUCAAGUUCGAACUCGAGCUCAAACUCGAUGACCGCUCAGUGUAAAGCUCUCGAGUCGAGCUCGAGUUUAAAACAAUAAAAAAAUUAUUUUAAUUUAUAAAAAAUUGAUAAAAUAAUAUUUUUCUUAAUAAAUAUAAAAUAUUAUGGAUAUAUAUAUGUAAUUUUACUAUUAAAAUAAUAUAUAUGUAUAAAAUUGAACUGGUGAGUUAACGUGUUGAAUAUUUUUGAACUCAAAUUUGACUUGAUUUGCUCGAACUCGAUUCAAACUUGAUAUUGACCAAACUCGAGUCGAGUUUUGAAUCAAGUUGCUCGCGAUCAACUUGACUCGUGUACACCCUAGUUGUGAAGUUGUGUAAGGUAUGAAUAAUUCAAGAAAGAAAUAUUAACAAUACUCUUACGGAUUUAUUGCACAAUAUUAUUAUAUUCUAAGCAUUCAACUAACAUAUUAAAUACUCUUACGCAGUUUAAAUAUAUUGUAAUGUUAUAAUAUCCAUGAACUAUUGCAGUGCAUCAAAAAAAUUAUUAAGUAUUCUUUGAGAUAUUUAUUAAAAUUUUAGAAUGAUUAGAUAUCAAGAACUAUGUAUAUUUUUAUUAAUGAAAUACAAAAGAUACAACAAUUCAAAAUAUUUAGUUUCUAAUAAAAUUCAUAAAUUUAUCAAUAUAACAAUUAAAUCGCACCAAUAAAAGUGUGGAUAAAAAAAUAAUUCAAAUAUAUUAAAAAGAUAGAAGUUGUUAGAAGAAAGGAAAACCAUAAGAAAAACCCAAUGAGAUUUAUCUUCAAUUAUAUAAAAAAGUUAACAGUGCCUUCAAAUACGAUAGUGAGUGAUUAGAUUAGCAAGAAAGUGAGGAAUGGGCUAUAUAUAUAUAUGCCCCAAAAAUUAUGCCCCAAAUUAAAAUGACCAAGUUUUGGCAACACUUUGCUAAGCUUAGUAUAACCUUGACUGAUAAAUAUCAAAUGUCAUAUUGUAUAUUAAUAUACUCAAAGAAAUUAUGAGAUCUCUAAUUCGACUUUUAACCUUUCCUUUUCUUCCUUCUCUCCUGCAAUAGUUGGAGUUUGUUGAACAAAAGAAAAGUAUUAUAUAUUGUUUGUUUUAUUUAAAGAAUCACCACACCUGUCAAGACAUUUAUGAAAAAUUCUCGUGUUAAGAAUCUAAAUUUUUAUUUUUUACUCACAAUAUUAUUUUUUUCAAAAAAAGUAUAUUUUUUUAGAGAACAAAAAAGUGUGAAAGCUUGAAAAAAAAAAGUGUGAAAGCUUGAGUUUGGGUCAAUUAGAUUGGAGCUAGAAGCCUAACAAACCAAAAGGGCCGAGUGUUGCAAACAAUCUUUAAGCCUGAAGGAUUCUCCUCAAGCUAUGGAAGCAGGUAUUUUUAGUUAAGCACGUCUUUGGGUUUGUAGCAGAGUCCAGGCCAGAAGCCCCAAUUGAAAAGCCUGCUAACAGUAAAGAUGGAGAGGUUAGCACAGGUCGUCUGCCGGAUUUUCAAAUGGAACCACCCGCGGUGCUUUCAAAUACUCCUAUAGGAUACACUGAUUGAUGUAAUCCCUUACAAACAUUAUAGGUAUGUUUAGACAAGUUAACUUAGUUGAUAGUAAUUAGUCAUUCUCUUAUAAAAGAUCAUGUGCUCAAGUUUCACUGUCGAUGUAAGGAAUGUAUUGGUGUACAAUUUAUAAAAAUUCAUGUAAGUGAUCUAUGGUUCCAAAUGUGAGAAUUAUGUUGGUAUGCAAUUCGUAAGAACCUAUAGUCCCAAAUGUGAGAACUAUGUUGAUUGACGAUAUGUAAAAACUCUUACAAGUAACCUAUCGAAUGUGAAAAUUGUAUUGGUGGUUGAUCCGUAAUUGAAGCCGACCAACGGUAAUAAUCAGAGUCAAACCCACCCAAAUUUUUAUUUACCAAGAAAAAAGAAAACAUUAUAGGUGUCUGAUUAUAUUAAUUGGUUUUGGAUUCCAAUUUUGAAAAUUAUUCUUUUUGAUCUUCACAUUUGCUUUCAUAGUUAGAUUUUGAAAUAGGUAACCCAAUAAUAGAUUUUAGUAUUUCUGAUUAAUUAGUCUUUUACAAAAAUUGUAGCAUGAACAGCACCACGCUGUUAUUUCAUUUAAAUCUUGUAGCUCCUCCACCAUCUUGCAGUUGUUUAUUGCUUUGAGCAAUUUGGCUUUCUUUUUUGGUUAAUUUCUCACUUGAGAUAUGGCCAAAUUAUUAGUUUGUCCAAACUACAACAACAGGUCCGUUUGGUUCGUGUGAAUUGCAAAAAAAAAUUUAAAAAAAUCUCAAAUAUUAUUUAAUUUGUAUCAUAAACACAAUUUCCAAUCAUUCUUUUAUUUGACAUACAUUACAUCAUAAAAAAUAUUAUUGUAUUAUUUCAAAUUUUUUUUCCAAAUAAUCUCUUAUCCAAACACAUCUAUGUUAAAUUCAACUAGUAGACGCAAUAAGACGACAUAUUGGCCAUGCAUCUCCUCUUAAAUUACAUACCCCAUCAAUUCUUGAAAAGUUUUGAAAAUAUUAGUUAUGAGAUUAACCAUUCAAUAUUAUAUGAAUCAUAUUCCAUUGCACUCAUAUGAGAAUCAAAGCAAGUACUUCUUUUUUUUUUAAUUUGGUUAAAACAAGAAAGGAAAUGAAAAAGCUAGCACGAAGGAGGAUAGGUUGAGCAAGUAUUAAAAAAGUUAUCUAAAACAAGAAUGAACCUCAGAACGGUUGGCAUGGCAAUUCCCAAAACCCUCAUAUUUAGAGUCCAUUCUUCAUAAAGCUUAUAUUAUAAUUUGAUCUGAUAAAAGUCAUGGAUCCAUCAAUAAUCACCUGCUUGGUAAAAGACCAUUUUGUUUUGUCAAGCAUCUAAACUGACUAAUUUAAAUUGAACAUAAAUGAUCAACAACUAAAAUGAAGAAAAAUAUAAGUUGAGGGACUGAGUAAGGACAUUUGAGGAAAUUUACCUCACUUCCGUGUGGAAAAAUCGUUAAAAAAAAAACCUAUAAAUAUUUCUGUUUCCAAGACUAAGCUAUAAAAACGUAAGUUCGAAGGUCAAUUUAACAUGUUGAAACAAAAGGUUUAUGCAAACUAUAUGAUAUCAAAUCUUUGACUUUUGCUGUACAUGAAGUCAUGAAAGAUACUCGUAUGCAAUUAUUAUGAUUCGAAAUCAUCUCUGACAAGCAUUAGGUCAAGGCUGUAGAAUUUAUUUCUAAACAAAUAGUUUUAUAUAAACCCAGGGACCAUGUGUUGGGAUUCUUAACAAUAAACACAAUAAACAACUCAAGGGCAUUUUUUUUUUUGACCUCCCAUCUUUCCCCGUUACUUUUCCACUCCCUUGCUAUACGGGUGGCAAUUUCCGACACGAUCCGAAAAUACGACACGAAUUUAACACGAAAUUAAUGGAUUUGGGUUAAGGUUUCAAGAGUUCGAAUUAAAAUCGGGUCGAACCUGUUGAACCCGAAAAGAAAACAGAUCGAUUUCGGGUCAAUCCGUGGGUGACCCGAUAUUACCCGAUAUGACUCGUUUACGAAUUAAAAAUAAUUUAAUAAACAUAAAAAUUAUUUUAUCUAACUAAACUAAGUUAUUCUUUUUUUUUCAAAGACAUUAAUUACUUAAUCCUAAAUGAAUUUAUUUAACUUGUGUGAAGUUGAAAUUAUUAUAUUUGGAUAAAUAAUAUAUUAUAUGAUUUUUAGGCCCAGAAUUCGAAUAUGAACCUGACAGCAGAGAUAGUUUUUAAAACCCUCCACUGACCAUUAGACUAAUCCCAGGAGAUUAACUAAAGGGCAUGUGUUGGUUCUUACUUCUAAAUAUUUUGCACGCUUCUCUCUAUGGGUGGUGGUCACAAGUGAGUUCACGAUCAUGACACAUUCGGCUUUAAAAUUCAGCAGUCAACCCUCAACACGAAAGACAUCCAACAAUAUUCUACGGAUUAUUCUUCUUCGAUCAUUAGUUUUAACCCCCAAGGGUCGGUAUUUUGUGGAUUCAGAUCUCCUACGGUUGCAAGGACCGCAUUAUGACGGUCCAAGAUUGGAUUAGAGUGUCACAGCUUGAUAUACGCCGUCUAUUUCAAGAUUCACUAGUUUUGAAAUGGAUGAUUGAGAUCGAGUAGGGCCACUUCGAUUCAAUCUCAAACCAUCAGUUGUAUAGUCCGGUUUCUCUUGCAACUGUAGAGGAGCUAAAUCUGUAUUUUUCAAACAUGAUGUACUAAUUUUCUGGUAAAUUUUCAAAAAUAAGUUCUAGCUAUACAUGAAAAUCAAUUUUAAGAUUUAUUUAGUUUCUUACGGACAAAUAAUACAAUAAUCCUGCAAAAGUUUUGUAAUAUCCACCAACUAAUGGUUAAUAAUGCCUCGGGAAUCAUGGAUACUAAAUUUUAGACUAAUCAAGUACUCAUAUUCACUUACACAAGCUAUUGAAAUAUACCAAUACGCACUAUUUUAAGGGAUAACCCCCAUAGGUUUCUAACAAUUUCAUCUAGCUUCCCUCUAAUUUGAGAAAUUAUAUUGACCUCUCUUGACAUGAUGAGUUACCAAAAACGACCUUCACUUUCUCACUAUUUUACACGGAAAAAAACCUAUAUUCUUAAAAGAGAAAAAAAUCCAAAAAAUUUGUUCAAAAAAUUUUUGUGAUAUUUCAAAACAAUUGUCAAUUGAAAAAACUUAUUUGAGUAGAUGCUUUGAUUGUGGAUUUUAUUGAAAUUAAUUAAUAUAAAAGUGAAUGUAAAAAUCACAGUAUACACAAAGACGUGACUUUUUUUCAGGCUAGUACCCUCCGGGUUUUCGAUUGCUAGAGCAUCUCCUUAUUUUUUCCCUGACAAAAUGUGCCUUAGGAUUAUGAUUGUAGUAACAUAGAUGGAAUUGUUAGUGAUAGUGUGGAUCUAGUGGUAGAAAGAAAAGAAUGUUACAAAGUUUUCUAUUGCUCUUUUUUAUCCCGUCUAGUUGGUAGCCUAUGACAGUGAUAAUGGAGAUGGGCUUGGUAGUAAUUGUUGACGUAGAAUGUAGAAGGGAAAAUCGUUUAAAACGUCUUUCACAUUUUGUAAAAUAACUUUUUUCGUCCCUUACUUUUAAAAAUGUAAUUUUACAUCCCUUACAACUUUGCAUUUGUCAAAUUUGAUCCCUACUUAGGUUUCCGACUAGUUUUUGGUCAGAAUUCACCACGUGCCUUGCACGUGAUCAUAUUUUAAGGACAAAAUUGUCAAAUCAAAUUUGAUAUAAUUCGAUUCAUAAUCCCUCACAUUUCAUAAAAUAAAUUUUUCACCCCUUACAUUUCACAAAAUGAAUUUCUUCAUCCUUCACAUUUUUCAAAAUGAAUUUUUUUCAUCUUUUAUUGAUCGUGUGUGAAUAAUUUUUUUUAAAUGCAUGUAUAUAUCUAUUUGAUUUCACCUGAACAGUACGAAUAGCAUGUGAAAUCAAAUAGAGAUAUAUUAGAUACUAUUCGUACUGUUCAAGUGAAAUCAAAUAGAUAUAUAUAUAUAUAUAUAUAUAUAUAUAUAUGGGUUUAAAAAAAUUGUUAGUUUUUCACUUAUAUUGAUUUUCUUUUACUCAAAAUUUGAAAAUAAAGAAAACAUUUAAUCAUAAAUAUUAUCGAGUGUUUCUAUCGAAUUAAAUUUGGACAGAAAAAAUAAACAAAAGAAAAGUAUGACAAAAAGAAAUAAGUGAUUGACACUUUCAAAUUUUAAGACAAUCACAAGAUAAGUAAUUCAACUAUUGGUCUUAAAAAUGUCGAGUAGAAAUUCAAAUUUAAACUGAAAUUUGUUAUGAUUAUAGAAUUCAAGUUAGCACCCAUUAAUUAGAUGACCUUAUUAUACAACUCAAUAAAAAAAUUAUUACCAAAAGAAAAAGGUCACAAAUAUUGAAUAGAUUCAAAUGGUGAAAUCAUAUAAAUAUAUACAUGGGUUUCAAACAAAAUUAUUAGCUUAAAACCCCUAUAUAUAUCUAUUGAAUAGCAUGUGUCUAACUAUGAUUAGCAUGUUUAGAUGAAAUCUAAUAGAGAUAAAUUACAUGCUAUUCGUAUUGUUCAGGUAAAAUCAAAUAAACAUAUACGUGGGUUUAUAGAAAAAAAGCUAUUCACACACAUGAUCAAUGAGGGAUAAAAAAUUCAUUUUGAAAAAUGUGAGGGAUGAAAAAAUUCAUUUUUUGAAAUGUGAGGAACGAAACAAUUCAUUUUGUAAAAUGUUAGGGAUGAAAAAAUUCAUUUUGUGAACUGUGAGGGACUAUGAAUCAAAUUAUAUAAAAAUUUGAUUUGACAAUUUUGCCCUUAAAAAAUGAUCACAUGCAAGUCACGUAGUGGAUUCCGGCAAAAAACUAGUCAAAAACUUAGGUAGGAACCAAAUUUGGUCAAUAUGAAUUUAUAAGAGACGUAAAAUUAUACUUUUAAAAGUGAGAGACGAAAAAAAAACAUCUUGUAAAAUGUGAGGGACGUUUUGAACGAUUUUCCCUUAAAAAAAUCAAGCAACUUGAAGCUCAACAAAGACUAUUUAAAACCAACUUCUAUGGCCAUUUUCCAGCCACCUCAAGAAAAUCUUCCUCCUGAAGUGAUGGAGAUAGUAUUGAUCAUUGCUUUACUUUCAGCUCUUCCCAUAAUUUUCCUGAUUCUUCUUCAGAAAAACAGCAGGAAAUCAUCAACAAAAUCUCAUCCUCCUCUCCCUGGUCCUCCUGGCAUUCCAAUCAUUGGAAACAUGCAUCAGUUUGAUCCCUCAGCCCCACAUAGCUAUCUCGGGGAGCUUUCCAGAAAGUAUGGCCCUCUCAUGUCCCUCAAGCUCGGAUCCUUGCCAGUACUUGUGGUUUCUUCAGCAAGAAUGGCAGAAGAGGUUAUGAAAAAUCACGACUUAAUUUUCUGUAGCCGACCACCUAUGCUUGGCCAGCGAAAAUUGUCCUACAAUGGCCUGGACAUCGCGUUCGCUCAGUACAAUGAGCAAUGGAGAGAAUUGAGAAAGAUUUGUGUUCUUCAUCUCUUGAGCUCCAAGAGAGUUCAAUCAUUUCGUCCUAUACGCGAAGAUGAGGUCUACCGAAUUAUUCAAAAGAUAUCCCGGGAAUCUGCUUCAUCACAAGUAACUGACUUGACUCACACUUUAUUGUCUCUCACAAGUACAAUGAUUUGCCAAAUUGGAUUUGGAAAAAGGUAUGACGAGGAAGGCCAAGAAAGAAAAAGAUUCCACUUUCUCUUGCAAGAAGCUCAGGCAAUGUUUGUUGCAUUCUAUUUCUCUGAUUAUUUUCCUACAAUUGGUUGGUUGGAUAAAUACACUGGGAUGCUAUCUCGACUGGAGAAAGUUUUCAACAAGCUUGAUUUGUUCUACCAAGAACUCAUUGAUGAGCACCUGGAUCCAAAUAGGCCAACGUCAAUGGAUGGAGACAUUAUUGAUCUCUUGAUUCAAUUACAGAAGGACAGAUCAACUACGUUUGAUCUGACUGUGAACCACAUCAAGGCCACGCUUAUGGUAAUAAACUAACUCUUUAACAUACUAUUCCAGUACAGAGUGUGAUAUACAGGUUCUGUUAGUUCUUUUCUACUUGAAAUUGCAAUCAUAUCUUAUGAAAAAUAAUGCUGCUUAAUAUGAAUACUAUACAAUUUAAUUCUGACACAAAGCCAAACACAGCGUUAUUUAUUUGUUUUUCUAUUUACAUCCUUAAGUUAAUUGGCACUAUUACAUACCAACUCCAAGUUCAAAUUCUGAUAGAGAGGUUGUGUUUUGGGUCUCCACCAGAAUUGGAUAGGAUGAGAGUCAUAAUUUUGUCUUACACAAAUGUUGAUUUAUUUCAAUUGGAUACAAUUGGUCUUGAUGAACAAGAAGCAUUGGAAUCAGCCCUUUUUUAGAAAAAAAGAAUUUGUAAUAUUUCCUAAACAUAAUGUUUAUCCACCUCUUUAUUGCUCAUACAUCACAUUCCAAAAAUUUUACAUUUUACUGUCUGAAAAAAAUUUCUAAAUGAUCUUCAACCCAAACACAUGAAAAGUUUUAGGCUUAGGAAAUUCAUUGAUGAUUAUCUUUUUUGUUUUUCAAUAAACAACUGCAGAACGUAUUUUUUGCCGGGUCAGAAACUUCAGCAGGCACAGUAAUCUGGGCAAUGACAGCACUUAUCAAGAACCCUACGGCACUGGAAAAAGCUCAAAACGAAAUCCAAGAGGUGCUUGGAGAGAAAAAAAUGAUAGAUGAAGAUGAUAUUCAAAAGCUUCCCUAUCUCAAAGCAAUCAUCAAGGAGACUAUGAGAUUGUACCCAGUUGCUCCUCUUUUAGUCCCAAGAUACACAAUGGAAAGUUGCAUCCUAGACGGGUAUGAGAUCCAGCCCAAGACUACCGUUUACGUGAACGCUUGGGCAAUUGGAAGAGAUCCUGAGUAUUGGAAUCCACACGAGUUCUUGCCUGAGAGAUUCUUGAAUAGUACUAUAGAUGCAACAGGGAAACACUUUCAAUUGAUCCCGUUUGGGGCAGGCAGAAGAGGCUGCCCGGGAUACUCCCUGGGAAUAGCAGCUGUGGAGCUUGCACUUGCUAAUCUUUUGAACUCAUUCAAUUGGGGAUUGCCUUCUGGAGUGAAGAAAGAGGACAUUGAUACUGAUGUUUUACCGGGUCUUGCUAUGCUUAAGAAAAAUGCCCUGCGACUUGUGGCAAAGAAACGUGUGUCUUCGUAGUAAGAAAAAACAUGUCAAAUGGGAUCAGAAUGUGUAGUUCAUAUACAAUGUACGGCCAUUUGGAAUGAAAGAGUUUCAUACGUUUGUAUUGGAAGCUCAAACCCGUAAGCCGACGAAGCUUAGAGGGAAGUUUGUAUAGAUAACGUCACUUUUCCAUUAACCUAAGAUUGCUUUGGAAAAUCAUCCUUCCAGCAUUUGCUAUAAUAACUAGUCACUUUGGUUUAAUGGAAUGAUUGCUGUGGGGGUCUCACAUCAAAUGUUAGCAGAAUUGAACUUCGCACUCAUUAUCGAUCUGCUGAAGUCGAGCACUGGAGCAUAUAUACUCUACAAAAUGGGGUGUUACCUGCGAAUUAUGAUGCAACUAUGGAAGAAACAAAUACAUUAACAAUAGAACGGAGUACUUACUUGUAUGGCAAAUCAUUGAAAUAAACCUUCACAUAUUAAUUUAUUUCUAGUGUUAAGUCUAACUGAGGCAGCAAGUACGAACGUAAAUUUAAUAUGUUGAAACAAAUCUUUUAAUUUAAGCAAACUGUGCUUGAAAUCUUUGACUUUUUUCGUAAAUGAAGUCAUGGAAGAUGCUUGAAUGCAGUUAGAUCCUCAACUAUUGGGACGUAGGAACAGUUUAGGAAACCAAACAAUGUGAUCCGGAAUCAUUUCUGAUAAGCAUUACGUAAAGAAUGCAGAAAUUAUUUGCAAAGAAAAUGUAUUUUUCAAACUCAAGGACCAUGCAUGGGCGCGUUGGGAUUCUUGAUGAUAAAUAGGUCAGGACAUGUGAGCGGUGGGUUCAUACUUCAAUGCGAAAAUCAUUUACUUCGAGUAAAUUCCCAAAAAGUGUGACUUUUUAAACUAACUUCCCAAAGGGUGGUGUUUUUUUAGUAUCUUCUCAAAGGAUGAAAAACGCAUCCAGGGAAUGCGUUUUUAUAAAUAAAAAUGCAAUUGUCAAAUGCGUUAUUUUAUUUUUCAUCAAUUUAUUUUAAUAUGAAAAAAUUGGUCAAAUAACGCAUUAUUAGAAUGCGUUUUUUGAUCUCACCAUACAACGCAUUUUGGAAAUGCGUUAUUAACAUAUGUAUAAAAGAGCGAAUGCCAUGGCUCAAAAGGGAUGGUUGUUUUGCUGAUGUGUCCAAUAGUAAUUGGUUGGAGUGUGUUCGUCCGUCUGUGUGUGUGUGGUUUUUUUUCCUCUUCUUUUUCAAACAAUCAAAUGCAGAUGUGAUGGAUGGGAGAAGGUUACCUGCUCCCAACUUUUCAGUGAUGGUAGCGGUUCCUUUUCUCCACUCAUUUCAUUAACCAUCCGACUCCCUCUCUCCAACACUUCCUUUCUCUUCUUUUUUUCCCUCAUCCUCACAAAGAAAGCUGCACUUUUUCUCUCUCUUCAAUUUCGGAAGCAUUUUCUCUCUUCAAUUUUUUUCUGAUAGAUGACAACAGAAUCAAAAAGUUGGCUGGAAUAUUUUUGCUUCAAAAACUCUUCUUAAUUCUUUUUUCCAAAGCAUCUUUAUUAGCCAUUUUUCCCCCUUCUAUUAUUUACCAGAUUAAUUGUCUAAUUUUUCCCUUUUAUGAUGUUGUGAUGUUGAUCAAGUUGAGGAUCAAAGCCAGUGCUGUCGACUUGAGGAUCAAGUUGAGAGGGAGAUGGGAACUCUAGGAGUCCUUUCCUUUCCUUUUGCUUCGAUCCAAACGGUGCCUUAAGAUUUCGGCUCUCUGAAGAAUGAGGCUGUCAGAGAGACUGGGAUUUCUUCAACCUCUCUGAUUUUUAGCCUAUGAUUUCUUUUUUCAUCAUCGACCAUCAGAAACCAAUAGCCCUUCAGAUGCAGUUUCUGCUUAUGAUUAAUCACAGAAACCCACCUUAAAGUUUUUGAACCAGACCUUUCAUAAAUAGCAGCAUUACUACUACUACUAUUGAUUCUGCUCAUCUUCUCGAGAAGCCUGCUUGUCUGAAAGCUGUGGUGAUUCUUUACCUUUCAGAGCAAAUGGGUCAGUGCAUUGAGCCAAAUCUGACCCGUAUCUUGGCUGGGCAACCCGGAUGGCAUAUAUGAUGGGGAGGAAGAGAAGAUGAUCCAUCACAUUGCAACCGGCGUUGCAGCCAUGGCGGUGUCACUUUCUUUUUGCCUGACCUAAGAUGAUACAUCUGAGCCUGAACCUUGAUCAUUUUCCCCCUUCGAUGGCAUCGUUAUUUUUCUGAAAAUAAAAGCAAGUUUUUUUUUUCACUAUCAAGAAAUUGGGCUUUUUUUUUUGUUGGUUGGGUACACUGAGGAAUGAAGUUAAAUCAAUACAAAAUUGCAGUUUACUCUGGAAAAAAAAAUUGACGUUGUGAUGUUGCAGGUACAUAAUUUGGAAAUUUCCUCCACCAUCUUCAUGCGAUUUUGUAAGUUUUGUUUUUCCAUUUUGAAGGUAGAUUCUAUAAGGUUAUUUUCUUAAAAAAUUGUAUUCUUUAACAUUGUUUCCCAUGCCUCUCGAACCCUCUCAGUUUAAGGAAGAAAAUAGAAAAAGUAAAUCAGUGUUCCUGAAAUAAAGCACUUGCUCUGCAUCUCGUUUUACCUUUAUGGAUUUCUGUCUAAAUGUUUGUCAUGUGGGGUUUAUUUUGUGGGUAGUUUGGUUCACCACUUCUAUAUAUUUCUUGUUCAGUUUUGGAGUAUGUGGAAAGCAAAUGAGUCUUUAAAAUUGCUGGCCCGCCUGGUGGUUUUGGAGAAAGUACCUUACGGAAGUAUUUCUAAGAAGGAUUUUUCAAGUUGUUUUGCAUUUCAAAAGUUCUCCCCUACAAUUAAAUUUUUUACCAAACAAUUUAUUUGGAUUAACCUGGAUUUCAAAUAUUCAAAAUCCUCCGUGAAAUCUAAUUCCAUGAAACUAAACUGAUUUUUGUGGGAGUUUUCGUACAUUUGAUCAUUCUUAGUCCCAUUUAUUGUGGUUUUCUACCAGUACAAUCUGGUGUUUGUAUCAGUGAUGUUGGAGUCCUUGAUUGGAUUUCAAGAAAUUGUAGGUUUAUGGUGUACUGCCUUGUAUACUAAAUCAUUUGGUAUAUAAUCUUUUUUUCAAGUUAAAUUGGUGUUAAAUUGAUCCUAAUGAUGGACCAAUGUGAUUUUCAUGCUAAAAAAGUCUUGUGUCGUUGAUGGCUUGAUAAUUUUUGGGAGUUUAGUAAGCUGUUGUGAGUAGUAUUUUUUAGUGAUAACGGUAUUAUUCACUAUGCCAUUUUAAGAAUUGUACCUGACCACAUGGAUAUUUUCUCCUCCUGGUGGUUUGGUGCUUUUUCCUUUUUAAAUACCUGGAGGCUUUUUUUGAUUGAACUAUUUGAUGAUUUGACUUGUUGCUUAUGGUUAUACGUUGGUUUGUUUUGACAGCCGUGUGUGUGAAAAAUCCCAUGAUAUUAUCUGUAAGUAUGGCCUGAUGUGCUGCAGACAAUACUUCUGCAGUAAUGCUAAGGAGAUUGGAUUCAUUAAGGUAAUGGAUUUGAAGUUUUAAGAAAGGAAUGAUCGUAUUGUUACCUUCUUUAAAAAAAAAAAACUAACCGAGCUACUAGGACGUGGAUAUUGUUUUCAUCGUCAUGUCAAUAUUCAUAUUCAAGUUAGGAUCUGAUUGUGCAUUUAAAUUUUCUUGUGCCUGCGGUUCUAGAUACGAGUAUAUGCCAAUUUAAGAAUUUUGUAGUUGGUUGUUGGCACACUGUGAUACUGAGUUAUGGGUCUUGCUUUUCCAUUUUUGUGUCCUUCUUGAAUAAAUUACUAAAUCAUUUUGAAUUUUCUUGCAUUUGUCAUUGCAAUAUAAUUGAAAGAAUAGGUCUUUGCCUCCUUGCUAGCGGAUUUUGUUGAGCAAGCUGCCAUUAGAGAUAAAUGGAUCCCAAGUUGUUAUUUGCUUUGAAUUUGAACAAUUUUGGAUGUUCUAAUUUGCCAUUGAACUUGAAUUGGUAUGUGAAUCAACAAAUUCUACCAUAUACUGUUCUUUAAUAUGCGGUAUCACAUAUUUUCUUGAGGUUGUCUUUGGUGUGACUAUUUUGUGAAUGCAAUUAUGGUGAAUUUUUUAUUUCUAUUAUAAGAAAUUGAUGAAUUGCAGGCAAUGUUUUUAAUUAGUUGGUUAAUUCUCUUGAACUGAUUAUUCUGGAUCGUAUAUGUUUUUUAUGUCGAUGCCAUGAUAAAUUGGUUAAAUUGGUUCUCGUUCAUUGUGAGCAAAUCUAGAUUUGUAUUGGAACAGAUUGCCUUUCUUUUUUAUUUAAAUAAGAUGAGAAGAUCUUUGUAAGACAUUUCUUAUCAUUUUACUAUUGCAAUAAUUACUGGAAAAUGCAGAGCCAAGGUAUAUUUAUGCAAAAACAUUAAUAUUCUGGAGUAUUUUCAAAGUGAGACUUAUUUUAGCUAAUGAAUACUUAUUAGCGGGUUUACAAUUUUGUUAAGCUAUCAGAGCUUUAUUAUGCCAGCAAUAUACUACAUAACCUACCUACAACACCUGCCAAAGGUUUUUUUAUUACAUUUUAGGCAAGAAUAAAACGAGUUUUCCACUAAAUUAUGGUAAGGUUGAGUAUUUGUCCUUGGGAAAAAUGCCAUAUUCACAUUUGUACAUGAAAAAUGCAAUUUUUUGUUUUGUUACGUGUGUACAUUCAUGCCCUGUAUCUGGUAACAUGAAAUAAUUGCUUAGAAUAAUCAUUUAUGUAAAUUGAUGGGGUCUGAUGCCAAGUUUAACAUGGGUAGGGAACUGUAAUGUAAGUGUUGAUUCCUUAAGUGAGAUGACUUCAAUUAAUGACCUGUUUUAAUAUACUUGAUGAUAAUGUAAAAAGCGAGUUACAUAAUGCUAUAGGGGUUGGGUAAAGGGAAAAGGAGUUAUAUUACAUUGAGGUGGAUGUUUGAUAAACGUAUUUAUUUGGAUAUGAAAAUGAUAAUAAUGCAUAGCGUUUUCGUCCAAAAAGGUGAUAGUAGUAAUUAUUUUUCUAUUAAGUUUAGUUCACGAUGAAAUGUAGUACUUAGUUUGCAUUAAUUAUGGUUGACUCCAUCCAAAUCUGAGUUUGUUUGUAUGUAAUUUGCAGGUUGAUGGUGCUAAAAAUUUCUUGUGGAUUUGAACAAGAUACUUAAAUGAGCUUCUAUUUCUUCAAAUUGUGAGUGGUUUAUGGAUGGUUGUAUACAAUUCUUAAAGUUUUUAUUACUUGCCAUCUACUUGUACAUAGUUUUGCAGUCACAAUUGAUGCUUUUCUCAUUCUGGUGAUGUUUUAUUCUAUUUUACUAAGUAGGAUGGGAAUUAGAGUGUUUAGCAGGUGAAUUUGUCAACAUUUAAUGUCACAUACUGUGGUUAACUUAUUGCUUUUCUAAUGCAUGACUGCUAAUGCUUGAAAUGCAUUAGCCUAUCUCUAUCUUUUUUUUGGGAGGGGAGGGGGGAAAUCGAGCAUAAACAAUAGGUACUUGCUAAUUGGAAGUUUAGGAUUUUGGCCUUUUUUGGUGGUUUUUUCCUUGGCUAAUUAUAAUCAGCCAAUACUUUUUUUUUUGGAAGUACUACCUAAUUAUUUUUUCGAGUCUUGGCUGAUAGCAGUCGGAAUUUUGGAGUCAAUUUUAUCUUUCACGCUGAUUUUUACUUUUCCAGGUCUGUUGUUCUGUUUCUCAGAGAUCUGGUAUUUAUAAAGUUCAUGUUAUGUUCUGAAAAUUUUUUCCCUUGAGAAUUUUUCUCAGUUUGCUACAGUCAAGAAAAGAAAAUAUUAACUAGAUUUGGCCAUGUAGUAUGGGUACUGUGUAACUCCACUUUCUCUUUUUGUCUUUCUGCUUCACUCUCUCGUGAUCUCCUAGAAAUUCCUCACUCAAAGUUACUGGUUUGGUGCUGUCUAUAAACUGUAUAUAGCGGAACCCUUUUUUUUGGUUUCUACAUAUCCAUUUUUCCUGGUUACGAAAUGAGGAAUUGAGAUAUACAAUCAAGGGAUGGUUUUUAUACUUUUUUUUUUUGGAGUGGUGCAUGAUUCACCUCUCAAGGUCAUAUACAUAUCUAUACUUAUUAUCCCUUUUUUCUAAUGAGAUUCCUUUCGAUUGAUCAGCAUCAAAGGGAAUACCCACAAUAAUAUAUUACCUGAAAUACACUAAUAAGCAAACACUAUUUGGUUGGAAGAUAGAAAAAUCAAUUCCAAGUGCAGUACAUAAGUUGCGAUUGGCCUUUAUGUGAGCUACUCUAUUCCAUUCUGUUAUGAGUGCUCUGAUAUCCGCAACCGCAUAAUGAAGCACUCUAUCGUCAGGAAUGAUGAUAUUGGACUGGUAAAUCGGACUAAACUCAGGCUUUACUUUUUUUUCAUGGUCACUUCUCAGAUUAAGAAACUCAAUUCCAGAUUUAGAAAGCUUUAAUUAUGUAUUGUAUGUGAAAUUUGGUGAAUUUGCUAAACUUUUUCUUAUUUAGUCUCUUUUUUGGGUUUUUAUUUCUCAUGGCUGUCAGCCUUAUAAAAUCUGAUAAUGGCCUAGAAAAUGAUAAGAUAGAGGUACUAAAUUUGUCUUUUAAGAUUUAAUUGUGAGUUGCCAUAUCUGUCUUUGUAAAAAUUUGGCUGCUAUUUAUGCUAUUGGGUCACAUUAGGUCAAAUGUAAGUGGGCAGUUUUUGGUUGGGAACGGUAGUAUACAUAUUUUGCGGAACUGUGUUAACAAAAUGGCACUUCUCACAUGUGCAAAAACAUCUGAUCAGAGGUUGUUUUCAUUAGGUAGAAAUCGAAAUGUUGAUAUUUUGGAUAGUUAAUUUUAGUGUAAAUUUUUGUUUGUUUGAAUGGUGUUAUUUUCAUGACCUUACUAUAUUGUGUAUGGAAGUGGUAAUUAGUUUUAUGGAUCUAGCAAAUUCAAUGUUUACUUUGUUUUGGUCUCUAAUUUGUGGGGAAUUUUAUUAGGUUGAUAUAUUAAUCAUGAAGGAAAAAAGCUGCCAUAGUUGUUGCCAUCUUUUAGUUCGUAGUGGUCUUUAAGAUAUUAGUUUCUUGUGCAAUUUUUUGUGGUGAUUGAAUUUUAAGGUAUUGGCUUAACUACAUGAAUGGAAAUUAAUCAAUUUGAAUGGAAAUUGGAGUUGGGAGAGUGAAAAUAGCUAUUCUAUUUUGUUGAUUUUAAGUCGUGCAAGAUUUUUCACUCAACAGGCUCAUGCGCAUCAGGUGCUCAAUUUCCAUUCAAAUUAAUUAGUUUCCCAUUUGAGGAUGAAUUGGUCAAAAAUUGAUAGUUUAGAUACUAAAUGCGUUAUACCAGAAAAUUUGAGGAUGAAAUGUAUUCAUAACUCAAAAUUUAGGGAUGAAAAGUGACAUUUUUCCUUAAAUGUUCUAUUCAUUCACCAAAAAAAGAAUUAACUUGCUGCAUAACUGUAGUUUUGCCUCUUUAAUCAUAGACUACGAUGUUUAGUAGCUUAGAAAUUCUUGUUAGAAAAUUCAGUUUUAGUUGACUUAAAUCUAUAUUUGCAAAACAUGGUGUUCUCUUAGAUUUGUAACAUCUCAGUAAGAUAAAGCCUGGAAAACUGAACCUUACAACAAAUUUAUUUUACUUUGUAAAAAUGAACUUAAUUGAAGAAAGCUUACAUAGGAAAUUUUGCAAAAAAACAUGAAGAUGGUGGUCCAAUUGAUAGGUUCAAAGAGGUGAAUGUGUUAUAGACCUUCAAUUUGUCUUGAAAUUUUUAUACAGGAAAGAACUUUACGAAAGGGCAUAUUACUUUUGAAGAAGAUUUGGUAAAACUCACUGAUUUGUUUUAACAGGAUGGAUAAUCUGUAGUAAAUAUGACACAUCCAGAUGUUCCAGUAUGAGUUGCCUCUACUUUGAGAUAAAUGACACAUACUUCUUCCUAGAGUUUGAGAAUACAAUCACUGCUUCGACACAUUCAAUUUUUUCCCCUUUUUUUGUUCUUUUGGUGUUAGUUUUCUAAGUAUAUUAUUGGUUGUUGUUACAGGAAGGAAUAUGAAGACUUGAAGUUGACAUCUCUAACAAGUAGUUAAAGCUGGUAAUAUUUAUUUGUGUUCUACCAUUUAUACUAUAAACCAUAUUGUCGUUUUCUAUAAACAGUCUCUCACCUAAUUUAGCCUAUCUUGAUUGCAUUAUUGAUAAAGAUGUGCUGAGAAAUGAGCUUCAGUUAUGGAUCCAAAUGGUGUUUUUUUCUAUUCCUCAUGAGAUUUGCUUCGGUUGUAUGAUUUCUUCUCAAGUUAAAUUGAAAAGUUAUUCUGUUUAUUGAUUUUAUUACAUGGACGCUUAUCUUGGGAGAUUGGUAUUGAUCAUCAUUUAAGCUGUGAGGAAUGAAUGAAAAAAAACAUACCUAGCAGAAAACCCUUCACCUUUUUUCGAGUUCUUUGGGGCAUUGUGAUUUCUUUCACUAGCUGGUCCUUAUUGAAUCAUCAAAACAAAUCUAAUCUUUUUAUGUUGGCAAACCUCAAUCCUCUCCUCUUUUGAAUACCUUUGAUUACUCCUUUUUAGAACCCAAGCAGACCAUAACUAGGGAAAUAUACGAGGUUAUGAUUGUAUAGAGACUCGUCCUAAGGAUGGCUUUUGAAAACUUAUCAUUGGUAGGGUUUCAAAAGGCAUUAUUGGAGUUGCUGGAGUUAUAAGGAAUUGAUAUGGAUUUUGGACCAUCGGAUCAGUAAAAGAUUAGGAAUAACUUCCAAUCUUCUAGCUGAACUUUUCGGAUUGAGAGGAGGACUAAGGAUAACUAUAGAUCAUUAUUGCUACAAACCGGAAUUGGAAGUUGAUGCUAUUAAUAUUUUUAAUCUUUUAAACCAAUAUGAUACUGCUAUUUACAAUGUGCUAUGGUUAUAUCUGAUUGUAGGUAUCUUAUCGUAUUUUGGCAGCAAGUCUUGAUCAAAGCAUAUAAGCAGUGAAGCAAAUCAGAUGGUAGAUUGUUUAGCUAAUGUAUAGGAUGCUAACAACAGGGUAUCUUUUAUUAUGAUGUUAUGCCCCACCAUUUUUAGUUGCAGCUAGAUGACUGUUUGGGGAUUUUAUUCUCGUUUUGUAUCUCAAUAUGAUUGCAUAUUAUUUUAAAGUUCCUUUUAUGCAAAAAAAAUUCCAAAACUACAAAAAGUUAAAACUGUAGCUUAUUUUCACUAUUUAAUAAAACUACAAAAGCAUAGCUUAUUUUCACUACGAAUGCACUUUUAUGUAACUUUUCAUAUUUAAUAUCUAAAUUUGAAUAAUUGGGCAUUUAUGGGCACGAUUGAAAAUUACACCGCACAUCGUGCGGUGUUAUCCUCCUAGUUUUAUAAUAAAACGCAUUAGAUGAAUGCGUUUUUUGUUUACAAUAUGUACCACUUUUUUUCAUUUCUUCAUUCUGGACUUCGAUUAUGUAAGGUUUUUGUUUUAAAUAUUAUCUUAUUAUUUUAUCGAAGUUAUUAUUAAUUUAGCUCACUAAUGGAAGUCAAGAUCCAAAAAAAUUGUUAUUUCAUAGUUGUUAUUAAUUUAGUUGGUAGAGAUUUCAUUUCAGGUUUGCAAAAGGCUUAAAGGUUUUGAACUUUGGAUUUUACAUAUGUAUACACUAAUUUUGUAUCUCAAAUGUUGGUAGUAAAAUUCAAAAAGUAUUAUAAUAAUAUUAUUACGAAAGGAAAACUAGUAGGUUUUGUAUUUAAUAUAAAUUAAAUACGUGAAAGUAAAAAAAAGAAAUUACCCACUUUUUACCAACUCUUUAUGGGUUUCUUCUAUUAGUUGAAUAAAGUACUAGCUAUGGGGGCAGGCAUUUUACUCUGAAUCAUAUAAUUUAUGUUAAAUAUAUAAAUGUUUGUAAGUAAAAUUUAAAAAGUGUUAUACUAAUAUUUUUAUGAAAGGAAAACUAGUAUGUUUUGUAUUUAACAUAAAUUAAAUAUUUGAAAGUUAAAACAAAAUUAAAUUGCCCAUAACAUACCAGUUCUUUAUGAAAAACUUGUAGGUUUUAUAUUUAACGUAAAUUAAUUGCGCGAAAGUAACACUCGUAGGUAAUUUAAUUAGUUUAAUCAGUUACUUAAUUUGUUGACAAGAAACAAGUUUCUUUUGCAAAAUUUGGCCAUUAGGUUUCUCCAAAUAAUUAGGGUAUAAAGGCAAAUUUUCACAAUCUUUUGUUAGCAAUGAGCUCCAAUUUCCUUCUAAGGGAGGGCAGUGCUUAAUUUAUAUCACCUGUUAAGCAAACACUUGCAUAUUCAAAUAUGUCAUAAGAUGAUAUAAUAUCACAUCUAAUUUCAUAUACUAAAUUUACUUGGUUUUCAAUCCAAAUUCUCUUAUACAAUAAGAAUUCUUAUAACAAGACAACUACAAUAAAUCAUUUGAGAAUGCCUCCAGAGUAACACAACUUUUGCCUUCUGACUCUUUUAGAUGGUGGCCGCAAGGGUAGAUGCUGAUUUUUACCACGACCUUUACAAGUGUCACGCUUAUUUCGAUCAACAUGUUCUUGUGUUUGAUGUUGCAAAUCAAACUCCAGAUGUGUCUGAUCAUGCUUAUCACUUUGCACAUGCAUCAGAUCAUGUUCACCAGCUUGUGCAUGUGUUGUAUCAGCUUCUGUAUGUUCAUCCCCUUGACCUUGCUCGAGAUUGAUUUCAGAAGUCCGAUCACAUGUCUGAUUGAACUCAUUAGCUGUUUCCUCAUUUCCCACGUCUCUAGUCUCUUGAUUCAACAUAUGAUCUCCUACAAACUCAUCCUGACUUAAAAUCUGAUUUUGUACACUGUUUUGAUCAGUUUGGACGUGUUUUCGCCUUCGUCCCCCUCUAUGGAUUCUUUGUGAACCUUCUUGUGUGGCUCUUCGAACACGUGCCCGUGGAACUACAUGUUGCAACUCUUCAUCCAUUGAGAGCGGCAUUAUUGGAUUCAAUGGUAGGAGUUUCAAUCUCAUCUCACAUCCAAUGGCACGCAUAGUUGAUUGGCACAUAUCCCGAAUAUCAGUGAGAGCAGGAACAGAGAUGGCCUCAUCAUGUGGUAAUGCUUCAAGUGAUCUAUAAUAGACACGAUGCAAUGUAUCUACCUGAAAUGUUAUCAAAAUAAAUUCUAAUGCUGCCAAUACAAAACUUUAAACAAAGUAGUCAAUUAAAAAUAUCUAAAUAAUGGUUACCAUCAUCUCAUUAGCUGGUGCAAUACCCUGAUAACCAGCUGGUAAUAGUGGUCUCAAUGAUGGGUUGCCAAUAAGCAAUCUUGUACGCUGCUUAUACCAAGUCAUAUACUCUAAGCUAGCCUCACCAGGAACCUCCUCGAGUUCACCUUCUUGUAUACUUGAAGCUCGAUCCAUCCACAUUUGGAUGUGGCGGUAGUGUUUAAGGGUCCAAUCUGUAUUUCGUCUACCUCGACGAUCCACUUGAUGCAAACUCCAAUCCGUGUCACAUGGUGCCGGAAUAUGCUGAACAAAUCCAAAUUGUCGCAUACACCUAUCUGGUAGGUGUAGCUCUACUAUAUCCCAACAAAUAAGUGCAGUUCGACUACGCCACAAUUCAGAACUAGCCAAACAACACUGAGGCAAUGUCUCUAAAAUGUGUUGAGGAUAUGGUUGCCAUACAAACUAUGAAUAACAAAAUGGAAAAUUACAAAAUAAACUAAAAAAAUUUGGUUGUAACUUGCAAUUUACCAUGAUACAUGAAAUAUGCAUGAAAUAAAUACUUACAUGAUCAUCUCUCAAGCUAUCUAGUUGAUCUCGAUAUACAACUAAUACAUGCAUUGCUACUCUAGAAAGGUUAAAAUCGACAUUCCACCUACAGAAUAAUCAACAAUACACCGUCAUUGUUACGGUCAUGUAUCUAAAUUAUAUACCUAAUAUAUCCUAACACUAAUAGGCAAAUACAAACUAACCUUGCACCAUAAGGACUCUCAGCUGGCAACUCCAUUUUAGGCACUGGCCUAUCUGGACAUAAGGUAGGAAAUCGUUCCCAUGUCCAAAGCUAAAACAAAAAUUAGGAUAUUUAACAAAAAUAGGUCAUAAUUGUUAGAAACCAAAAAAAAAAUUCAAAGAGUUUUAGUGAAAAUACCUGUAAAAGAACCAAUGGUCCAGCAAUCUCUUGUGAGGUACAAAGAGUAGCUCUACAUAGUCCACGAUAUAAAAAAGCAAGAACUGCACUCCCCCAACUAUAUGUUCGAGUAACAGUAAAAUCUCUUAGAAAUGACAAAUACAUUAAGCUGACCAUGUUGCCAGAUUUAUCUGAAAACAGGUGACCACCAAUAAGCUGUAAAAUACGCAUCCUAGCAUGACAUCUAAUAUCAUCAUCUGAUGCAUCACUAGGAAGUCUGACAGCUAAGGGAGCAUCUAAACAACCCAAUAAUAGUUUCCCUCCCUUAAUAUCAUCUGUUUUAGGUCGAAAUCCUAACAAGUCCUCACAAAUCGGCAACCAAUCCUCUGAUUUUGAGUGCAUGAAGUUGUAGGUGCAGGUAAUAUCGGAGAUUCAACAUCUUGUGUCAGCAAAUUUACAUAUGGAGCCAUUUCCUUACUGGUGAAGAUGUUAUUGCCCUCCUGACAAUUGACAACUGAUUCUCGUACAAUGUAUAGAUGAACCAUAGUAUUUGGGUACUCAGCUGCUAAAGAAAAUAUCAAAUCCAUUCCCUCUUCGUUCAUUAUUAGUAAUGGGCAAAAUUUGAAACCCCACGGUCCAUGAUCAGGAUAUUUGCAGAUGAGCUUCAAAUCUAUAGUUAUUGUAUCCACUCCAAUAUAUGAGUGUAUAUUACUUAGUAAGUCUCCAAAUCUUAUCCUGUGGUUGAUUGUAACUAUCUUGCCAAUUGGGCCUAUAAAUCCCAAAUCAGGAUAAUAUUGGAUAUGACCAUCCCAAUAUAAAGCAAGUUUCAAUGGAUGUUGAAGAUCCAUUAAAACAUAUGCUAACAAGCCUUCAAAUGCAAUGUAAACUACAGUCAAUUCAUCUCGAAUGUUGAAAAAUACUAUAAAUAAAAAGUAUAUUUUAAAACCAGUCAUAUCUUGUAAAUGUAGGUAACUUCUAAAUACAACAGAAGCAAAAAUUCCAACCUUGGAAGCUCAACAUAUAAAAGUAUACUAGUAGAAGAAAUGUCAUAAACACACGGAAGCCAUUUAUAUUUCAACCAAAAAUAGUGUAUGAAAAAAAAAAAGAAAAAGAAAUUCAGCACUCACUUUGAAGAGAAUGAAUACUCUGGCAACAAUUUAUCCUUUGAAUCUGCAAAAAAAUAAACUUACUUUAAGUUUGAGGGAAAAAAAAAUUUCAGCACUUACUUGAGAGGGAAAAAGAAAGAAAGAAAGAAACCUGAGAGUAGAUGAUCUGUAGAAUUUGAGAAAAUUCCAGAAUCUCUUUGUCUAAUACUCUCGCCCCUUGUAGGGUAUCUUCCUCUGUCAAUAAACCCCAAAGAAUCAUCUCAGGUUUGCUUUUUGCUCUUUAAAAUAAUUAAAUGCAUCCAUUACAUAAACCCUAAAUUUGGGAUUUUAAGUAUUACCUGAUAAUAUGCCUAAUUAGCUCAGCAGUCUCCCAAUCACCACCCUUGCUCUUACGUUGGCUGCGAAUGUGGGAUAAGAUGUAAGAAAAAAUUGAAUGGGUGGUGCAUUUUGUUUGCCGCCUGAAGAAGUUAGGGUAGAAAAAGAGAGGGAUUGAGGGGAAAUUAGUUUUUAGACCCCUUAUGAAGUACCGGGGAGUAGAACAGGCUUCUUAGAUAUGAUAAACAACUCAUUUAGCAAAUGCGUUUUUUUAUUAAUAAACGCAUUUCAGAAAUGGGUUUUAAGGACAAAAAACGCAUUCAUCCUAUGAGACUUUUUAAAAUAAGGCAUUCUAAUAAUGCGUUAUUUAACCAAUUUUUUUAUAUUAAAAUAAAUUGAUGAAAAUUAAAAUAACGCAUUUGACAAUUGCGAUUUUAUUUAUAAAAACGCAUUUCCUGGAUGCGUUUUUCAUCCUUUGGGAAGAUACUAAAAAAUCACCGCCCUUUGGGAAGUUAGUUUAAAAAGUCACACUUUUUGGGAAUUUACUCCAUUUACUUCCUAGUCACAGUGAGCAGUGGUCAGAUCACGAUCACGUUAUGUGGUUUUAAAAUUCACAAGUCAACCCUCAAAAUGAAUGCCAUCCAACAAUAAUAUAUCAUUCUCGGCAAUUGAUUAUUCUUCUCAAAUCAGUAUUUUAUAAAUCAUCAUUUUAUUAUUAUGGAAUUAAAAGAGUUUUGGCCAAUGGUUUAAAGGAAAUGUUAGUUCAGUUUUUCUGAGAAAUGUUCAGUCGAAAAAGUUGAAUGAGAAUAUGUCGGUUUGCAAACAUAGUUGCUGCUUUAGAAAGUUUGGCAAACAAGCCAACAACUUGAAGCUCAUCCGGGAAUACCAAGCCUUCUAUACUAAAACCAAUAUAAAUAUAUAUAUAUAUAUAUAUAUAUAUAUAUGAGGGCAGUUAUUUUAAUCAGAGUUGUUUCUCACUACUACGUGGCAUGCUUAAUUGAACAGAAUUAAUGGGUUAUAGGUCACUUGGAUUUUACCUAUAUUGAAUCCUAUUUGGAUUGUAUUAUAUAUUUAAAAAUUAUCUCUAAUUUUAAAAUAACUUUAAAAAACAACUGAUUUUAUCAUAAUAGUACUUGCUUUUAUCAAAUUAUUACAUAGAACUAUAGUAAAUCUUUUCUAAAUCACAAUUAUUGAAAAUUUACAUAUCUCAUAAAUUACUUCCUUUCACCACCAUAUCGUUGAUUAAUAUUCAAAUUAUUCAUCAUCUUUUCCCUUAUUGUUAUUAUCUUGUAAAUACAAAAUUUUAAUUAUCUAAAAAAUAUUUAAAAAAAAGAAUGUCCACCAAGUUUUUAAUAUGGGGUACAUUAUUUGAUGUAUACUAUUAUAUUACAAUGAAAGUACAUAAACAAAUUUUUCAAAAUUAGUAAAUAAUUGAACAUUUAGAAUACAUUAAGUUUUUAAAGUUAAUAUGAGUGAACACGUAGGAUUGUUGUUAAUUUUUGCAUUUAAAUUAUUCAUAUUUGUGUAAAUUCACAAUAAAUAAAAAAAAGACCGUGCUAAGGUACGGACAUAAUUCUAGUUAUGUAAUAAGUAAGAAGAAUAAUCUAUUGCAAAGUAAGAAGUGUUUCAUUUCAAGGGUUGACUAGUGAACUUUUUAAAAUCAAUUGUCCCAUGAUCAUGGUCUAACCACCUCCUUGAAUUUUGGUGAUUAACCCUAAUUUUGAACUUGUACUACUUACCUAUUUAUUAUUAAGAAUCCCAACCGCAUACUCCUUGGAUUUUUAUACGUACAAUAGUUUGAUUGGAAAUAAUUUGUACAGCACUGACCUAAUGCAAGUUGGAAUUGCUUGGUUUUAUAACCCCAAUAAUUGCAUCUUCCAUGACUUCGCCUAUCGUAAGUCAAAGGUUUUGCAUCACAUUUUGCUUAAACAAUUUAUCUAAAACAUAUCAAAUUGGCCUUCGAAUUGACGACGUUAGACUAAACCAUAGAGAUAAGGUGAAGGUUUUUUUUUUUUUUUUUUUUGCGACUUUCUUUACAGGAAUAGGGUGAAUUUGCUCAUAUGCCCUUCAAUAUUUAUGAACAUUUUGAUUGUUUUCAACUUAUACUUUCUUCAUUUUCGAUCUCGAGUAUUGAUUUUCAAUUUAGUUUUGGCAGGUUUGUACCUUGACAAAUCAACUUGUAUUGACCCAUGAGUUUCAUAAAAUUAUCAAACUUACAAUGUACAAGCUCUGUGAAGAAUGGACGGUAUUACAUGAUUACAUCACCAGUAAUUGAAUGGGAUAUAUACAGUCUAGUGGUCAAGGGACUAUUGGCUCCGUUUGGAUUAGCUGUUUUUUGGAUUGUUUUUCAAAAACACCACUGUAGCAUUUCGAAUCUGAAAAACAAGUCCGUUUGGAUUAGUUGUUUUUGGGGUUGUUUUUCAAAAACUAUAUGAAAAACUUUUACUGUAAAUUUUUUUGGAUUAUUUUUAGAGGUAUUUUUGAAACAUAUUUUUGAGUAUUUUUAGAAUAUUAUAAUUUUUAUAUAAAUAUACAUUUAUUCAUUUAUAAUACAUUUAUAUUUACAAAUGUAUAAAUGUAUAUUAUUAUAAAUUAUAAAUUAUAAAUGAAUAUUAUAUAAAUGUAUAAAUGUAUAAAUUAUAAUUUUUAUAUAAAUAUACAUUUAUGCAUUUAUAAUACAUUUAUAAAUAAAUAUAUUUAUAUAAAAAUAUAUAAAUGUAUUAUAUUCUUAUAAUACAUAAUAUAAAUAUAUUUAUAAAUGUAUAAGUGUAUAUUAUUAUAAAUGUAUAAAUUAUAAAUGAAUAUUAUAAAUAUAUUAUAAAUUAUAAGUGUAUAUUAUUAUAAAUGUAUAAAUUAAUAUAUUAUAAAUAUAUAUUAUUAUUAUGUAGAAAUGUAUUUAUAUAAUUAAUAUAAAUGUAUAUGUGCAUUAAUAUUAUGUAUAAAUGUAAAAUUAAUAUUAUGUAUAUUAAUAUAAAUGUAUAAAUGUAUUAUAUUAUAUAUAAUACAUAAUAUAAAUGUAUAUUUAAAUGUAUAAGUGUAUGUUAUUAAAAAUGUAUAAAUUAUAAAUGAAUAUUAUAUAAAUGUAUAAAUUAAUAUAUUAUAAAUAUGUUUUAAUAUUAUGUUGAAAUGUAUUAAUAUAAUUAAUAUAAAUGUAUACAUGUAUUAAUAUAAUUAAUAUAAAUGUAUGCAUGUAUUAAUAUUAUGUAUAAAUGUAAAAUUAAUAUUAUGUAUAUUAAUAUAAAUGUAUAAAUGUAUUAUAUUAUAUAUAAUACAUAAUAUAAAUGUACAUUUAAAUGUAUAAGUGUAUGUUAUUAAAAAUGUAUAAAUUAUAAAUGAAUAUUAUAUAAAUGUAUAAAUUAAUAUAUUAUAAAUAUGUUUUAAUAUUAUGUUGAAAUGUAUUAAUAUAAUUAAUAUAAAUAUAUAAUUAAUAUUAUGUAUAAAUGUAAAAUUAAUAUUAUGUAUAUUAAUAUAAAUGUAUAAAUGUAUUAUAUUAUAUAUAAUACAUAAUAUAAAUGUAUAUUUAAAUGUAUAAGUGUAUGUUAUUAAAAAUGUAUAAAUUAUAAAUGAAUAUUAUAUAAAUGUAUAAAUUAAUAUAUUAUAAAUAUGUUUUAAUAUUAUGUUGAAUAAUUAAUAUAAUUAACAUGUAUUAAUAUAUGUAUAAAUGUAAAAUUAAUAUAUAUUAAUAUAAAUAUGUAUAAUUAUAUAAUUAUAUAUAUAUAUAUAUAUAUGUAUAUAUAUGUAUAAAUAUAUAUAUAUAUAUAUAUAUAUAAUUUAUAUAACAUAUAAUAUUUAUGUAAAUAUAUUAUAAAUAUAUAAAAAUAUAUUUUAAAUAAAAUAAAAUAUUUAUGAUAUGUAUAUGUAAAUAUAUAAUAUUAGAAAUGUAUAAUAUAUAUAAUAUACAUUAAUAUUAAUAUAAUUUAUAUAUAAUAUACAUAAUUGAAAUAUACAUAUUAAUAUAUAUUAUAAAACAAAAUUGCAUAAAUAUAUUUAUAAAUUUAUAUAUAAAUAAACGUAUUUAUAUAAAUCUAUAAUAUUUAUUUCAAUUGAUAUAAUAUAUAUAACAUUAUACAUAAUUGAAAUAAAUAUAUUUAUAUUAAUAUAAUAUAUAUAAUAUACAUAAUUGAAUAUACAUAUUAAAAUACAUAAUUGAAAUAUACAUAUUAAAAUAUAUAAUUAAAAUAUAUUAAAAUAUAAUUGAAAUAUACAUAUAAAAUACAUAAUUAAAAUAUACAAAUUGAAAUAUACUUAUUAAAAUAUACAAAUUAAAUAUGCAUAAUUGAAAUAUAUUUGGAGUUGUUUUUGAUAUAUUGUUUGGAUUGGUGUUUUUGAAGUUGUUUUUGAAAUACACAUUUACUGUAACAUUUGGAAUGUGAAAAACAGUUUUUCAAAAACAGGCUCAAAAACACCAAUCCAAACGUACCCUAUGUUUUUGAAGGCACUGAAGAUGAUGCAAUUUGAAAUUUUGCCACGUCACUUUUUUUCCAAUGGAAAUUUUAAACCUCACAAGAAGAAGAAAGAGGAGGAAAUGAUUGACAACAAACAAAGAUCUUGCAAUUGACUAGUUUUUUAUUUUUUAUUUUUUAAAUUUAACUAGCAAGUAGUAGUAUAUAACAUGGCUGAAUUGUCUGAGUCGGGAAAAUAUGAGGCUGAACAUAUCCAGGAUUAUCCAAGUACGCCCAUUUUAACUUGGGUUUAAUUUUUGGGAGAAUUGUAAUUUUGGUCCCCAAUCUAUAGUGUAUGCACGGAAUUAUCCCCAAUCUAUUUCGAAAAUCAAUUUUGGUCCCCAAUCAAUUUUGCACUAAAGUGGACAAUUAACGGAAUCUCUUCAAUUUCAAUCGGAACUAAGUCACAUGAGAUCACGUGCCGGCACCUAAAAUCCUUUUUCAAUUUUUUAAUUUCUAAAACACAUUUUUUCUAGUGGCUUGGCUUUUUGCAUGGACACUCCUGUCCCUUUAACUAGAUCAAUCUCUUCCUUGCCAAUUCUUUUCCAAUCAAAACUCUGAAUUAGAGAUCUCAAGGCAAACCCACCACCCACUGUGCUAGGCCAGAACCAGGGCAAGAUCUCCUUCCCAUCCCAAAUGGAAUCAGCUUUGAUGGCUGAACCUGCAAGUCUUCGAAUCUCUUUGGCUUGAAGCUUGUUGGAUCAUCCCAAACAUUUGGGUCCCUGUGAAUUAUCCAUGCAUUAACUAGCAAAAUUGUGCCUCGCGAUAUAUUGUAUUCCCCAAUUUUAUAGUCAUUGGACGACUCAUGUGGCACUAGCAUUGGUGCUGCUGGGUACAACCGAAGUGUUUCUGAAAUAAUGUUAUGAAGAUAAGGAAAGAUUGGAUAGAUCAUGUUCGUCGACCAAUCGAUCAGUCCCUACUUGAGCAUCCAAUUCAGCUCGAGCUUUCUCUAGCACCUCGGGAUGGUUGAGCAAAAAAGACAAGGCCCAUUCUAUAGUUACCGAUGAAGUGUCUGUUCCAGCCGUAAGCAUAACCUACCAAUAAUAUACUAGUGGUUCAAUUGAAUGCUCAUUCCAAUUCAAUGGUGAAGAAUGGCUAAUAGGGAAAGAAUAUGCUUUCCAAUAUAAUCCUUUUGAUUUCCAGUUACUAUCAUCCGCUCUUCUCUCUCGGCUGCUUGCUUGUAGGGGUGGCAAUUUUCGACACGACCUGAAAACACGACACGAAAUUAAUGGGUUUGGGUUGAGGUUUUGGGAAUUCGAGUUGGACCCGAUGAACCCGAAAAGAAAACAGGUCGAUUUCGGAUCAACCCGUGGUGACCUGAUAUGACCCGAUAUGACCCGUUUACGAAUUAAAAAUAAUUUAAUAAAUAUAAAAAUAAUUUUAUCUAACUAACCUAAGUUAUUCUUUUUUUCAAAGGCAUUAAUUACUUAAUCAUAAAUGAAUUUAUUUAAUUUGUGUGAAGUUGAAAUUAUUAUAUUUGGACAAAUAAUAUAUUAUAUUAUUUUUUACUUUUAUACUGUUUUAAUUUAUUUUAUAUUUUGUUUGGGAUAAAACACUUUUACGGUGUUUAAUUUAUUUUAGAUUUGGUUUGGAAUUACUUAUUUAAAUUUUUAUUACUUGAUUAUGUAAUUAGUUUUGUGAGAAAUUGAUUUUAUUAGAAAUUACAGUGAUAAAUUAAUAAAUUAAAAUUAAGUUUCGGGUCAUUUCGGGUCGACCCGCCAACCCGUCAACCUGAAAUUUUCGGGUUCGGGUCAGCAUACCUGACCCGUCACGGGUUGGCGGGUCGGGUUCGGGACAACAGAUUUUCUGGCGGGUUGACCCGAACCCGACCCGCCAACCUGAUUUGGACCUGAAUUGCCACCCCUACUUGCUUGCUUACUUAUGAAGUAGUACUGCUGCUCUUGUUGUUUGUACAGGAGAGUUGAACUGGGUUCGUCUCUGGCGUUGAUUGUAGAUUAUCUCCAUUACUAAUGGAGGUAAGAGCGACACUUGGACUUGGAGGCGAAGCUGAGCUUCUUACUCGUGCUGUGGGUUCUGGGGAUUUGAAGACGGCGGCCAACAAGAGGAGUAAUUUGGAUUGUGAGAUUACCCCUUUCAUGUCUUUGUUUAAUACGACAAAAGGUAAGAUAAAACUGAAAAUAUUAAAAAACGUGUUUUAGAAAUUAAAAAAUUGAAAAAAAGGUUUUAGGUGCCGGCACGUGAUCUCACAUGACUUAGUUCCGAUUGUAAUUAGAGAGAUUCUGUCAAUUGUCCACUUUAGCGUAAAAUUGAAUAGAUUGGGGAUCAAAAUUAAUUUUUAAAAUAGAUUGGGGAUAAUUCCGCGCAUACACUAUAGAUUGGGGAUCAAAAUUACAAUUCUCCCUUAAUUUUUUGUGCCCAUAUCAAACUAAGCCAAUCUAUGUAGAAGGCUUGGACCUAGUACGUAUAUUAAAAGGCCUAUCUCUGACUAAAGUGAGGAUAAAUUACUUGUUACCUGUGUGUGGUUUUAUAUAGGGAAAAUGGCAUGUUUCAUCCUUACAUUUCGCAAAAAUAUUUUUUUCGUUCCUCACUUUCAAAAUGAAGCAAAUUUGUCCCUGACAUUUAAAAAUUAAACCUAUUACAUCUCUGAACCUAAUUUUCAAUCUGAAUCAAACCAUUCAAUAAUCUAGUAAUAAAUUUCGAAAAUAGAAUUGAUAGAUCACUCGGUCAAUUUCAUCAUAUUCACAUGACAAUUAUUAAACUAAAAAAAAAUUUAUAACAUAAAAGGCCAUUCUUUUCUUGGAAUAGUAGGGUUUUUUUUUGGGUAAAUCUUUUCAUACACCGUUAGUAUAUCCGCUUGCGAAUCUAGAUGUGUAUCAUAAAUAUAAAAUUUGGUGUUUAAAUUUAAAUUGAAAUGAUAUGGCAGUACAUAAAACCGUCAGUGUAUACAAUGAUAAUGUAGGAAAGAUUAAUCUUUCUUUUUUAUGUUAUAAUUUUUUAUUUUUUCUUUUUGGGUUCAUUAAAUUUUACAUGAAUAUCAAGUUGAGUUAAUCAAGUGAUCUACCAAUUACACCCCAAAAUUUGUAAUCAGGAUGAUUGGUGGUUUGAUUCAGAUUGAAAUUUGGGUUCAGGGAUGUAAGAACUUCAGUUUUUAAAUGUUAAGGACGAAAUUGCUUCGUUUUAAAAGUGAGGGACAAAAAGAAUAUUUUUGUGAAAUGUGAAGGAUGAAACAGAUCAUUUUCCCUUUUAUAUAAUGUCACAUGAACUUUUUAGAGAUUUAAAAUAGUCAUAUAAUCCCUAUGGUUUUAUGUAAAUUUUAAGAUAAGAAAAGAUGGAAUGCACAACCAAUUAUAGCAUUUAUACCAAACGUAUUUUGAAAGAGUGUGUGAUAAUGUCAGAUGAACUUUUUAGAGUUUUAACAUGGUCAUAUAAUCCCUAUGGUUUUAUGUAAAUUUUAAGAUAAAAAAGACGAAAUGCACAAUCAAUUAUAGCAUUUAUACCAAACGUAUUUUGAAAGAGUGUGUGAUAAAGUUUUAAUAUUCAUUUAACACCCUUAUGAUUUGUACAAAUAUCCACUUUACUUACUUGUGGUUUUUGCAUUUAUCUACAUAAUCUUCUUAUGUUUUUAUACAAGGUUUCAGGGGAGGGGGGAGAGGAAAGGGGAAGGAGAGGAGGAAGAGGAAGGGAGGAGGAGGAAAGAGGAAGGAGAGAAAGAGAGAGAGAGGGAGAAAAGAAAGAAAGGAAAAAAAAAAAAAAAGAGUCACCCGCCCCGAUGCCGGCACCGGUGGAGUGGCGGCCGGUGGCAGCCGUUGGUGGAGAUGGUGGUAGAUUGAUUUGUGGGGAGGAAGAAGAAAAAAGACAAGAAAAAAUUUUUGUUUGUGUUUGGGCAUUUGAGGUAUGCAUUUAAAAAAAUUUGGGGAGUUUGAAAUUAUUAUAAUUAAAGUUGUUAAAAAUCUUGUAGAAAAAAAAGCUAGACAAAAAACUUGAGCUCCAAACAGACAAUAGAAUAUAAGUAUACGACUAGGAGCAAGUCACAAAACAAACUAAACACAAGGAGGGAAGAAAAAAAAGAGGAAAUUCCACAACCAAAGAAUACAUGGUCCCAAGUAUUUAGAUGCCAGCACUUGACACUUGCUACGCAUACAAAUUUUUUGCCGGAAGUGGCAGAUCAUUUUUCUUAGGCAUUGUAAGACCUGGUAAAACUUGAGUAUCAACGUCGUCUUUCUUGAUCCCAAAAGGCAAUUCCCAGUCAAAAGAGUACAGAAGACUGGCAAGUCCAACUUCCACCAUUGCUAGUCCCAGAGAAUAUCGAGGGCAGCCCCUUCGGCCAGCUCCAAAUGGUAUCAGUUGAAAGUCUUUCCCUUUCAUAUCUACACUAAUAUUCAAGCAUCGCUCAGGCAAAAACUCAUUUGGAUUUUCCCAAUACUCGAGCUCUCUUCCAAUCGCCCAGACAUUUGUGUAAACUAUAGAAUUGAACUGGAUUUCGUGACCAUUUAUAAUGCAAUUUGCUAGUGUCUGUCUUGGAACUGAAAGUAGAGCUGGAGGAUACAAUCUGAAGGUCUCCUUGACAAUUGCCUUGAGAUAAGGGAGCUUUUGAAUAUCAUCUUCGUUUACUAUAUCUUUAUUUCCAACUGCACCUCUAAUCUCUGCUUGUGCCUUCUUCAAUAUUGCUUCAGGGCUCUUCAUCAGUGCUGCCAUUGCCCAGAUUAUCGUAGCUGCAAUAGUAUCCGACCCCGCACUAAAUACAUCCUACAAGGAAAUAUUGAAACAGAUUAGCAAAAUGGGAUUGAUCCAAAUUCUUAAAAGGAAAAACAAAAAUGAGAAAUCGUUCAAAACGUUCCCACGUUUCAUUAAAUGAAUUUCUUGAUCCCUCACCUUUAAAAUAUUAAAUUUACGUUCCUUACAAAUUCAAAUUAAUAAUAUUUGAUCCUUACCUAAAUUUUUGACCACUUUUUAAUCCAAAAUCACUAUGUGACCACAUGCAAUUAUUUUUUAUAUACAAGAAGGCUAGAUUCCACUUUUUAAUGGCAAAAAUGAAUAUAGAUUAAAUCAGAUCCUACUUUUUUAGAUGCAAAAGUGAAUAUGGAUCAAGUUAUUUAUUUAACUAUAAAUGAGAUCUAACAUUUUUGCUCCGAAAAAAAAUAACAAUAUGUGGGUCACAUAAUUGAUUCAAGAUAAAAAUGAUCGAAAACCUAGGUUGGAACUAAAUUUUAUCAAAUUAAUUUUAUAAAGGACAUAAAUUUAUAAUUUUAAAAGUGAAGGACAAAGAAUUUUAUUUAUUGAAAUGUAAAGGGCGUUUUGAACCCAAACAAAAAAGUAGGCCCUUUGAACAGGUAAUUAAUCACCAUGAGCAUUGCUUUUGAUGUGAUCUUGCGUUAGAUCAAAGGAAGUUGAUUGUUCUUGAAGUAAUUGAAGCAUGAUGUCAAUGAUAUCACCGUUCAUGGACUCUGGCCUAUUUGGAUUUAAGUGUUCGUCGAUGAGUUCUUGAAGAAAUGAAUCUAACUUACUGCAAGUCCUCUCAAGUCGAGAACGCAUCCCAUUGAGGCUAUCAAGCCAACCAAUUGAAGGAAUAUAGUCUGAGAAAAAGAACCCCACGAAUGCGGCCUCCAUUUCUUGGAGGAGAUCAUGGAAUCGUCUUCUUUGUUGAUCUUCCUCAUCAUACCUCUUUCCGAAAGCAAUUCUACAGAUAAGCGUACAUGAAAGUGAUAGUAAAGUCUUACUCAAAUUCGUCACUUGAGAUGAAGAUGCUUCCUUGGAUGUCUUUCUGAUCAUCCGGGAGACUUCAUCUUCACGAAUACCACGACAUGACUGCACCCUUCUGUUGCUGAAGAGAUGAAGAACAGAAAACUUUCUCAGCUCUCUCCAUUGCUCGCUGUAUGGAUAGAAGGCGAUAUCCAAGCCGUUGUAAGAAAGCAUUCGGGAAUCUAGGAACAGUGGGCGACUGAAAAUGUCGAGUCAUGGUUUUUCACAACUUCUUCAGCCAUUCUUGUGGAUGAAACCACAAGCAGUGGAAAGGAUCCAAGCUUAAGAGACAUGAGAGGACCAUAUAUUUUGGAAAGUUGCCAAAGGUAUACAUGAGGGGCUGAGGUAUCAAACUGAAGCAAGCUUCGAAUGACUGGAAUCCCCGAGGACCUGGUGGUGGAGGAAUUUUUGUUGUUGAUGAUCUCAUCCUGUUCUUUUGAAGAACGCUUAGGACGACAACUAGAAGUGCUGAGAUUAAAGCAAUCAAUAUCUCCAUCAUCUGGCUGGAAGUAAGAUAUGAUGGCCUUUGUAGGAUGCAAAUUUGAUCAGAUAGAAGCGAACUCGAAUAUUUAGACUUUGUUGAGCUUGAAUAUGAGCUUGAGUUUGAGUUGCGUUGUGGAUUUGAACAAAAAUUGGGUUCUUUUUUUGGAUAAUAAUUGAUGAGAAUACCAAGAUGUGAGUAGCGGGAUACGGAUUGAGAAGGCGAAUUUGCUUGUAUCAUGAAUAUGUUUUUUAAUUAUUUUUUUAUUUCACACACAUCAUAUUAAUAUAAAUAUUAUAUGAUAGGUUGUAAUUUUAUUAUUUAUUUUAUUAUUAAUUUUUUCCUGAUGUGAAUUAAUUAUUAGAUUCUACUCAUUUUUAGUAAUUUACAUUUAUUUCAGAGAGUAGAACGAAAAUAUCAUAACCAAGAUCAAUUUGAUAGUCAUCGAAAAGAAUUCAAAUGAAAGACAUUCAGGGGCAUUUUUGAAACAAAAAAAAUGUAAGCCCUUUUCGAUAAUUUAGCCGAAGACAGCAAGGGAAAAAAGGCUGGUGUCUUCGGUUUUGAAGGGAGAGCCGCCGCACAGCAUUAGUGGCAAUAAGAAUAGGAAAUAGCUGAGGCCAUUUGGAGAGGAACGAUUUUUACAUGGCAGACAUGGAGCACUACUUUGAAUUAGCUUUUGACUUUUCUUCCUUUUUAGCUCUUAGUAGCUUUCUUUUCCUCCGUGUGUCAGAGAAAGCAAAAACACUCAAUUGCUCCUGUAGCUUGCUUCUCUUAUUGAAUAGAAUAAAUUGAAUUUUUCCAAUUCUUGGAGACGGUGGCUGCAACUUUACAUGAAUUUUUCGCAUCAAAUAUGAACUAAUUUCUUUAUUUUAGUUAAGAAAUAACGAAGGUUUUGAUUCACCUAAAAAUUAUGAGAUCGAUUUAAUUUUAUUUUUUCUUUUUAUUUAUUGGUAUUCGCAUAUUUUUUUAUUACAGCACUUACGAUUGUUCAAUUAAUUGAUUUUCUUGAAUCCGAAUAAUUAGUUAAUUAGGUAGUCUAUUAUCAAUUGGGGCAUUAAAUGCGUAAUUGUUUAAUUGCUUUGAAAUAGUGACAACUGGCAUAAUUAGAUUUGUGUCAGAGGAAUACGUGGGCUAACCUAAAAUAACCCUAGUAGUACGUUAUUUGGUUAGAAUAGAACUCCUCUAAUACGUAAGGCAAUUGGAGAAUUAAAUCUUAUGGGUGUACCUAAGCUUAUUUCUCAAUUAGAGUAGUGACUAACGGGCGUACCUUAAUCACCAACACAGUAAGGAGGGGUUGACUGUCAUCGCUUGUUUGGCAGUUGUAACCUAUUUAUUGGUAAAUAAUUGGAAUUGGCUUUGCAUCGAUGAUCAAUUAGGUGAACCAUUGCUGAAGUUAUUUCUUGGCUAGAUCCUUAAUUAUCACCCAUUUGAUUUUAAUAAUUUGUUAUUUAAUUUUUAGUAGCUUCUUAGAUUUUAUUUGAAUUUCUUUGAUUGUCACCUUCUGCACAAAAACACCCCCUUUGUUACUGUGAAUUUGAAAAUAAAUAGUUACACCCAGUCCCUGUGGAUUCAACCCUGCUUACCACUAUUUACAAAAAUUAAUUUUAGUUUAGCAGGUUUUGAUUAUUGCACAGGCCUGACACAUGUCACUAUAGUAUUUUUUUUAAAUAUUCCAAAUAAUUUACAAUCCAAACACACUUAUUAUACCCUUAAAAUGAUUGAAAUGACGAAAACUAUGAAUGUUACAAGCUCCUAAUUUAUUUUAUGGCAGCAAUAGCACCGUCCAUAUCAGAAUUUCAUAUCGAGAAGAUCUUUCUUAUCUUUGGUAGAAUUAAAACCUAUGGCGAGUAGGCAGCAUUGUAUCCUUAAAAUCAUGAAAAAUAAAAAUUUACAAACUCUAUGACUUUAAAAGUUACAUGAAACUGUUGGCCACUAACUUAAUCAAAUUUAUUAUUAUUCUAUUUUCUUAUCUCUAAAUUUUAGAUACUGUUGGCCACUGAGUUUUGACACUUGCAAAUUUUUAAAAUCCUAAGCGAUGAGAAGUAAUGAUCGAGAAACUUUUGUGUAUGUUUGUAACUCCAUAUGAUAGUACUAAAUCCUAAAUGCUUUAAACAUUUUUCGUAUUCUAGUUUUCAAUUUUUUAAAGUUAUUUCAUAUCCAAAUAGUAUUUAACUAUCUUGUAAUGCUUUACUAGUUCUCUAAACUUGAAAAUUUUGAGUUGGAAGAGCUAGCAAUGGCUUAUAAGGACUCCCCUCGAAUACACUCUUCCCAGCUCUACUUCAUUAUCUACGUGGCAGUAUAAUAUUCAUUGAGGGAUUUCACUUGGCAUGCCACUAGUUUUAGUUGCCAAUGUUUUUACUUUUCCCCAGCAUUCUGGAUGAUUGGCGAGAAGGAACAAUUGGAAGCAGAUAUCUGCUUUUUUUUUUUUUUUCCAUUUUGUCUGAAGCAAGAAAUGAUCCAUCAAUCCUUUGGAUGAGCUGGUCGCAGAAGUUCUACAAGAUUAAGUGGAAUUCGACGACUUCUUGUGCAUCAACCAAUAGGGUAGUAGUAGUACUACUACUACAACUUGCUGCUACUAUUGUCCAAGAAAAGAUCGGCCUGCAAAUAUUGGUGGCUAUUAGCUGGUUGAUGUAUUUCAACUUUAUCACAAUUGUCGUUUUAAUGAUCCAAGUCCGGUUGUUCUUGUUUGAAUACAAGGCUUGACAAUUAUUUGAUCAGGACCUGAGAGAAUUAUUCCAAGUUUUUGAUCAAGACACAGAUUUGCGAAGACACUCAAGCCAAUGGACUAAAUCCAGUUUGUACCUCUAAACUCGUGACGUAUUCUCUCACUUCAUACCGCAAUUUCAAUUUUGGCCACUUUCCUGGCAUAAGCAUUUACAAUUGUCCCCAAUUCAAACCUUCUGUUUAUUACAAUAAAAGAUUUGGAUAUUACACGGAUACACAUAGGCAUGUCAACAUGUCAGAUCUUAUCCAAAUCUAAUUUAGAUCCAUUAUACUUGAGUAGUGUUUUGAUUUAAUUUGUCAAAUUCAAACUCUACUUGGACCCGGACUUUGUAAGAGAGUUAUGGGUCUUGAUAGGAUUUAAUUUUCUAUAAUCCAAAUCCAAACACACACACACACACACAUAUAUAGUAGAUUUAUAAAAGAGUAAAAGCAAAUAAAUGAAAGAUUGAAUGAAAAUGCUGAUGAACCUUUGAAAAUAAUUAGCUUUAGUUAAUAAUAGUUCUUUCUUUGAGUACAUAAUAUUGCAUUCAACAUCUUGAAUGUUAAUUUUAUUAUUUGAAAAUAAAAAUUGGAUGAUAUUUAUGUUAUUUUUAAACUAUUUAAAACAUUUUUACUUUAAUUCUUUAUUGUGUGUUUAGAAAAGUAUCCAUGGGCACCUGUUGAAUACUCAAACCCAUGAGUGUCGGAUUUGGAUUUUUUUUUUUAGACCCAUAAGAGUCUGGAUUUAACUAAAGUUUGGAUGUGAAUAAAAAAAUCCAAUCCGAAUCCUAUCCAUUGACAUGACUAACUACACACCAUGCACCAUUAUUGAAUGGGUCAAAUAUCAUUCCCCCCCCCACCCCCCUUUUACUACCCUUUUAUGGAUUUUUUAGAUGUGGAAUACGCAUAAAUAGGGUUUUAUUUGGCAUUUUACACCGCUCUAAUAAAUUCAAAUGUCUGGACAGAUUGUAAUCUAUUAUUAUGGAUUUUUUAGAUGUGGAAUACGCAUAAAUAGGGAUUUAUUUGGCAUUUUACACCCUCAUAAUGAUUUCUUAUAAAUUGUUUCUUUAAUUUCUUACAAUUUUUCAACCGCAGAAUAUCACUUAAGUUAUAAAAGGGUUUUUUUAGGGAAAAUCAUAAAAGGUUAAGGUACAAAUUUCUAAAUGAAUAAAAGGACUUGGUUACAACUUUAGGUGUUAAUGAAAGUAAAGGAAAAUAAACUUGUUCGUAGAAUAAUUUUUUUAAAUCGGGGUGCGGCGUGCCCAACCUGCAAUACAACGCCAGACAACUCCCGAAGACCCCCAACUAGCAAGUAUUAUAAUUUGCUUUCCCCCUAAAAUAAAAUUCACUUAAUAUUCCCCUGACCCACGAGCCCAGGUACCAAAUGAUGUAUUAAAUUGGUAAGAACAGUUACUACACAGUUUGUUCCAACAAAUGAACCAAUACAUCAUGAGUAAAUUUUAUAUGCACUGACGAUAUAUAUAUUAUCACCGUUGGAUUCAUAAUGCAUGUACAAAAUUUGAAUUUCAAAUUUAAAUUUUAUAUAGUUAUUAUUCAUUCAAAAUUGAUGGUGUAUAUAAAAUCACUGUAUAGAAGAUUAAUCCAUAUUUUAUACUGUUCAUACUUGGGGAGAGAUUUAGGAUUAUAUGGGACAAAUAUAAUAAGAGAUAUUAUACAUUUGUAUAUCAUAUGAAUUUUUUUAAAACACAAUUAAAAGUUCAUCGUAAAAAUAUGAGUUUGAAAAAGUUAUGCAUACAAAUUUGUAUGUAAACAGUGAGGACAUAUUUGAUAGUUAUGAAAGAAAGAAAAGAUAAAUUACCUGUCAAAAUUGUAGUUGGAUUUUUUGCGAUAUUUUAAAAAGAUUGUUACAAUAAAAUAAGAUCUUGGUGAAACAAAUAAAUAUAUAGGUGAAUUUUACUAAUACUUAAAAUUAACUUCCUCCAAUGAUAUCACAGGUAAGAGAAACUUCUGGAGAUAACACGUUCAUUGGAUUAAAGCCUUUUUUAUUAGUUAAGGGCCUCGUUAUGCCCUUUUCUCAGUGACUAUCUGAGGAUCCCGUCUCAUGUGAUAUACGUGUGUGCCUCAUUUAUUAUAUAUAUAUAUAUAUAUAUAUAUAUAUAUAUAUAUAUGUUAUGUAGAACACAUUUUAUUGAUACAGAGCUUCCAUGCAACUUAGAGCUCAACAAAGUCUAUUUAAAACCAACUUCUAUGUCCAUUUUCCAGCCGCCACAAGAAAAAACUUCCUCAUAAAGUGAUGGAGAUUGUCCUGAUCAUCGCUUUACUUUCAGCUCUUCCCAUAAUUUUCCUGAUUCUUCUUCAGAAAAACAGCAGGAAAUCAUAAACAAAAUCUCAUCAACAAAAUUUUCCUAGCAAAGGGAGGACUUCUAAAUAGUUCGCUACUGGUGGAAGAAUUCAAGUAGUACUUUUUUUCGUCUGAACCAGAAAGAAAAGAAAGGAGAAAUAAAGAAACGGGAAAGAGAGAGAGAGAAAGGAAGAAGAAAACAAAAGAUGAUGGGCUAAAAUAAAGCAGAAAGGGAGUGUUUUGUUUUGCUGCCACGUGGGUCAACUUCCAUUUUUUGUUUGACUGUUUGACUUCUUCUCUUUCACGACAGAGAGUAAGUUUAAUUUGUUUGGAUAGGAGUUUAUUUGGAUGAUUUAUUUGAGAUAAUUACUGUAACACUUUUUGUAAUGUGAUGUAUGUGAGAUAAAAAGAUAAUUGGAAAGAUAAAAAAGUGGUUGAAAUUUGUGAAAAAAAUUAUUUUACUUGAAAUCAUUUCAAUCCAUACAAACUCUUAUCUUUUGUCUGAGAAAAGAGGGAAAGAGACGGGAAAGGCUGGGAAAGAAAGCAAAAGACUAUUUACAAAAUGUCAAAAAUAGCCCUCAAUAGUUAGCUACUCUUUUAGGGCUAGUUAUUUUUCUCUGCGCAAGAUAGUAAUUUCAUGUAAAAGACAAAAAUGACCUCAACAGUGAUAUACUAUUAGGAGAAGUAGUAAACAUUCCCAUGGCAUAAAAGGAAGAAAAAUUUUCUCCCUCCCCUAACGCCACCACGUGGCUUAAUGUGGGAGUAGAAAUCUUAACUCUUUCUAUAUAUGUAAGAUAAGAUAUAUAUAUAUAUAUAUAUAUAUAUAUAUAUAUAUAUAUAUUAUGUAAAACACAUUUUAUUGAUAUAGAACUUCUAUGCAACUUGUAGCACAACGAAGUCUAUUUAAAACCAACUUCUAUGUCCAUUUUCCAGCCACCUCAAGAAAACCUUCCUCCUGAAAUAAUGGAGAUAGUAUUGAUCAUCGCUUUACUUUCAGCUCUUCCCAUAAUUUACCUGAUUCUUCUUCAGAAAAAAGGCAAGAAAUCAUCAACAAAAUCUCAUCCUCCUCUCCCUGCUCCUCCUGGGAUUCCAAUCAUUGGAAACAUGCAUCAGUUUGAUUCUUCAGCCCCACAUAUCUAUCUCUGGGAGCUUUCCAGAAAGUAUGGCCCUCUCAUGUUCCUCAAGCACGGAUGCUUGCCAGUACUUGUGGUUUCUUCAGCAAGAAUGGCAGAAGAGGUUAUGAAAAAUCAUGACUUAAUUUUCUGUAGCCGACCACCUAUGCUUGGCCAGCGAAAAUUGUCCUACAAUGGCCUGGACAUCGCGUUGGCACCGUACGCUGAGCAAUGGAGAGAAUUGAGAAAGAUUUGUGUUCUUCAUCUCCUGAGCUCCAAGAGAGUUCAAUCGUUUCGUCCUAUACGCGAAGAUGAGGUCUACCGUAUGAUUCAAAAGAUAUCCCAGGAAUCGGCUUCAUCACAAGUAACUGACUUGACUCACACUUUAUUGUCUCUCACAUGUACUAUGAUUUGCCGAAUUGGUUUUGGAAAAAGGUAUGACGAGGAAGGCCAAGAAAGAAAAAGAUUCCACUUUCUCAUGCGCGAAGCUCAGGCAGUGUUGGUUGCCUUCUAUUUCUCUGAUUAUUUUCCUACAAUUGGUUGGCUGGAUAAAUACACUGGGAUGCUAUCUCGACUGGAGAAAGUUUUCAACAAGCUUGAUUUGUUCUACCAAGAACUCAUUGAUGAGCACCUGGAUCCAAAUAGGCCAACGUCAAUGGAUGGAGACAUUAUUGAUCUCUUGCUUCAAUUACAGAAUGACAGAUCAACUCCGUUUGAUCUGACUGUGGAUCACAUCAAGGCCAUGCUAAUGGUAAUAAACUAACUCUUUAACGUACAUUCCAAUACAGAGUGUGAUAUACAGGUUCUGUUUAGUUUUUUUCUACUUGAAAUUGCAAUCAUUUCUUGUGAAAAAUAAUGCUACUUAACAAUAGGAUACAAUUUAAUUUAAUUUUGACAAAAAGCCAAACACAGCGCUAUUUAUUUGUUUUUCUAUUUACAUCCUAAGUUAAUUGGCACUAUCCUUAAGUAAAUUUGCUUCCUAGCCUCCGUGAUACGCGAAUCAUCAGCAUCUAUCUCUUCCUUAACUACUACUUUCCCCCAAAAUCAUCAUCACCAUAUUAUCAGCAUCCCUUUAUUACUUCCUCUCUCUUUCCUCCCCAAAAGUUGUAACCAGUUUAUUCCUCCUUUUUGCCUUCAUCGGUACCUACUUCUGAGAUCCAUCUCCACCGAAACCAUCACCACUCUUCUUUGUGGUUUCUUUCCCUCUUUCAUUUCCUUAGAUGCUUUAGGGGUUUUUUUUUGGGUGAAGCUCAUAAUUAUUUAAGGAAAACCAAAAAUAAAGCCAAAAUAACAAAGCUAAUCCAAUCAGAAAUUUACCGAAAAAGAAAACUGAAGGCAUGGGGCGGGGGUUUUUGGAAAUUUUACAUGGCUGAGAUAGAAUUUGGUAGGAAAGCAAAAAGAAACCUGACCUGAAAAAUUGUUGCUAUUAGAUUUUGAUGUGUACUUGUAUAUAGUUCAAAAGAGGAAUUUUAAAAAAUUGAGAGAGAGAGAGACGGUAGUGCAGAGCGGUGAAGUCAAACAAGGUGAUAGACGGAAGGUGAUCCCCAGCCUAUCAUGGUAAAACUCAAGUGAGGAAUGGAGUACAUGAACUUGCAGCUAGUUAAUGCUGAGGAUUAUAUUGAGGCCCAGUUUACUGGAAAUCUUGGAGAGAUUCUUGAUCAGAUGUAACAAUAUUCUCUACAUGCUUUGAAAUAGCAUGUAGAGAUUCUUGAUCAGAUGUAUAUUGAAGGAUGUUUCUAGUGAGUUGUGAUGAUGUGGCAAUUUCACCAUCACUCAAUCUACAAGUCGGCCCGUAGACCGGUUCUACACAAGUUUUUGCCACUAUUACAUAACAACUCUCAAAUUCUGAUAGAGAGGUUGUGUUUUGGGUCUCCACUAGAAUUGGAUCGGAUAGGAAUCUUAAUUUUGGCUUACACAAAUGUUGAUUCAUUUCAAUUGGAUACAAUUGGUCUUGAUGAACAACAAGCAUUUGAAUCAGCCUUUUUUAAGGAAAAAAAAAAAGAAAUUAUAAUAUUUCCUAAACAUAAUGUUUACCCAUUUCUCUUUAUCGCAUAUACAUCACAUUCCAAAAAUUUUACAGCUUUACUGUUCGAAAAAAUUUCUGAAUGAUCUUCAACCGAAGCACAUGAAAAUAUUUAGGCUUAGGAAAUUCAUUGAUGAUUAUCUUUUUUUUUUUUUCAAAAAACAACUGCAGAACGUAUUUUUGGCCGGGUCAGAAACUUCAGCAGGUGCAGUAAUCUGGGCAAUGACAGCCCUUAUCAAGAACCCUACGGCACUGGAAAAAGCUCAAAACGAAAUCCAAGAGGUGCUUGGAGAGAAAAAAAUGAUAGAUGAAGAUGAUAUCCAAAAGCUUCCCUAUCUCAAAGCAAUCGUCAAGGAGACUAUGAGACUGUACCCAGUUGCUCCUCUUUUACUCCCAAGAUACACAACGGAAAGUUGCAUCCUAGACGGGUAUGAGAUCCAGCCCAAGACUACCGUUUACGUGAAUGCUUGGGCAAUUGGAAGAGAUCCUGAGUACUGGGAAAAUCCACAUGAAUUCUUGCCUGAGAGAUUCUUGAAUAGUACUAUAGAUGCAACAGGGAAACACUUUAAAUUCAUACCGUUUGGGGCAGGCAGAAGAAGCUGCCCAGGAUACUACCUGGGACUAGCAACUGUGGAGCUUGCACUUGCUAAUCUCUUGAACUCAUUCAAUUGGGGAUUGCCUUCUGGAGUGAAGAAAGAGGACAUCGAUACUGAUGUUUUACCUGGUCUUGCUAUGCUUAAGAAAAAUGCCCUGCGACUUGUGGCAAAGAAACGUGUGCCUUCGUAGUAAAAAAAAAAAAGUCAAAUGGGAUCAGAAUGUGUGGUUCAUAUACAAUGUACGACCAUUUGAGGAAUUCUUGCUGUUUUGGUCUUCAAUUUGGUAUCAUCAGAUUUGAAAUGAAAGAGUUUAAUAUGUUGAAACAAAUUUUUAAGCAAACUGUGCUAUGAAAUCUUUGACCCUUUUUGUAAAUGAAUUCAUGGAAGAUGCUUGAAUGCAAUUAGGUCCUCAAUUAUUGAGACUUGGGGAACAGUGUAGAAAACCAAACAAUGUGAUCCAGAAUCAUCUCUGAUAAGCAUUACGUAAAGAAUGCACAAAUUAUUUGCAAGGAAAGUGUAUUCUAUAAACUCAAGGACCAUGAGCGCAGUUGGGAUUCUUGAUGAUAAAUAGCUCAGGACAUGUAUGGUUCAUGUUAUCACUAAUUAGUCAAUAUCAGUGAUGAUUACUGAUAUGGUUUUAGUGAUGACAUUGCUCCAAACAUUUGUGACAAAAAACAAAGGCGUCACUAACUCUCUGUCUGUCAUUGACAAAAUAUUUCAUCAAUAAAUAUUGAUAUUCAUUGACGACUCUCAAAGUUGUCCCUGUACACUUCUAUCGAUGGACAUUCAGUGAUGACCUUGAAGUUGUCAGCAAAUUUCAUCACUGGCCAUUUUUCCCGUUCUGUCUGACAAGAAUUGAGUGACAGCUCAUUAGUGGCAACUUUUUCUUUUUUUGUGACAAAAAUUGAUUGUUACUAAUGAUCAAUGUUUCGAAAUGCGUAUUUGGGGUGCGUCCCAAGGUGAGCCCAAGGGCGAGGCGUUUCCAAAUUGCCCCUGGGCAGUCAAAUGGGGCAUUAGUGUCAUAGGGCGUUCGCUCCAAGGAUCAGGGCAAACGCCCAAGCGUUCUGGUGAUUUUUUUUUUUAGGCGUAAAAAAUGUAUGUCUUUAAAAUUCAUUUUUGCCCUUUUUUAAACUCCAAAAGAACAUCUAAACUGGAUUUUCUCUUCACAUGCUUAAGGAAGUUGAGACCCUCAAGCUGAAUUUGCAAGUUCUGAAAACUUUUCUUAUGUUAGCUUACAAAUUUAAGUUGGCAAACAUGGAUGUUAAUUUGGAAUUUAAUGAUGCAAAAGAGGUGAAACUUCAAAACUUUGUGCUUCACAAUAAGGAUACUCUAAAGGAAUAGGAGAAGGACACUUGCUUUGAUAGUCAAACCUCACAAAUAUCAUUUGCUAGUGCCCUCAAAAAGAGUUUUCGCAACUGUAAUACACACACACACACACACAUACAUACAUAUAUAUAAUAAUAUUUUUGUUUUUUAUAUUUUUAAAAUAUUUAAAAAUAAAAAUUGUGGGCCUAUGUCCCACGCCAUGGGGCUUUUGCCCUAUUUGAACGAACAUAGAACAUCCUGCCUAAUGCUUUCACCUUUUAAAAUACCGCUAAUGACCAAUUUUGUUGUUGUGACAAGCUUGAUUUGUUCUAUCAAGAAUUCAUUGAUGAGUACCUGCAUCCAAAUAGGCCGAUGUCAAUGAUGCAGACAUUAUUGAUCACUUGCUUCAAUUACAGAAGAACAGAUCAACUCCAUUUGAUUUUACUAGCACUGCAAACGAAUCAAGUCUCGAGUCCGAGCUCGGUCAACUUCGAGUUCGAGUCGAACUCGAGUUUGAACUUGAACUCACAAAUAAUAAGCUCAUUAGUUCGCGAGCCGGCUCGGGUUCGAUUAUAUAUAUAUAUAUAUUUUUUUUUUUUUAUUGUAAUAGUAAAAUUACAUAUAUAUCCCUAAUAUUUAAUUAUUUGCUAAGAAAAAUUAUUAUUUUAUUCAUUUGUAAAAAUAAAAUAAUUAUUUUUUUAAUUUUUUUUAAGGUUGAACUUGACAUUUUAGCUUGUCGAACUCGAGUUAAUUUGAGUUCGAAUUUCAUAAAAUUAAGUUGAGGCUCGAGUUGAUUAGACUGAAACUCGACUUGACUCGACUCAUUCGCACUCCUAGAUUUGACUGUGGAUCACACUAAGGCCAUGCUCACGGUAAUUAACUAGCUCUUUAACAUACUAUUCCAAUACAGGGUGUGAUUUACAGGCUGUAUUUAGUUUUUUUCUCUACUUGAAAUUGGAAUUGUGUCUUAUGAAAAAUAAUGCUACUUAACAUGAAUAAGAUAAAAUUUAAUUCUAAUAAAAAGCCAGCACAGCCUUAUUUAUUUGUUUUUCUAUUCACAUCCUUAAGUUAACUAGUAAUAGGUCACGUGCUUUGCACGUGAUUAUAAUAUCAUAAAAUAUAAUAUUUCGUAUAUAUUAAAAUUUAUUUGUGAAAAUUUUUAAAAAAAUUUUAAUAUUUGCAUAUUUUCCUAUUUUCUAUUUUAUUUUUGUUUUUAUUUUUUUUAAUAAGUAGGAGGUCUUGGGUCUAGGACCCUCUACUUAUAAUCCCUUCCAUCUUACCAUCCAACCCAACUCUCUCCCUAUUUUCUUUUUUAAUAAAAUUUUCAUCUUCUUUAUUUAAUUGUCCUUAAAACCAUUAUUUUAAAAGGAAAAAAGGUUCACUAAAUGUUGUAUCAAUUCAUAUAAAAUGUCUAGAGAAUUUUUAACAAAUGAGGGUACAUUCGAUCUCUUUCAAUUUAUAAUAACGGUUUUAAGGAAAAUUAAUUAAAGAAGAUGAAAAAUUAACAUUUAAGAAAAUAAAGAUUUGACCAAAUAUGAAAUGAUUUGACAAAGGUAUCAAUAUUUUGAAUGGUAUAUGUACACUAUUGAUAAUAAUAAUUAUUUCUUUUGGUUUUUCUCUUUUCCAAGACAAAUAAAUUAUGAUAAGACAACUAAUUUUUUUUUAUUUUUAACCAGAUAUAUGAACAAUUUUUUAUUUUUUGUUUGGAGUUAGGAUGACCUGAAUUUGCAUGCUAACCAAACGUUAAUUGUUUGCCAACCAUUGGGGUUGACCCAAAGAUUAGAAAAGACUUCUUAGAGUUCUCUCUAAUGUUAGGUUCAAGAUUCAAAUCUUAUACCUAACAAUUAGGGAUGAAAAGAGCGUAAGGAGGGAUGGAAAGGUAAAAAUGAAAUAAAAUAAAAUAAAAAUAAUUGUUCACAAAAAUAUUAGUUGCAUGCAUUAUGAUUAUUAUUUUUCAUGUUACAUAAGUUGAAUUUGUCAAUUGCUUGAUGAAAUUCGUCAAUAUGAAAUCAUAUGCACUAUUUUUUUGAAAAUUGAAGAGAUAUAUAUUCUUUGAAGUUGAACUCUUUGUAUUAUUUUGUGUACUAUUUUUGUUAAUAAUGGAGUGUAAAUGAUCCACCACAUAUCAAUUUUUUCUGUCUAAUUGUUCAUUUCUUGAGAAUUAAAAUAUUAUUGGUCGAGAUAAUUGAGUUUUUCUUUUUUUUCUUUUCUUUUCUUUUAUUUUUGAAUUUUUUUGGACAGAAUCCAACAUAAAGUACAAAUGACAAAGAUUAUAUUAUUGUAAGAACACCUUGUUUUGGUAUCAAUAGUAAUAUUUUUGAAGAUUUGAAAAUUUAAUUAGGUUGUGGCUGAUCAAGAAUUUUUAAUGGAAAUGAAAAGGUGAAAACAGAAUGCAAAGAGACACAUUAUUUUUUUUUUUUAAUUUGUAGUCUUUUAUUGAUGAGAAUAAAUGUUACGCACAGAGAAACAUCAUUUUUAAGUACAGGAUUGAACUAUAAAGACAAGAAAUGAACCAGAAAUGUUUAGUGCUGAGUUGAAAAGCAAAAUAGCUCAAAUUCUCCUUUAUCCUCAGCCCUUCAUACGCUUAAUUUUUCGAAUUGAAGGCAUCCCUAAUCUGUUAAGGCGAAUUGCUCCACGAGCCAUAGUUGGGAACAAGUGGAAGGAGUCGUAUAACUUGAGUUGAUGCUCUGGAUGAGAGACGCCCACAUUGGACAAUGCAUCAGCGACCGUGUUAGCUUCUCUAUAACAAUGUGAAAAACGAUCAGGAUCUUCCACGAACUGCCAAAUCUGCCUAAUCUCUCGUCGAAUCUUCCAAGGGCAGUGAAUACAUUUCUGGAGAAUUCCAAUUAAUACCAAAGAAUCUGAUUGAAUAUAGAGAUUCUCAAAACCCCUAUGUAUGCAUGUUUGAAUGCCAAUAAGAAGAGCCCGGGCCUUUGCACUUAGACAUGUAGUUUCUCCAAGAUAUGCAGAAAAACCAAUCAAAGGAAUGCCAUGUGAAUCCCGAAGAACCCCACCUCCUCCACCCAAUCCUGGAUUACCCUUAGAAUAGCCAUCGGUAUUUAGUGUAAACCGACCAGUUUCCUUUGGUUCCCAACGAACAAGUUUGUACGUGACAUAAGUGUGAGAUGAAUACGGCCAAUCAUACAAAUGAUAGAAUGAAUGAGCCAUGAAAACUUGUUUGAAAUAAAUUUCCACAAUGGUCUGGAUUUCCAAGGAAAUGGCAAGACAAAUGGCGGGUGAUCUCAUAUGGACAUCCUCAAAUAAUGCUUUAUUUCUUGCUUUCCAAAUUUGCCAACAUACUAUACUGGGAAGAAUGCGUCCAAUGAAAUGCUGUAUCUCUGAAUCAUAUGAGUGCAACCACCAACCCACUAUACAGGAGCGUAAAGAAGAGCCUGGAAAAGUCAAUCCACAUGAAGCUCCAAAAUAAUUCCAAACUGUUGAAGCUAUAUGGCCUUUGGAAAAUAAAUGUUCAAUUGACUCCUCAGAUGCGGAAUCGCAGCAGAAACACUUUGAUGGUAAAUGUAAACCAAGUUUACAUAACCUAUCCGAUAAAGGCAGCCUCUCCAGCAACAAUCUUAACAUGAAGAAUGAAAUUUUGAGGGGGAUCUGAGGAUGCCAAAUGCUAUCAAAAACCAUAGACUUGUUUCGUACUUGCCUAAUCUCCCGAAAUGCCGAAGCUAGAGAGAAGUUUCCAGAUGUUGUGGACAUCCAAAUGAUUUCAGCUUCACCCCAGUCUUCCGGGACUGGAUGCUCUAAAAUAGAGGGGACCAGAUCCGUCGGCAAUGUCUGAUAUAAUCUAAUCACAUCCCAGUGUCCAUUGAUGAUAAAAUCACCAAACUACAAAUUAGAGACAACCGUCGUACGGAGAAACAAGGCACCCCCUCCCAACCAAUUGUCAUACCAAAAAUGACAAGCUCCAUUUUUUAUAUCCGAUAGCAUAGAUAGCUCCACUUGUCGACUUACAUUGACCAUCCUUCUCCAGAUUGCGAAGUCCAUUGACCUGAUUUCCACCUGACAAGGAUGUAGUAGUCUACAAUACUUAGCUUUCAUGAACGAAGCCCACAACGAGCAUCCCUUUCUGAAAUUCCACCAAAGCUUGAAUGAGAAUGCUGUGUAGAUGUCCUGUAACCUCCGGAAACCAACUCCUCCCUCAUCUACCGGAUAGCACAUCUGAGACCACCGUAUCCAGUGAAAUUUUGACUCCUCGGAGGAUGACCCCCAUAGGAAGGUCGAGAAAGCUUUUUCUAUAGUUCUAAAUACCUUACCCGGGAUAGCCGCUGCUGACAACAGAUGUACUGGCAUCGUUGCCAACACAUGUUUGAUUAGAACUAUUUUACCUCCAAGAGAAAGCAUCCUUGAUUUCCAUGACCUUAUUCUCCGCAAAGAGACACAUUAGUUUGGAGUGUUAUAUUUUGUUUAUUAUCUUCAAAAUUCAACUUUAAUUAAGGUUACAAUCUUUUUUCAUAACUACAAUAGUUAUUGCUAUUGAUAAGUGCAUAUUUUACAUGUUUUUAAGUGUGUUUUAUUAGUUAGUUUUAGUGUGUUUUAACUACUUUUAUUUAGUUUUAGUGUGUUUUAACUACUUUUAUAGCUAAUUAAUUAGGAUUCUAGUGAAAAUAUGCAUUUUGUAGUUUAAGUAGUAAAAAUUGCAUUUCUAUGGAUUUCUAUGGUGAAAAUUUCAUGUUUUUUUAUAGGUUUAAUGAUUCAAUCAUCAAUUGGAGUGAUUUGAGAAGAUAAUUGGAUGAUUGAUGAUGGUUUGAAAUGAUAAAAAGAGAAUAUGAAGUGCAAAAGGGAAAUGCAAUCAAGAAUAAAAGGAAUCAAGUUUCACAGUUUUGACCACCUUGUGGUAUUUCGACAAUAUCUUGAGCUACAAGCAUCGGAUUGAGGUGAUUCGUGAACCAUGUGAAGCUUAGAGAUAUAUCUACAUUUGGUAUGGAGAUAUCGAAAUCCAGUUCAGUCAUUUUCCUUGUUAGAAAGUCGAAAUACAGAAGUGCAUUUUCAUGGCCGAAAGCUGAAACAGAGUUCUGACCAAUCGAGGGUAUUUUGGUCAUUUAUUAGUCCACAAAACUCCAAAUUAGAUGAUUCUUUACGCAUUGGAAAGCUAAUUCAAAGGGCUACAACUUUCAUAUUUUGCACAAGAGUUCAACCUCCAUCAUCAAGAAAAAAUUAGUGAAAGUUGGGAAAAAUAGAGCACAUAAAUCCGAGUUUCGAUAUGUACUAAACCUAACCUCAGAUAAACUUCUGUAAAUCAGAGGCUACAUCUGAGAGGAGGAUCCGAGCUCGGACCCCAUGUUAUAGGCCUUAGAUCCUAAUGUGCAGUAAAGAUAAAAAUGAAAAAAAAUGAGAUCAGAGGGCUAUUUUAAGUGAUUCAACCUCGGAUCUUGCCCUUGGCUCUGCAACUUGUACUCUGUUCAUACAUGCUUUUUGGCCAAUUUAUCUGCAAGAAAUUCGACUGGAACUGACCAAGCAAGUAUAUAGAAUUCAAGAAGUAUCUUUUGGUGAUUCCAAGGAGCAAUUUACAUCAACUUUAACAACUCAUCUUGAAUUUGAAUUCCUCUAUAAAUAGAGGCCUCGAAGGACAUUUUCACAACUUUGGAAUGCUAGAGAAACUCACCAAAAAUGUAGUCUUCACUAGAGUUUCCUUAGUUCAUUAGUUAGGUUAGUAUAGUAUAGAAUAGUUUAGGAAGUUAUGUGUGUUAUCCACUCUUGUAUAUUGGCUAGAUUAGGAUGAAGAUGGAGGUGAAGAAGAAGGAGAUAAAGCUCAUGUGACAAGGGUUAUCUCUUCUCCAACUCUUUAUCUUUUGUAUUGGAUUCUUAAGUAUGGUUAAUAUGCAAGUUUUGGAUUUGUGUUUCAAUAUGAUUUUCUAAAGUUUAUGCCUAGAGUUAUGGAUGAACUUGCUAUAUCUUAUUAGUGAUGUUUACUUGGUUAUUUGAUGAUAGCAAGUUAUUUAUCACUUUUGUUUAUCUAAUCAUGAUUAACUGCCCAUUAAUUAUGAUAAUCUUAAGGUGUUAUGUUUGUAAUGAAAAUUGAAAUUUAGCACUAGUUCAAGGAAGUGAUAAACCUAGGGACUACACUCACGAAAGUAGAGAUGCACCUUUGUGGCUUUGGUGACUUGUUUCAUGUAAUUUCUUAGAAGGAAUGAGCUUGUAGUUAGUUUCAUAACCACGAAAGUAGGUAUGAAUUAACUAUAGGUACAGUUGGUACACCGGCGAAAGCGGGUAUCAUGUACAUUAGGAAAUUAUGCCAUAACUAGUCAAGAUAAUAGCAUUCGAGUAACCGGUAAUGUCAUUUGCAAGAGUAGUUAGGAAUUUCAUAUAUCUAAGAGCUUUUUAUUGCUAUUUUUAUUACUUUUAUUUGAUUUUUAUAGUGUAGAUUUAAUUUCUUGCACUUAUGAUAGUCUAAAUAAUAAAAGAGUUCGAAAAUCAUAGGUAAUUGACAAUCUUCCCUAUGGGAUCGAUGCCUAAUAACCCUAUGUUCAAUAAACAAUUUGUAUACUUGCGAAAAAUCACGUGUGGGGUAUUUAGGAAUUAUAAAUAUAAAACUUCAUUGUGAAAUAAGUUAAUUGAUAUAUGUAUACCCCGCGCUCAUCAAGUUUUUGGUGCUGUUGCCGGAGAAGAUUUGCUCAAUAUCUGUACUAAGAAUAAUUUUAUUAAUUUAGACAUUUUUUCUUGCUUUUCUUGUUUUUGUUUUAUUAAGUGUCUUAAUUGUUAUGUUUAGUGUCUUAUUGAGUCUUUAUUUGUAUGUCUUUAUAUGUGUCGAGUUAUCUAUUUUUCUUGAUUAAACUUGUUUUUGAGUUACCUUGAAAGCAUGUUUAGGGGUUCAAGGAAAGUAGAAUACAUGGGCGCACAAUGCUUGAGAAAAUGGAAGAUCGGUUAUGGAUGAUCAUCAAGUGCAAAGUUCGUUGAAUAGAGGUAAUCAAGAAAUUAUCAAAGGUAUGUCAUUCGAAGAUGGUUUGAGGUGCUUAAAAACUAAAUGUGAUGUUAUAACGUUAAAAGUUCAAUUGAACACUAUUACGAAUAUGCUUGAACAAAAGAGGAAUGCUAAUGCUGUCAAUUCUUAUCAUGUAAUUUGUGACUUGUGUGGAGGUUAUCAUGAUACUCAUACAUGUAUCCAAGCAUAAACUGUGGAUUAUUAUGAUGAAUUUGGGCAUUAUAAUUCUUGUUUUGAUCAAUGUAACCCUAAUUGAGAUAGUUCUUAUGCUUACGGUUGGGAUAAUCAAUGUGUAUAUAGUGAUUUUUCAUGUCUUCAUGAUUACCAAUCUGAAUGUGUCCAAUAUGAAUCAAAACCAUCUUGAGAAUUGGCAAUAGAAAGAUUAGCUAAUGCAUAUUUACCUUGGGAAUUAGAAGUGAACCAUUAGCUAAUAAUCCUAAUGCAUCUUGAGAGUUAGUUAUAGAAAAAUUUUCUAAUCAAUUUGAUUUAAUUAUAGAAAAGCUAGCUAAUGCGACCUCCGAUCGUUUUGCUAGAAUUGAGGAAAGAUUAGAUGAAUUAUCUUCUCACUUUGGUAGAAUACAAGAGCAAUUGCAUAAGUUGUGUGAAGUUAUUUUUUCUAACGAUAUGCACUAUGACCCUAUCAUGAAUGGUGAUUAUGUUACAAGUGAAAGUGGAUUACAUUUUGAUGAAAAUGAUGAAUCUCAAUUGUGUUUCAAUGAGAAAAUGUCCAUUUCAGAUGAUAAUACCUUCAGAGCUAAUCUUGAACCUCAAGAAGUGAGCCUUAACAACUCAUUUUUAACCUCUCUUGAGGAAUGUAUUGUGAAUAUAGGUUUUAAAGGUAUUAUUGCCCAAGACAGACAUACAAACAUUCCUUUGGUGAGUGUUCAAGUGAUAUACGUUCAAGGUAAUAUCUAUGAAAUACUUGAGAUAAGUAAGUCACUUCCACAUCUCAUAUCACUAGAACACAUGCCUUUUGUUGUUAAGCCACCUUUUAAUGAUCCACCAUGACCUAUAAUGGUAGAUUAUUCGUUAACAAAACCUCCUUGAAAAGUGAGGUAAAAUAGUCAAGCUAAUGACUAUAAAGAAUCGCUUGUUGGGAGGCAACCCAACGAUUCUAGUUUUUUUAGUAGGUUUUAGUUAUUUGAUUAGUAUUUUUGUAUGUUUUGUAGGUAACAAUGACAAGAAGUCAUGCAAAUUAUUUCAAGUACAAAAGAGCUUAUAAGAAGUGGAGACUGCCGUGAAAAAGGGAAGCUUAACCUUUAUUUUUGAGUUAACAAUGUUUAAUUUCAUGAUAUGAGAUUAAGUUAGUCAUUUGUAUGAAGUUGAAGUGCAUUUAAGUGAUUAAGUAUGUUCAUGAUCUAUUUGCACUAUUUUGAACCAUUUGAACACCAUCAUAUGCAUUGGAAGUGUCGAGGGGACUAUUUGAUCCAAGAACAUGAACCCUAAAUUUGCAUUCUACAUGUUUCUUAUUUGUUUUGAGGUGUUGAGAUUCAUGUUUAAGUCACUUUUCAUGUGCGUAAAGUGCUGAAUUGUUGAACAUUUCGUUGUAGAGCACAAAUUGAAGAUUGUGUUUUGAAUUGGGGUCAAAUUGAAAAUUGUAGAAAAUUCUGCAAUAAGUGCAGAUUCAAUGGAUCCGAGACCUGGGAUCUACUUCUGCAAUCAGAGAACAAAUUUGAUUUUUUUUAUCUGAGUUCAAUCAUCAUGAUCCGACCUCGGAUCCUUUCAAAAAUAAUUCAAAAACGAAAGCUCGGUUCACUUUUCCUUAUUCUUCCCUCUCUUCCUCCUUCAACUCCACACACACACGCAUACCUCAAACACACACUACUCACUAAAUUCCUCUUUUCACCAUCAAAUCUUCAAACUAACUUCACCAAAACACUCCUCUUACCUUCUAGAGUGGUUUUCAUGGUUUAAUUCUUUCAAAAACAUCUCCAAAUUUGAAUUUAAGAUUCAAGUAGGUAGGGUUUCAUCUUCUCAUAUUUUGCAAUUGUGCCCAAAUUGGAGUGAGUUUCUUGAGGGUUUUCACAUCAUUUUCAUCUCUAAUCGUCAACAAACCAUUUUGAGGUAACAAAUCUUCACCUAACUGUAGACACCAAAUUUUUGUCAAUUUUCAAUGUUUUCUUGAAUUUUUUUUCUAUUUAAUGAAUUAUUUAUUUUCUUGCAUUUUAAUGUGCAUUUUUCUCAUUUUUUGCGGGUUUGUUUAAAAAAAAAGGGGAAGAAAGAAAAAAACAAAACACAAAAAAAAACAACAAAAACUAAAAAAAAAAGGAGGAAAAUUAAGAAAAUAAAAAAAAUCAUUCUAAUCAUUUUUUUUCCACCAAAAUACAUUUAACCCAUUUCACACUCAAUGGCCAUGGACUUGUCUUUUCAUUAGUUGAGAAAUCAUCAUUUUGGAAAAUUCAACACACAAGCUCCAUUUUUGGCUACAAGUCCCUCUCGGCUCUCUCUUGAAAAAAAAGGAGAAAAAAAAACACACAACUAUAAAGGGGAGGCUCUCGGCUCUCUCUCUGGUCUCGACCAAAAAGAAGGAGAGAAGCCACAAAAGUAAAUUUUUCCCUCCCUCUCUCGGCGGACUCAAAACGGACAGAAAAAAAAAAGAAGGGGGGACACUCUCUCGGCCUUUUCUUUUGCUCUGAACAAAACCAAGACUCCAAUUUUUUUUCCCUCUCAAUACAUCUCUCGGACUUCCUCUCUCCCAAUAUUUCCACAACACCCUUGCAGACAACAAAAGGGAGGCAGCGACUGGUUGGGCUAUUGGAGCUUGGCAAUCUCAUCAAAAACUUUGGCCAAGGGACCAAGGUCUUCAUUGAGGUAUUUCUUGUCCUUUUUUCCAGCCUUUCUUUUUUUUUUAUUUAACUAGAUUAAAUGUAUGUGUGAUUGUUUGUGUGUUGUUUUAUUUUGCUGGUUUUGUUGUUAUUGUAUCGGUGAAAUUUUGGGAAGAUCAUAAACCAGAUUUAGGAAAAGGAAAUGUUUCUUGUGAAUGCAUGUUAAUUGUUUGAAAAAAGGGAAAAUCGUCCAAAACAUCCCUCACAUUUUGUAAAAUGACUUUUUUCGUCCCUCACUUUUAAAAAUGUAAUUUUAUGUCCCUUACAUAUUCACAUCGGUCAAAUUUAAUCCCUAACUAGGUUCCGAUCAUUUUUUGGCCGGAAUCCAUCACGUGCCUUGCACGUGAUCAUUUUUUAAAGGUAAAUUUGUCAAAUUAUAUUUUACAUAAUCUAAUCUAUAGUCCUCCACAUUUUAUAAAAUAAAUUUUUUCGUCCCUCACAUUUUAUAAAAUGAUUUUUUCAUCCUUCACAUUUCACAAAAAGAAUUUCUCCAUCCCUCACAUUUCAAAAAAUGAAUAUUUCCAUCCCUCACUAAUUAUGUAUGUGAGGGAAACCCUAAAAAAAAUGUGUGUGAAUACAUUUUGUUUAACACACAAGUAUAUGUCUAUUUGAUUUUGCUUAAUAAUCCGAAUAGCAUAAAUAUAUGUAUGUGUCUAUUUAAUUUCAAUUAACAAUACGAAUACCUUAUAUUAUACGUGAUCAUUUGAUUUCAUCUGGUAUUAGCUAGUAAAUAAUCUUGCAUUCAUUGUCAAGUUGGCCAAUAAAGCUAUUUUCAGUCAAAAUACAAUAAAAAUAUGCAAAUUAAGGUUCUAUUGAUAAAUAUUAGUCAUAAUCAUACAAAAAAAGAAGAUAGCCCACAAGUUGGACCCAAUUACAUACAUGUGUUUAUACUACUAUUAUUAAACAAAAUCAAAUAAACAUGUUUAUGUGUUUAAACAAAAGUAUUCACACACAUAAUAAGUGAGAAAUGAGAAAUUCAUUUUGUGAAAUGUGAGGGAUGGAGAAAUUCAUUUUGUGAAAUGUGAGGGAUGAAAAAAAUCAUUUGAUAAAAUGUGAGGAACGAAAAAUUUUAUUUUAUAAAAUGUGGAGGAUUAUAGAUGAGAUUAUGUAAAAUAUAAUUUGACAAAUUUACCCUUAAAAAAUGAUCAUGUGCCUUGCACAUGAUGGAUUCUGGCCAAAAAAUGAUCGGAAACCUAGUUAGGGACUAAAUUUGUCCGAUGUAAAUAUGUAAGGGAUAUAAAAUUACACUUUUAAAAGUGAGGGACGAAAAAAGUUAUUUUACAAAAUGUAAGGGACGUUUUGGACAAUUUUCCCUUGAAAAAAUGCCAAAAUGAAAAAAAAACUGAAUUUUAGGGACUGUUUUGCCUUAAUGUAAUCUUUUGUUGUUGUUUUCUUGUUAGCUAAGAUUAUAGUUGUAAAUGUGGAGAUUAUAAGUGUAGACACCAAAUUUUUGAUUUUUUAACUUUAUUUGUUUAAUAGAUUUAUUUGUUUCAAUUCUAGGGUUUUUAUUUUAUUUUAUUUUGUUCUAGUUUAUUUUAUUUUAUUAUUUAUUUUUUGUCUUCAUACUAAAUUUCAGAAAAAAAAAGAAAAAAGAGAGAAAAAAAAGUAAAAAUGACAAGUAGAGGGGGCAUGCAUGGGACAAGUGUCCCUCUUGUAUUUUGGACAACAAGGCAUUUAAGGGGGUUAGGUGUUAGAUUUUUGGUGACGGGGAAAAAAAAGAAAACUGGAGGGAGCCGAUAGUAAGAGGGGCUUGGGGAGCAAAAACAGGAAAAAGGGCGAAAAGCCGAGAGGGGUUUUAGGGCUGGAAGAAAGGAGGAGAUUAACGGCUGGGGGGACUGGAAAAGGGGACGGCUGAGAGAAAUUAAAAAGGAGGGGAGAUUGGUGAAGAAAAGACAGAGGGUAAGGAAAAGAAACAGAAGAGGGGCGGCAGACAGAUAGAGCUAAAAAAACUGACUAAGGGAAGGCUAAAGGAAGAGACAGAGGGGCUUGGUGGAAGAAAAAGAAGAACAGGGGCGGAGCAGAGAGCUAACGCGAGAGAGAAAAACAACAACGGAGGAAAAAGGCAGAGGAAAAAGGAAAAAGCAGGGGUGGUGGGCAAGGAAAAACUAUCGAACAAAAAGAGAAAAAGAAGGAAAGGAGGGCUUCGGAGACUAUGGAGAAAGAGAGAAAGCUAAAGGAAGGAAGAAAGAGGGCUUCGGCUACGGGGAAGGGUUGAACGGAUAUGGAAAAAACCUAAAAAUGGGGAGGAAAUUUCAGUUUGAACGAUCGAAAAGGAGAGAAAUUUCCAAUCACCACCGCCGCAAUCCAAGCUCUGCCACGGCAUCUCCACCUCGUGCGCCACUUAGCUGACUGACGCACCUCCCAUUCCCGCGCGGCCCUUCUCCGCCCCAGAUCUCCUCUCUUCCUCACGCCGCCCGCCCAAGCCACCAUCAGUCCGCAUUCGCUGCUGUUGCUGUCU
rnacentral:lncRNA from 1 species